rnacentral:lncRNA from 1 species
AUAGUAGUAUCUGAGCCUAUGAAUGGAAAAACAUGUGCAAACGACAGCACUACAAAACCGUUGAUCAAUGCAUUAGUUUCUUAAUUUGAUGGUCAGUUCAUAGUCCAAUUAAAGUCAGAGGGUACUCGAUUAUGUUAGAUUAAUAUGCAAAUUGGGAAUGCAUGCGUAUGCAGAUAUAUACGUUAGUCUUAGUAUCAAAAUGAGGGAGAAAACAAAAACUUCAUCGAUGGAAGGGCAACAAACUUGCCACAUUGGGGCAGUUUAUAUUUGUAUUAUUGAAACGACACAUAGAGAACAUGGCAAACAGCUAAAACAAAUGGCAUUAUGGUACGUACAAUGGAAUUAAACUAGCUAACGAUAGUUAGGGUUUAUACGUAUAGUUGAUCGAUGAUCGAAACCGUCGUGCUUCUUCUACUUCUUCUUCUUCGGGUUCUUUCACUUAGACUAAAGUCGUGAGGAAAUACAUUACACAAUUGGACGGUUAUAACGAAAAGGAAAUUGAAUUUGGAACGCUUUGACAGAUUCGUUAAGUUCCUCUCUGCGAAAAUUUAACUAACAAUAUUGUCAAAGAAUAUAUCCCAUCCGCGGCCAAUAUUAUACAUCCACCACACCUUUUAAGUCUCUCUCUCUCUCUCUCUCUCUAUAUAUAUAUAUAUAUAUGAUGAAUAUGUAUGUUCCAAUAUUUUGCAUCUUCUUUUCUUAUAUUUACCGUACGAUUUUCUUGAUCGAUCAGUUUGAAAACUACUGUUUAGAGCAUCAGAUAACAAGUAAUUAAGAUUUUUAUGGUCCUUGUUCAAUGAACAGAUACCUGCUUAAACAUAAGUAGAAGUCGACCUAGAUAAAUAGGAAUUUAGGAAAACUACUUGAAAAGACAAACUUUAUAUAUGCAAUUAAAUACACGUUUGAGACUACAUUACCUCUUUAUUUUCUAAGACUGUACUGGACUUAUGUGGGGUGUCUUAAGUUGUACUAAUAUUAACUCAUGUUUGGUGUUACAUGAGAUUAGAUGAUAGUUUGUUUGAUUUAUAGUUUAGAAUGAUGGUGCUAUUUAAGGAUGACAUAUUUGAGUACACACAAUAACACCACCUAAGAAUGCCAAAAUGAAACCAAGAUGUUACGUAAGCUCAUUUAUUUUAGUAUCCAGUGAUACCAAACACAGUACUAACUAAAUUGGACUCCUUAUUUAACACUGUCUCAUUUAGUCCCAACAAACAAACAUGUAUGGUAUUCGAUCUAGAGUACAAACAACCUGGUUUCUAUGCUCUUAAUUAUUAGUCUUACUAGCUUUUUACCCGUGCAUUUGUAGGGCUCACCAUAUUAUUUAAUAAUGCAAUUAUACAACCCACUGCCCACUUUUUUCUCUUUAAUUAUCUGUUUUUGUUAUUUACUAUAGUAACUUUUUUUCUUAAUAGCCUGAAUCAACUUAAUAAGAGUAGUAUUGGCGAAGCAUAAUUUGAUGAAUUUUCUACGUGCUGGCUUUAUAGUAGUAGAGAUAUAUCCAUAUGGAUAAUGUGUAUUACUGAAGCUAGUAGAUAAUAUCGAUCAAUGACCAUUUAGCUCAAAUAUAUAAAACACACACAUAUAUAUAUAUAUUCAACAAAGAUGAUAAUAUAUAAUGAACAGAGGGGCACACAAUUUUCUCAUAUUCAUGUUUCGACGUUCUUGUACGUACGUACGUAAGUGCACUCAUAUACGUACCGUGCAUAUGUUGAUACAACAUAUAUCUUUAACGAAAAUAUAACUAAAUAAGUCCUAGCGAAAAUAUACAGAAUGAAAUUAAGAAUAUACGUGGGUAGUUCCGGCUCAUAGUUUUAAUUUGAAGCCAAGUAAUGCCUUAGGAAAAUUGAAACCCUUGGUCAUGACGUAUACUUUAGGGCCACAACUUCCCACUUUGGUAUAGAUUCCCUAGUUUGCUUGCUCCAAGUUGGAUGCAUCUGAGUUGAUCCGAUCUAAGAUUUAUUUGAAAAUUAGGGUUUUGGUUCUGCCUUUACUUUCGGACCAAAUUAAGUUAAUUCCCUGCAGGGAACUAAACACAUCCAUGAAUAUAUACUUUGUUUUUUCUUUACAUAUUAUAUUUGUGCCACUUAAACAAGAGAUUAGGGUCCUAAUUUGUGAGUUUUGUUUCAUGUACGUACACAUCAAACCGAACGCACUCGAUCACUUUAUAGAAGAGCACGUAUCAAAGAACAUUUGGUGUUCUAUUUGCAGUUCAUUAAUCUAAUUGACUUUGCUUAAAGGGGGAAUGGUUAUAAUUAUUGAAUCUAAAAAGAUGACGCACAAAAUUAUCGGCAAUAGAAACUUAUUAGAUGUCGUACGUUUCCAGCACUAGAGAACUUAUUCUAUAAUUCGAAAUCACUGCCGUAUGAUACUGUCCUGAAGAAGAAUACAAUAAUGUUUAUGCACUACGUAGAUGGAUCGAGAUUGAUUGAUUAAUUGGACCAGCUUGACCUAUCUCUAGAGAAGUCCAUUAGUAGUAUAGUAUUAUACAAUCACUAUAAUUAUGCGCUAAUCAAACAUAUAAUAUACUCACUUCCAUAUCGAUCCCGCUAGUAACAGCUUAGAGUAGAAAUGUGGUACUGUACACUGUCUCAUAAGCAUGGAUGUGAAGCAUGUACAAUGCCAUAUGUUGAAGAAUCAUCAUCGUCAUCAUCAUCAUCUGCAUAAAUAUUUCAUCCAAGAAAACAGUCAUCUACUAAAAUUAAGUAUCAGCUACAUAUAUAGAAACUUCUUAUCAGAAACAAUUUGGGCCUACCAUUGGAUGGGUUCACCGAAAGCAAGCUGGUUUACAGAACUGAAUAGUAGGCCCGUUCCAUUUGAUUUCUUUCUUUCAGCAACUUUGCUUGGAUAUCGGGUCAGAAAAGAAUGAUAUAUUGAAAGAAAAGAAAUAAACCGAGUAGUUUGAUAGUGGAUGAGGUUAUAAGUUGAGUAGUUUGAUGAUUUAUCAUUUAUGAAUAGGGCAUAACGAAAUAAAAUCAAACAUUCAUUUUUUUUUUUUUUAAAGUAACAGAAUAAUUUUAUUGAUAAUCAUUAAAACUAUCGUAUUAUGUCAAACUUGAGAGUCUUAAAAGAGCUUCAUUUACAUCUAUUGUUUCAUCUACAUAUAACUCGAUAUUGCAACUUUUAAGACGAAAAAAAAAAACAAAACUAGAAAAAAAAUCUAAACUGACUCAACAGAAAAAGAAAACGACUAUGAUUGCCAACGACGUUGCACGAAAUUGAAGCAGCUACUUGGGGCCUAGUGAUCCCUCAUGGUGUACCCCUCCAGAACCUAUGUUGGAAUAAGAUAAAGAGUUCUGCUACGUGCACCAAAAAUUUAUACCAAAAUUUAAUACCAAAUUACAUGGCAACCUACAUGGCAUAUACAUGUCAUCACACUCAAUUGAAAAAUUUCAGUAUAUUUGGUUUUCUUAAUUAAUAAAUAAUCCUAAAAAUCUAAUAAUAAUAAUAAUUAGUUUCCUUAUGUGAAUGAAAUACGUGAUGGGAUUAACCUAGAGCUAGAAGUCUAAUCAUCAAACACAUCCNNNNNNNNNNNNNNNNNNNNUAAAAUAGUCUACUUGAGAAGUUGGGUAUUCCUUCUUAAGAGGACACUAAAUUAAUAAUUAAUAUAUGCAAAUAAAUUUUGUGAAUUUUGUUUUAGAAUUCUAUUCAAAAUCAAAUAGGUUAAUAAAAAUACAUGGUGGAAAAUAUUAGGUUUAAAAUGAUGAUAUGGCAUGUGCCACAUCAUUUGGUAUAGAGUUUUUGUAUGAAUUUUUGGUGUCUCUAGCAUUUUCCUAAGAUAAAAUGCCGAGCAUACAAACUACACUUUGUCGUCGGGAGAAUCAGUCCCUUCUCGAUCCAGUUCAGAUGUCGCGCUUAGGUCUGAAGCAAGCGAACCAGAAAACAUAAACUCUCCAUUUUUUGCCUUAGGUUUGUUCCUGCUAUCUCUUGGCCUCCCAUGCUUCUUGGGACCACACCCAUUAGCCGAACUAACAACCUCUAAACCACCACUAGCCUCCUCCCCGGCCUGUAAACCCUAGAUGAUCUAAUUGAAGGGUUUUUGGAAUGAGAAUUAACAUGUUCUUAGUUCUCUUUCCAUCAUCAACCCCUGCAUCAUCAUCCCGAGGCCUAUGAACCCUAGAAACCCAAGAAAGGGUUCUAUUGCUCUCUGUAUCAGUGUUUUUUUUUUAAGUAAUCAAUUUCGUGUAUCUCAAGCUAUAAUAACAAGGAUACAUAUAUUCCCUUACUGAAUCCACGAUAAGUUUAAGACGUGACAUAAUAAUACCACUCAAUGGACAACCAAUGCUCACUUAUUAAAAACAAGCCUGUGAACUAUGAAAACAUACAUAACAAAUAGCAAAUAGGCACAAAAAAGAAGUGCAUAGUUUCCAAAAAAAAAAAUAUAGAGAUUAGGAUAGCAAAGAAAAUACUAAGCUAAUUUAAAGGCAACCUAGAGACAUUAUGCCUAGGCCCAACACUCUCGCCCAGCCCACCCACUCUCCAUAACCCCAAUUCAAGGCCUCCAUACUCCUUGCCGCAGCCGACUCCUCCCUGAUGCAAACCAGAAGAUGAAAAAACAGCUUCAAACACAUGCCAACCCCAACCCGAAACAAAACUGUCAUCCCCCUAAGGCUAUGACAGGACCGGGGUUGGUAAUGUCUACUUUUUUCUCGUUAUCUAGUCUAAAUUCUAGUUACAUUUAACAUGUUAUAUAUGAGUUCUUUUCUAUAAUAUAAAAACCUUUUUAGUCGAAAACACAUAAAUCUGUAAAGAAAACAUCUAAAUUGCCAACGAAAAGUUUUCUUACCAUUAGAACGUGUGGAAUAGGAUUAUUAUUAUUUUUUUUUUUUGGAGAAUCAAAAGAAUAGGAUUUAAUGAUAAAUAACAUAGUAAUACCCUAAAACAAAAUGUGAAAAAUCUGUCAUAUCAUGCGGUUAUAAAGCGGCCCGACAUAAGAAUUCACUCUCUCCUAAAUCGAACCGUACAGGAGUCUUUGUUAAUACUCUUUAAUUUCUUGUAUAUAUAUUUACUCUUUGGCGGCCUUCGUCUUUCAAUUCAGUUCUCUCCCUCGUCGCAAGUCCUCAAGAAUUCAACUUCGAUAUCCUAAAAGCUAGCUGCUAUCUCUCUUGUACUCGAAGGUAAAUCUCUUUUGUAGUCCUUCUUUAACAUGCAUGUCAUCUUCUGUUCAUUUUGUUCGUCGACUUGUUAUCUUGUAUGUUUUUUUUUGUUUCCUCCUGCAUGUUUCUGGGUCUCACUCAGGUUCAUGUUUUAGUUUUUACGCUCGAUCUGCUUCAAUUUCAGGUAGGUUUUAUCAGCUCAUGUGAUCUCCGAUCAUCCUUUGCAUGCUUUGCUCUUGCUUUCUUCUAUAUAUUUGAUGUAUUUUGUUAGAUGACAGAAGUGUUCUCCUGCAUGCUUUGGUAAUUAUUCUUAUAUUUAACCCUUAAUCCGAAUUCGAUGGUGAAUAUGUGUGUGUGUGUGUGUGUGUUAACUUUGAGUUGGUUCUUCAUUACUGACCAGAGAACACCAUUCAUGUUCAUGAUAAAAUCCUCUGUCUCUGAAUAAAAACUAGACGUUAUUUGCAUUGGCUAUUAUCAUAUAUUAAUGUUUUCCAUUUUCUCAUUGUAUUUAAUUUAUGUAUGGUUGUUUAAUUUAUUUUGCUGGUCGGUAUAUAAUGUGGUUGUGGUGCACAAAUAAGAGUAUGAUAUAUGCUGUCAAUGAGAGAGGCAACAUGUCAUAGAGUUAUGGAAGUUCCUAUUUGAUGAAUCAAUGUUUUGAUAUAUACUACUAUAGUUCUUGGGUGAAGGAUGAUGAUCUAGUGAUAUAUGAUAGCUAGAUUGCCCUCAAUUUUUUUUGCAGUAGUAAAUUUAUGCAACAGAUAGGCAAAUAAAAGUUCAAGUUAUUGGUGUCAUCCUGAUGUCUAAGUGCAAGUUCUUCUCUUCUUAGGUGAUCUCAUAUAUGAGGACUGCUGAGGAUAGUUCUGCAGAGCAAGGUGGUGAUUUGACUCCUCGAAUUGGGAAUGACUAUCAAGCAGUGAUCCCACCUCUGCGUGAAGGGACUAUAUUAAGUAUUGAAGAAGCAGAAGACAUACUUCCACCUUGCAGUGUUAUUGAGAAGUAUACAUUUCUCCUUGCACUAUAUAUAUUUGGGAAAAAUCUUAGUCUGGUGACGAGAUUUGUUGGAAAUAAAAGCAUGAAGGAAAUUCAAGCUCUCUACUAUGGAGAGUUCUAUGCUUCUUAUGAAUAUAGAAUAUGGUCAGAGUGGGGAAAGUGGAGAGGCAAACGUUGUAUAUAUGGGGAAAAACUAUUUACAGAAUGUAGGCUGAACGAAUUUAUGUCUCGGUUGUUGCCAUGUGUGUCGAAGCGAUGCCAAGAUGUGUUGAUGGAGGUAGUUACUUCUCCAAUGUUAUUGUUCUGCACUUGUACUGUAUAUCUAUAAUCUACUUACUAAGGGAAGGAAGAUCAAUGUUGUGCAGUUCUUAUUUAGCAGGCAGUCGUUCACAUGCUUCAUGCAUUUUGUUGUGCGGAGUUGCAUACAUACUUCUGUUGAUUUGCUGUCCUGCUCGAUCUUAAUAAAUUUCAAUAUUUUGUGCAGAUUUCGCCAAAAUUUCUAAAGGGAAAGAUUUCCUUUGAAGACUACAUAUUCAAGUUGAAGGAUUCUGUUGGUGUUCUAUUGCUUAUUGAAGUUAUUGGUAUUGGAAAAGAAGGGAAGGAAAACCUUACAAGCACUGCUUUUGAGCCAAUGUCGUCUGGCAAAGAUUGGUCCUCAGUUACACCUGCAGAGAUUCUCAAGUUUCUAGCCAGUUUCCAGCGGCUAAGGAAAGUUCGAAUGAAUGAUCGAUGGAAAGAUUUCUUCUGGGAAGCUGUUUGGCCCCGCCUAUUAACAAGAGGAUGGCAAUGCCAGCAGCCUAAGGGUCGUCGCAUGGGAGGCAGUCUAAUAAACACAUCUCUGAUAUUUCUUGAACCAUCAAGUUCUAAAACAUGCACCUACAGGUUUUCAUGGAGGCUUGUGAAAGGUACUCAUUACCAUGUCUCUGUCAAAAAUAUGUUGAAGACUGUUGCAUCAGACCCUAGUGUCCUCGCGCUCGGUGAUGAAGAAGCAGCUGAUCCUAACUUGCCAAAGAAAGAAGAACGCCGGUUCCUCGAUCCAAGCGGAGAAAGUAGCAGUAGAAAUGGAAUGAUAUUUAACAUAGUGGAUACUAGUACUUUCAAUGGAACAGAACAAAACGAGGUGACACAACUAAGAAGAUUGCCUGCUCAACCUGCCAGUUCAAGUCCUCCCUCUGAUCUUCUUCGUACAACUAAAAAAGAUGGCACUGUUUCUGUGGAUUCAAGCUGCAGAAGUGAAAAUAUCUCUGAUGCUGAAGAGUUCCAAUGCCAAUCCAAGAUGCCAAAUCAAAGGGAGGGGCUGGAAAUUCAAGUGCAUCCACAAAACUCAUCAUCCACAAUUUAUUUUGAGAAAGGUGGUCCAUGUAGCAACGUUGAAGGCUGUGGCACCAGGAAUGUCCUCCAUAAAGAACCAUCUCGAGGCACCGGUGAAGCUCGAAUAAUCAUCGACUUGAGUUUUACAUAUGUUCCCCCACAUGUGGAAGCUGAUCAACCCUCCAUGGCCAUCACAAUGCAAGGUAUGGAUAAUUCAUCUGCAUACAAGUCAUCAACUGUGGCUGAAACAAGAGGGCAGAAGGUGGAGGAGGUGGAGGUUGCUGAAGCUGGGGCUACUAUAGAAGAGCAGCAGCUCGUUGCUUACAACCAGAGGAAAAGCACAAGGAGCCGUCCGCUGACGAAGAAAGCCUGGGAAGCUCUUGAAAAUGAAUUCGGCAGUACAAGGAAGAAGAGAAGAGGGUGAGACUUAACAGAGUAAGUCAUCAUCGAAGUCCUAGGGAUCUCCAUUGAAGAAUAAUUGAAGGAUAGUAGUCACAGUACUGCUAAUUAAACAGGAAAAGUAAUUUGUAAGCUUACAUAUUGAUCGAUUCGUUGCUCACUGUAUUUAGUAAGCUUACAUAUUGAUAUUAGGAGUGUACAACAACUAGCUAGUCCGCGAGUCAAACUCGAUCAAAACUAUUCAGUUAGAAUAUCGAAAGCAAACAAUAGUUCUUCGUUUUAUGACAGAAACAAGCAACAAAACCAAACUACGUACAUGCAACCAAAAACAUCUUGGAACACUCAUUUCUAGCUAAUCCAACUGAAAUGCUGAGAAACACAGAAAGGGGUUAGCAAUGAAACCAAACAGACGUACAGAACGAUUAUGAAACUAAACAAUAAUACUUAUUAUCAACUACACUUAAUGUCAGUGAGCCGUGGUUUGGUUGAUUAAGGUAUUUAAGUAACAACUUUGAGGUCAUAGGUUCAAACCUCACUAAACAUAUGUAGAGGGUGUGUGAGUUAUUAAUAAAAUUAAAAAAAAAAAAAAAAGCCUACACUUGAUUAAAAUAGAUGAUCAUAAGCCUAUUUGCGGAUAUGCCACUUAAUCUAAAUAUCGAAUAUGCAGAAAUUGUUGGGUUUCACGCAGCGGAUUGGUCAACAAGAUAUAAUAUCGAGAAUGCUGUUGGGAAAAAUAAUAUAAUGGAAGUAACAACUCAAACCACAUAAAUGAUAAAUAUGUAAAGAUGUAUAGAGGAAAAGAAACACCAGAUAUAACGUGGUUCGGUAAUGUGCCUACGUCCACGGGGCAGCAAUAACAAAAACUUCCACUAUGAAAUAAUGGGUACACGAGAUACACAACUUCAAGAACACUCCUUGAAGGAAACCCUCUCUCACACUUGUUUUGCUACCAACUACUAUACACUCUCAACUUGGAGUGGACACUCUUCUCUACUUGGAAGAUGAAGUUUUAGAUGGAUGAGAUGCUUGGAAUGAGCAAAUGACUCUCCUUUUAUAGGCUAAGGAGGAAUCAUCUAGACCUCUCAUUAGUGCUCUCCCAAUAAAUGGUACUUCAUGAAUCUUCCUGUAACUCAUGCCUUGACUAUAACUCCAAUACCAUCCAUGUUUUUUGUGUAACUCAUGUAACCUUGUGUAACUCAUGUAACUUAUGUAACUCAUGAAACCUUUCAUUACUAUUUUAUUUAUUUUGGUCUGGAUAUUAUAACAAUCUCCCCCUCCAGACCAACCCGGGGAAAUACGCGGCAAGACUUCUAUUUGAAGUCCAUCCCAGCGGACUUGCUGCAAUACUCCAACUUCUGUUGUGGCACAACCUUAGUCAACAUAUCUGAAGUAUUCUUGUUGGUGUGAAUUUUCCUCAACUACAAAAACUUCUUUGACACUACAUCUCGUAUCCAAUGAUAACGUAGAUCAAUGUGCUUAGUGCGAGGGUGAUAAACUGAAUUUUUACUCAAGUGAAUUGCACUCUGACAAUCACAAUACACCACAUACCUUUCUUGCUUCACACCCAACUCCUGAAUGAACCUUUGCAGCCACAUCAUUUCCUUGCCUGCUUCGUUUGCCGCUAUGUACUGGGACUCAGUGGUGGAUAAGGCAACACACUUCUGUAACUUGGACUGCCAUGAUACAGCUCCCCCACAAAAUGUAAAUAAGUACCUAGAAGUGGACUUUCUGUUAUCAAGGUCCCCAGCUAAAUCUGCAUUUGUGAAACACCCAAAACGGGUUCGGAUCUACCAAAAGACAAGCACAACUUUGAGGUGCCCCUCAAAUAUUUGAGUAUCCACUUAACAGCUUCCCAAUGCUCUUUGCCAGGGUUAGAUAAAUAUCUACUAACAACUCCAACUGCAUGAGUAAUAUUUGGUAGAGUACAUACCAUGGCAUACAUUAGACUACCAACAGCUGAUGAGUAAGGGAUACCUACCAUCUUGUCUUUCUCCUCUUGUGUAGUUGGGCAUAAUAAUCUGCUUAACUUAAAGUGAUUACCUAGAGGUGAGCUCACUGACUUAGCUUCUUCCAUGUUGAACCUUUCAAGCACCCGUUCAACAUACCUCUCCUGUGACAACCAUAAUUUAUUUGUCUUCCUAUCACGGGUAAUCUCCAUGCCCAAAAUCUACUUAGCUGGACCUAAGUCUUUCAUAUCAAAAGACUUUGAUAAAUCUGCCUUCAACUUGCAGAUCAUAGAAAUUUCUUGCCCCACUAUCAACAUAUCAUCAACAUAAAGCAACAAAAUUAUAAAUUUACCUUCAGUGAACCGUUGAAUGUACACACAUGGGUCUGCAUCAGUUCUUUUGUAUCCAUGACCCACCAUGAAUGAGUCAAACUUCUUGUACCAUUGCCUUGGCGCUUGCUUCAGUCCAUACAAACUUUUCUUUAGCUUGCAAACCAUGUGCUCCUUGCCCUCGACCUCAAAACCUUCCGGUUGCUCCAUGUAUAUUUCUUCCUCUAAAUCACCAUGUAGGAAUGCUGUUUUUACAUCUAACUGCUCCACCUCAAGAUCCAUGCUAGCUGCCAUGCCCAAAAUAACUCUGAUAGAUGUCAUUUUGACAACUGGUGAGAAGAUCUCAUCAAAAUCUACUCCUUCCUUCUGCCCGAAACCUUUGACAACCAAGCGAGCUUUGAACUUUGUCAACUGUUCAUUCUCGUCCCUUUUCAACUUGAACACCCAUUUGUUUUUGAGUGUUUUUCUGCCUUUAGGAAGCUCCACCAACUCAUAGGUGCCAUUUUUCAACAAGGAUUCCAUCUCAGACUUGAUAGCUAAUAUCCACUUGUCUCCAUCUACAUGAGUCUUCGCCUCCUCAAAGCAUUCAGGCUCUCCAUCACCAGUCAACAGAAUGUAUUUAGAAUAUGGAUUAUCUCCAUCACUGGUGAGCAAAAUAUAUUGAGAAGAAGGAUACUUGGUACUUUGCUUCGGUACUCUAUGAGAUCUUCGAACUGGUGUUUAGGCAUUUUUUUGUUGUUGUUCUUGAUUAGGCUCUUCAUGAUCAGGCUCCCCCUGAUCAUGAUCAUCCUGAACCUGAUUCUCCUGGUCAUCAUUUGCAGCACCUGCAGCUUCUGGUUCUACCGUAUCAGGGACGUCUUCAUUAACCAUUUCUUGAGGUUUGUUAGACUCUUCUUGGAGCGGAGACGAGUCAUAAGCGAGGCGCUCUGCAUUUUCUAGUAUGUUGUCAAAAUUCGCAACAGUCUGGUCCUCAUGGAACACCACAUCUCUGCUUCUGAAUAACUUCUUGGUUAUUGGAUUCCACAACUGGUAGCCCAUCUCUUCAUUACCGUACCCAAGAAAGAUGCACGGCACGGCCUUGUCAUCUAGCUUCAAUCUUUUCUCCUUUGGAACAUGUGCAAAUGCUUUGCACCCAAAUACCUUCAAGUGAGAAUAUGAAGCACUUCUACCGGUCCACACACUCUCUGGAGUCUCCAAGCCCAACGGUACACAUGAUGUUCGGUUGAUGAGGUGACAAGCGGUUGUAAUUGCUGCGCCCCAAAACUCUUUCGCCAGGUUAGCCGUCUUUAGCAUGCUUCUCACUUUUUCCAAGAUGGUGCGGUUCAUCCUCUCUGCUACACCAUUAUGUUGUUGGGUGCCAGGAACUGUCUUUAUGUGUCUAAUGUCAUGCUUCGAACAAUAACCUCUGAACUCGUUCGAAGUGUACUCUCCACCAGUAUCACUGCGGAGACACUUGAGGGUUUGUCCCGUCUCCCUCUCAACCAUGGCAUGGAACUCUUUGAAGGUUUGGAACACCUGGUCUUUUGAUUUUAACAAAUACACCCAAACCUUUCGUGAAGCAUCAUCGAUAAAAGUGACAAAAUAUUUGCUAUGACCUAGUGAAUCAACUUCCAUAGGACCACAUACAUCCGAGUGUACUAGGUCUAAAACAUUCUCUUUCUUUGUAAAUGUAUUAGCAAAACUAACCUUAUGUUGCUUACCAAAUAAACAAUGAUCACAAGAUUCAGGUACCUUUGGGAAACAGAAUAAGAGACUUCUUUGCCAGAACUUGCAAUCCCUUCUCACUUACGUGGCCUAACCGCUUGUGCCAUAGACUUGGAGAAGAGUCAUCCAUGACAUUCAACUCCCCUUUGUAUAUCUUGCCAUAUGUCUUGUAGAGGGUGCAACACAACUUCCCUCUAGCCACCACUAGUGAUCCUCUGGUAAGCCUCCACUUUUGAUCUCCUCCGUGAUGAUGAAAACCUUCUCGAUCAAGCACGCUGGUUGACAUCAAAUUGAGACGUAGGCCCGGAACAUGUCGAACAUCUUUCAACAUCAGCUUGUUGCCCAAAUUGGUCUCAAAGCAGACAUCUCCAAUUCCUGCAAUCUUGGAGUAGCCUUAAUUGCCCAUCUUUACAAUCCUAAAUUCACCACCUUUGUAUGUCAAGAAAAACUCCUUAUUUGGAGUGGCAUGGAAAGAGGCUCCGGAAUCAACGACCCAUACAACACCGGGAGUAUCGUCAGCAUGUAGGCAUUCUCCUUCAAGACAAAGGAACUCAUACACAUCAUUGCACACAGUAGCGGUUGUGUUCUUUGUGUCAUCCUUCGGUUGAUGAGUAUUGCCACAACACCGGGAGUAUCGUCAGCAUGUAGGCAUUCUCCUUCAAGACAAAGGAACUCAUACACAUCAUUGCACACAGUAGCGGUUGUGUUCUUUGUGUCAUCCUUCGGUUGAUGAGUAUUGCCAUCUCGAGCCUCCCUAGGAUCCUUUUUAAACUUGUUGCAAUUUUUCUUCAUGUGCCCAAAAAUACCACAAUGAUGGCACUUUCCAUUAAACCUUGUUCUGGAUCGGCUUGCACUCCUUCCAUGGCCUCUAGGUCCUUUACUCUUGCUCCUACCUCUAUUCUCCGCCACAAAGACUUGGCUAUUGUUGGAGCUAGAGGAUUUUCUCCUUGUCUCUUCAUUCAACAUGUUACUUUUAACAUUAUCCAUAGUCAAUUUACCAUCAGGAGCAGAGUUACUUANNNNNNNNNNNNNNNNNNNNUCUCAUUUGCCACAUGGUGGAAUACACUAUCAUCCAUCCACUCUCGGAUAUGACCGAUUGCCUUACGAUUCAUCUUUGUCCAAUUAGCAUCUGAAGUCCCUUCCGGCUUAGCAUCAACUCCUUCGAUGGGCUCAUGCAAAUCUUUGCAAUAGAGUAUGUCCUCCAUUCGUGGCUUCCAUGUAAUCCAAUUUGAGUGGUUGAGUCGAACCAUUGUACUCCUUGAACCUUCCAUUUUAACGCCCACGCCCUACGAACCAAGGGCUAUGAUACCACUGUUGGGAAAAAUAAUAUAAUGGAAGUAACAACUCAAACCACACAAAGGAUAAAUAUGUAAAGAUGUAAAAGAUAGAGGAAAAGGAACACCAGAUAUAAAGUGGUUCGGCAAUGUGCCUACGUCCACGGGGCAGCAAUAACAAAAACUUCCACUAUGAAAUAAUGGGUACACGAGAUACACAACUUCAAGAACACUCCUUGAAGGAAACCCUCUCUCACACUUGUUUUGCUACCAACUACUCUACACUCUCAACUUGGAGUGGACACUCUUCUCUACUUGGAAGAUGAAGUUUUAGAUGGAUGAGAUGCUUGGAAUGAGCAAAUGACUCUCCUUUUAUAAGCUAAGGAGGAAUCAUCUAGACCUCUCAUUAGUGCUCUCCCAAUAAAUGGUACUUCAUGAAUCUUCCUGUAACUCAUGCCUUGACUAUAACUCCAAAACCAUCCAUGUUCUUUGUGUAACUCAUGUAACUUAUGUAACUCAUGAAACCUUUCAUUACUAUUUUAUUUAUUUUGGUCUGGAUAUUAUAACAAAUGCAACUAUAAUAGGAAAAACAAACAUACACAACAACACAAGAUUUAACGUGGUUUCCUCGCUCUUUGAGGUACGUCCACUGGGCGUGAUCCGAUCUUUCUUUACUAUUGAGAAUAAAGAGAUCUAAAUACAAUGUGUUUCACUCAAGUUUAUAACCCAAACCCAAACCCAAACCCGAACCCGAACCCGAACCCGAACCCUUGUACACCUCUCUCAACUCACACUCUCAAUAUCCAGUAAAGCUAACUCUCUUACAACACUUGAUAGAGAAUUAUAUUCUCUCUAGACAAGAGACUACAACUUCGGAUGCCACACUACACAAUGCCAAUGUCGAAUGGCUAUUUAUAGCCAACUUCUUUUGCAGCCAACAUGUAGAAACCAUGCAAAGAAGAAAAGCAAGACACUACACAAUGCCAAUGUCGAAUGGCUAUUUAUAACCAACUUCUUUUGCAGCCAACAUGUAGAAACCAUGCAAAGAAGAAAAGCAAAGUCUUGUUUUUCCUUCUUUCCCGUUCAAUGUUCUACACUCAAUAGCAUGAUACUAUUACCAAUAGUUCUCAACUAUUGUUUUCUAUCCAUGCAUGCUCUCUACUCUUUCAAUAUGAACUCCAAGAACAAUAGUGCACAAUAGUAGGCUUGGUCCCUUAGCUUCAAGCCUUCAACUAUGGCUGCACCACCCAUCUAUAUCUAGCUUCAUAACACAAUGAAUGAGCUAUUUCCCAUGCAUUUACCUUGUGCAUAUUGCAGCCUUCUUCUUCCAUUCAAACAAUAUAUACUGCACCAACUAGCAAACAUGGAAGCAAACAUGGCAUUAGUUUGAGCCACAUCUCAACAGAAAUGCAAAUCUACUUGGUUUUUUAGAGGCUUGAAAAGCGAAGAUUUUCUUAUAGAAUUCUCACAAGCUAAUUGGUGUUAGCUAAACUUACCAGUUAUAACAAGUCAAUAAUUAUGGUAUUUUUUUAUGGUAACAAAAAAAUUUAUGUGAGAGUUUGGUUAGGCUACAAGACCAUCAUUAGGGCAAAUCUGCAACCUUAACUCUGAAGGACUUAUGGUGGACACGUAUAUGUAAGUGUGUAACACCAACCUCCAUGUAUGGAUUUCCACAGAAGAAGUUACAUAUCGCGAACCAAACGAGGCAUGCUUGCAAGGGGGUUUAAGUCUGCCCUUACCAACUGAGCUAAACCUCGAUGGCAAUUAUGGUAUUUAUUUUCAUUCUAGCUUUUUAAAUUUCUACGAAACUCUCGUUAAGAAAUUUGAAGACUUCAAGGGGCUCGGCCUACCACUUUCCAAUGGGCUUCUCAUAGGCCUCAUCCAACAACAGCCCAUUAAAUCAACAAAUAUCCUUGAGAAAAGAAAUUAAAAAAUAACAUAAUAUCAGCUCAGCUCUGCUGGUCCAUAAUUAAGAAAUGCACAAAGUUUGGGGCCAAUCUGCAAUGCAAUUUGCUCAUUAGCUACGCAAUACCCUAAUCAGGUUGAUGAAGUUCAAGCUUUGAUGGUUGACUGCAAUUCUAAAAUAUUCCCCUCCUUAAUUUUCUUUCUUACUUCUUAAUCUUCUGCCAUUUUGUCUAAUCGAACAUCAUUAUCACUAACACAUUUUAAAUCCAAGAGUUAUGCCGUGACCGUCUUUUGUGUUGGUUUUAUCCAUGGGGUUGCUUUGCUCAUGUCAAUUAGCUAUGACUGAGACUGACUUAGUUAAUUGAUCACAAUUAUGAAAACCUAAUUAGCAUCCUAAUGGUGUUUAGGUCGAUCGUCCUAAAUUCUUAUUUGGUUUCAUCUUAAUAUAGAUAUAUAUAAUUAAUCCGAAACAUGGAAGAAGAGGUAGAGUGUUAGGAACUUUUGCUGUUGUCUUCAUGUUGUUGGGUUGAUGUUAGCUUCAUCAAUUGCAUCGACCUUGAUCGAUGACUACUAUGCAAUCUGUUUAAUUGUUUUGAUUUGAUAAUAGUUUUUGAUCUUGAAAGGGAAUCAAGUAUCCAAAGUCUUUCGAAUUUCUGACUAUGCAUUAGAAGGUUUGCUAUGUUUGAUAUUCUAACUUCUGUCUCCUUGUUGUUUUCCAUUUUAGCCCAGCUGUUUGUCUUUUCUCAUGAAGCUUGUAAAAGCUGAAGGAUAAGAUCUAUCAGUCCUAUUGUAUGUUCAUAUGGUCUAGCUAAAAAGUCAAGAUUGAAGAAAAGAGGAAAACAAAAACAUCAAGGCUAUAAGUUACGAGUUAGACGUACAAAUUGUUCUUCUAUAUAAACCGUGUGUUAAUUUUGUUUCCCUACUUGACGAUAUUACGAACAUUUAGGUAAAUUAAAACAUAUAACACACGAUAUUGUUACGCUUAUUAAAUUUGUUCACUAAAUGAUCUACGAUUUAUCUAUUAAACUUGAUCUGAACUAAGUCUACUCACUACCACAAUAUGAAGCAAAUAUCACACAUCUUGUGUGGGCAAUAGAGGUGUUGUAUUUUUCCAUACGUGUGGCAAAUGAGGGUAUUAGUGAAGAAUGAGAGAAAAUUGUCAUAUAUGUGGGAUUCUAUGAUGAGAUUGCAACACCCUUAUUACCCACACAAAAUGUGUGGUCUUUGCUCCAUUUUAUGGUAGUGACUUAUUUCUAAAUAGCGUAACAUUACCCUAGAUUCAUCUAUGUAUCAACUUUGUUCCAUGUUAAUGAUGUGAUUUUGAUGAUUUAAUUUGCAAUUCUAUAAACUAAGGGUUUUGCAGCCUCUUUUCAUCAACAACUUCUGGUAGCCAAGAAAACUACAAAUGUGCAUUCUAAUUGCCGGGGGCAACUGAAAUUAUAGGGUACCAAAGUAGAAACCCUUGCAAACUACGUACCAAAUUAGUUUGUCACUUACCCUAGCUAGCUAGCUAGCUACCUUUAGUAACGCUCUUGGGGACAACAUAUAUAUGUAUCAUUCUAUCAUUCUCUUGCCUAAAAAGGACAUCAUCAUCCUCAUGCACAAACAGCUGUAGAACUCCAUAGAGCAUCAAAUAUACAAAUUUAUCAUAUCAAGCUAGAGAGGUCAUCGUGACGUUAAAAAUUCAGAUGUGAACUUGUAACACUAAUGGUAAAGCAAUAACUAGCUCAGCUUCCGUAGCAAGAGGCAGAUUUCACUUGGCUGGAAAUGGCAUGGGAAAUGCAUUAUGCAUAUUAAGCUUUGCCUAGUGCUCUUCUUCAAGAUUGUUGAUUCUAGCGAGUGUCGUUAUUCAUUCACAAUGAACUCGACCUAGAAAACAAAGCAGCAACAUCGGUAUAUAUACAAUUAUGUGAUUAAUUAAUCUGCCAAAAUUUAAAAAUAAGAAGCCAGUUAUUGACGUCUUUGGUUCUCUUCGAUCGUUUUGAAGUAAUAGGACAAAUGGGUUCGGCAGCUCUCAAAGUAAUAUACUAAGUGUGUGAAUGGGGUGAUUAUUAAGUCCAUUUGAAUUAAAGUAAGUAAUUUCCAACAACUAGGGUGGGAAGAAUGGUACAUUACAAGGAUAUAUAGUCAGUAAAUUGUUAGUUAUGAAAGCAUGAUAGACAAAGAAAUCAAAGUUGAAAUAGUCUUGAAAAGCAUGCUGUUACUUCUUAAAAUGCAGUGAUUCUUUGAAACUAAGAUAUAUAUAAACCCUAUCUCUGCAAUAGUUAUGAAUUCCUUACUGUCUAAACCAUACUUUAAACAGAGGCUAAAAGCUUUAGCGAAUGGCUAGCAUAUAUAUAAUUUUGAUGAGGACAUAGGUUAAUUUCUAGCCAUAUGCCACUAUUUUCUUUGCUCUAAUUUUUAGGGUUAUAUGUUGAGGUCCUAGGUUGAUUUAGUUUCUUUGACUGUAAUCUUUUCCAUAAUUGAAUGGAGAUUAAGAACGUCCCCAUGUCCCCGAGAAUUUAUCUAUGGCUUAGGUACAUACUUAAGAAAACAACAUUCCUAGAAGAGUGAUCGAGUACCAAGAAAAGAUUAGGAAUUUUCAUCUGACUAGCUAGUGAAGAAAAGGAAUUGAAAUAUAGUAGACAAAUGAUCUAGCUACGUACAUUGUUCACAUAUGACCAAGAAAAGAUUAGGAAAAUGAAUGAGGAAAACAAUGGAAUAAUAUAAGGAUAUAUAUCAAUUUUGGAUUACCCAACAAGUCAAGGGCAUUUGGCAAUUAACUCGAUUAGGAGUUUUUGCAAUAAUGUGUUGUUGUGAAGGCACUAUAUAUAAUUGUAUAAGGCCAAAGAAGACCUGGUUCCAAAGCCAAUACUGAUUGCUCACAACAGUGAAUCUAUUGCUUCAUCAUGCCCACUGUGCAUCAGAAAUGAAGCAGAUUUCUCUGAUUUUGUCUUCCUCGAUCUAUUCCCAAAACCAAAAUCCUGAUUUUUCUCUUCACCAAAAACAAGCUAAGCUAAGCUAAACCCGAGCUGCUUCUAGCUACAAAGCACCGACAACAGAUGAAAUAGAAAGCAACAGAAACCAAGAGUGUAUAGUAAAGAGGAAAGGACAAGCUGGGCUAGAUAAUUGUGUCCCAAAGUUCAACAUGUCAAACAUUACAGGUGAUAUUGAAGAAGGUAGCUUCUCCUCAGGGAACACAGCCGGGGAAGAAGUUCAUCAAGAAAAGCAGCUGCAAAACCACUUGCAUGGCACCAACUCUGGUGGAGGUUCCGGAGGGGGUAAGAGUAACAGCAAUGGCUCUGUCACUACCCAACAGCAACAGCAACAGCCAAUCAAGAAGAAGAGAAACCUUCCCGGAACACCAGGCAAAUUACUCACUCUCUUCCCUAACACCCAUGAAGUUAUAGUAUGAGUUCCUUAAUUUUCUGUUUGCUUGACUACUGUGGAGGCAGAUUAAGAGUAGAGAUUCGAAUACUAAACUGUAGAUAUGAGGACAAGUAAUCUCGAUCUACUACUAAAGCUACGAUACCUUUACAUGCCAAAGUUUUUUGAUUAGCGAAUGGAACCAUUCGUGCAUUGCUCGUGAGUCAUAGAUAAGAACAAUACUGGGAUUUUCUGGAUUUGAUUCAGUUCAGAAGAAAAGGUUUAACAAGCUUGAGUUGUAAUCUUCAAUUCUUCAUUUUAGUUUUUUUUUUCUUUUUUUCUGAAGAACUGUUGGUCUGUUGCCCUGUGAUCGAGUACAAUUAUUGCUUCCAGAUAUUUUACAAGAUUUAGGGAGAACUACUGUUCUAUCUUGAGCUACCCAGUGUACACAUGACAUGAUGUUUCGAUAUGGCUCAUUCUAUAGUCUACUAUACAUUUUUUUUCAGUAGAAUUAACCAAUUAUAUUGGCUAAUUAAUUUAGCUGUAUGUUACAUGAUCACAGAUCCGAGUGCAGAAGUUAUUGCUCUAUCACCAACGACUCUAAUGGCAACGAACCGAUUUGUGUGUGAGAUCUGCAACAAAGGGUUUCAGAGGGACCAGAACCUUCAGCUCCACAGGCGAGGCCAUAACCUUCCAUGGAAGCUGAGGCAAAGAACCAGCACUGAGGUUAGGAAAAGGGUUUACAUAUGUCCUGAGCCAACCUGCGUCCACCACAACCCGGCUCGUGCUUUAGGAGAUCUUACUGGCAUUAAAAAGCACUUUAGCCGAAAACACGGUGAGAAAAAAUGGAAAUGUGACAAGUGCUCCAAGAAAUAUGCAGUGCAGUCAGAUUGGAAGGCUCAUCAGAAGACUUGCGGCACUAGGGAAUACAAAUGUGACUGUGGAACCAUCUUUUCCAGGUACUAAGUAAUUCAUAUAUAGUUGGUUAAUUAUGUUAAUUAACUUCCUAACCAACCAAAUAUCUAAGGGAUACAUUAUGGUUUAGGGGUUGCACUUGACAUAGCAUUUGCGUUUGCAUGCAAUAUAAAGAGAUAAAUGCUUGGGAUCAUCAAAGCUCAAUAUAUAUUUUUGCGGUCAUCAAUUAGUUCUCACUCAACCGAAGAAUAGAGUAUGAUCCGGGUUCUAAUGAAUGGCAGCUCAGUUGAUUUCCAUUGUGUUAUUGUUUGAUUGUGUUUACUUUAAAUUGGUAUACUUUCUAAAUAGCCGAAUUAUGUAACAGUCUCAGCUGUCAACAAACUUACCUUAAUGUUUAAAAUGUAGGUACCAAAUUUUCUUUCUUAAUCAUUGCUUAGAAAACAUGAAAUGAGAUUAAACAAACAAGUAGAUCAAGAUUGUAGACUGUUAUUAGGGACAGUGACGCAUCACUAUUGUGAUUGAGCCUUCCAAACUUGAACAUACAUAUUUGUUGAAAUGGCCGACAAAUUGAAGUAUGCAUAGUGACAUCUUUUUGGAAACCUUAUUAGUUUUAGGUCCCAAAUCUUUCUCUUCCACUAUCUUACAACACAAUAAUAUAUGUAGUUUUGUGAUUCUAUACAUUAUAAUACAUGUAUUGAUAUAUUCAUCAAUACAUUUUGUGUAUAUUAGGGAUCAUAACUCCUUGUAUCUUACACAUCUAAAUUGUGCAGGAGAGAUAGCUUCAUCACCCACAGAGCCUUCUGUGACGCAUUGGCAGAAGAAAACAACAAAGUGAACCACGGACUCAUAAUGAACAACAACAUGGGGACCCAUAACCAAAUGCCUGAUCACCUCAUCUCCUCCAUGCCCAUGAACACCAACACCUCAAUGGGAAUCGGAGCCGGAGCAAUUUCCGAAUACAACAACUACGACCCGAAAAACCCUCUGAAAUCCCUCCCGGAUGAGCUUGUCCCUAUGCCCUUCAAGUCCAUCAUGAACACCAAUCUCCCAGCCGGAGGAGGAAUGUUUUCCACCAGCUCCGGCUCGCUUUUCGGCGGUUCUAGAAGCGUCAACAACAACUCCUCCACCUCCUCCAGCCUCCAGCUCAGCUCCAACAACAGCUCCUCCGCCGGGUUCAACUACCUUCAAGACAGCAAAAACGGCUGCGGUGGAAGCCCUAAUGUAACCGGUUCGGCUCAAAUGUCAGCCACUGCUUUGCUCCAGAAGGCAGCUCAAAUGGGCGCCACCGCCAGCAACACUACUAUAAACUCCCCCAUGAUGCAGAAGAGCUUCGUCUCCAGCAUGGCCGGCCCGGAGAACCACCAUCAUCUCUCCAACAACUCAAUCAACGUCACGCGACCGCCGUACGAUCAUCACCCUCAGUUCCAGCAAGUCCAACAACAACAGCUGCCGGAUCACCACCAGAUGGCGGGGAUGCACGGCUUCACCAACCAGCUCUUCGGCGAGGCCAACUCCACGUCAGCUGCCAGCUCGGCGGCGAUGAGUGAUCACAUGGCGGGGAUGUUCAGUCAGGUGGUGUUUAACAUGGGGAGCGGAGGCAGUCAUGAGCAGAACCAAGCAUUGCUGAGGAACUUAGAGCAGCAGAGGUUUGGAGGGAGCGGAGGCGAAGGAGCAGGCGAUAUGACGACGCUUGAUCUAUUGGGGCUCGGGGGAGGAGGAGGGGCGAGGCCUCAGCCGCAGAACUUGCAUGAGCAACAUCAGCAGAGGUUGGACUUGGAAGCGAUGAGCCAGCAGCAGCCGAGAAUGCCGAUGAUGAACCCUUUCCAGCAGCGCUCGCAUGGCGACUCGCCGGUGGAAAGCAACCCGUUUGGGAUGUGAGAUGAAUACUGGCUUAUGAUUUAUCAUUUACUUGAAGAAUUAGGUUUUGUUUUGUGUCUUCUCCGGCUUUGCUGACAAGGUGAGGGUUAGAGUCUGUUUGUAUUGUUUCGAAGGUAAGUCAAACAAGGCCCCCUGUCUCGACUCAAGUCGCCAUUUAUGUAUCAAUGUAUGACCCCCAAUCACAUUUCAACGUACUGUAGGAAAAGUAGGAUCAAUUCCAUUUCACUCAUUCAAAAGACCAAAAACAUGUAAUGUUUCCUUUUCAUAAUCAAGAAUUCUAUACAUUCUUGAGAAGUUGAAGAUAGUGUUUACCAUGUCGUUGGGACAAAUGUUAAUUCGGCAGUUUCAUGUUUGGUAUAUAUAACUAUAGAAUUUUUUACACGAGAGUGAACUGAUCUAACAUAAUCCAUCAAAUGCAAAAAACUCUGUUACUGUAUUUUUACAUUUACUUGCUUUGAUUGAAAAUAGACGUUGAUGUUUACACAUCAUAUUUUCUAUUCACACACCUCAUUAUUUUUCUAUUACUAUAAUUCAAUGUUUUAUUUAUAUACUAUCUUCUUCAAUUUUCUUCAUGAUUGGCUCUCAUCACAAAUGUGAUUUAUGAAUAGGAUUCGGCUUCUCUGCUACGAUUCAUGUUGUUUACAUAACAAUCUAAGGCCGCCACAGUUAUUGAUAAAAGAAAAACAAUAAAAGAUUAGGACUCCGAAGUAGUAUUGUUGUCAUUCUUAAUAGCUAGCCAUUUGAUUGAAUAAGAAUAACGUGGCAAUCUCAGAUUGUUAUCCAAACAUAUCAAAACAACAUGAAUCUAAACAUAAAAAGCUAAAUCCGUGUGAACAACACCAUCUAAGAAAAAUGUUACCCAUGCACGAGUGGUUUAAACUUUAAGCACAAUUGUCAAAAUAUUUUGAGUAUGAACUUUGAAUUAUCAUGCUCCGCUCCUGCUUUAUAAGUUUCAACUAGUCAUCAUGCCAUAAUGACUUGAUUACACAUACAAAACAUGACUUAACAUAUACAUUUGUAUGAGAUUUAGAUAUAAGUAACGAUAUAGAUACAAGAGUUUGUCGAUUUUACUUUUUAGAUAAAGGAAAUAUAGGUAUAAGGAUGGAACCGAUAAUAUAAUUAAACUAAGAUAUAUAUUAUUAUGUAUGUAUGAAAUGUUGGAGAAAACUUGAAGUGUAUUAUUUAUUCUAGUGUGUGCUUAGCAAAUUCUGAUAAUUGAGAACACAAACCCAAAAAAUGUUCCAAAAACUAAAAGGCAAAACUGGAUAAGAUAAGGAUAUAUAAACUGAAACCAUGUUAAUUAAUAGCUACUAAGGACUAAAGAAAAAUAUAACCCUAGAAUAAGAAUAAGAACUGCAUAAAAGAGCAUGGUGUAAGAUGGCAUUUGCCAAUUUUGUAAUAGCAUUUAUCAGACUCCCAAGUCCAUUGAAAAUCAUCAGACAAUCCAUAUGAUGAAGUUAUACCACAAAUGUGGAAGGUGCAAGUGUAAGGUUCUUUCGAAGGCAGGGUAUGAACUCCAUGUUAGGAACUGCAGGGUUUAAUAUUAACAUAGUCAAUCUAUAGGUCGCGUAUGUUUGUUUAAUGAUCUAAAAGUCAGUUGUGUCUGUGUGUUGCAUGGAUAGGUAUUUUGCUAUUGAUUUUCAAUCUUAGGUACUCUGCUCUUAAGCGUUUAAUGGCUCACAUAAACUUUGAAAUUUACUAAACUGGAUUGUUGGCCCAAUCAUUUGUAGCUUUACUAUAACUGAAAUGAAAUCUCAUUAGUAGCUUUCUUAUUUCUGAAAUGAACGUUUGAAAAACUACAUCAGUUUUUACAACUAGUUUAGUUUCAUGUUAGGAAGAUGAUAGGUUCAAUAGAUGGAAUGGUCAGUGCUCAGUAAAACCUCACCCAGAUGUUGUUUUGGACCUUUUUUAAUAAAUCCAUUAAAACUUAAAUGGGCCGUAGUGGGCUAGAGAUGAGUCCCGGACCACAAAACGCAAAACCCUCAAAACCCUAAUUCAGACUUGCUUCUAUAUAUAUGGGAACUCGGAGCCGCCAAGACUCCAACUCGAUCAUAUCAGCCUCUGCGCUCGCCGUCUCUCACAUUCUCUGGGUUUCGCUUCCUCCCCGACUUCUCUGUUUCUAUCUCACUCUCUUUGCUCUGUGAAUUUGAAUUUGAAUUUAUAUUUGUUUUCUGGAAAAAUGGUUUGGGGCUGUGAUGUUGAUUAACUACCUAUUUUAUGAGGGGAGGUAUUCCCUCAUGAUUACAAAACUACCAAUGGAUCCUUCUGAGCCCUCACUCUUGUUUCUUCCAUCUUCUUCUUUGCAAUUCUGUUUUCAAUUUUUAUUGUUUUUCUUUGCUCUAGCUGUUUGUGAAUCAUUGACGUGAUGAUAUAGUACUCGGAAUUACUUCGUGUCGAUUAAAACACUCAGACUACAAUUAUCUGAUCAAUGAUUCUCGCAUCUCAGUUUAUCUGAUUCUCAAAUUUUGAUGUGAUUAUCACUCAUCUUUUCUUGAUGUUUUCCGUAUUUGUUUUUGAAAACUUUUAUUUUCUCCAUUUGCACACUGUAAAAUCUGCCUUUCUCAACUCCGUUUUGUUAUCCAUCUCAAUCUGCAUCAAAUUCCAAUUUCUAGAAAGUUGUAAAACGAUUUCCGAUUAAUUGUAGCUCACUGAUACUGCAUAAUUACAACUAUUAUGGUACAAAAAUAUAUUUGCUGGCUUAAAUUCCCUGUAAGAACAGUUAAACGAGCUGAAUUAGACCAAGUUUCGUCAGUGAUACAGUGCUUGGCAGCGUUGUCCAUUUGAAAUGGGAUAAUUUAAGUUUUAAGCUUAUCAAUACUACUAGAGACUAGGUACAUGAUAUUUGUUGUCCCAACUAACUACGGCGGAGGGUGUUUAAUAAUUGAGUUGUACCAACUCAAAUGACCUAGUACAAAUUGCUCUACCCAAUUACCAUUUGAAAUCUAAUGCUGCUCUGAAUCUGUAGACCCAGAAACUAAUGCUGGUCUGAAUCCGUAGACCCAGAAACUAUUAUUAAGGAAUCUGUCAGAGAUGCCUCUGCCUGCCUUCUAUGUUUUGUUAGUCAUGGUUGAGUUGUGGGAUUGGACUUCCUAGACGUAGCUGAAUGCUCACAUGAAUAAUAUUUGUUGCUACUUUCGAAAUCUCUUCUUCUGCUUCCUUUGCCAUGUCCAUUGCAUCCCUGGAAUGAGAACAAUUGCUUUAAGAACCUGAAAACAAACUAGUCUGGACAGCAUCAAAUCACCACGAUCGGUUACUGGAUUUACCGAAUCAAGAUGUCUGGGGGCAUGGAAACCUGGAUUUGGAGAAACUUCUUUCCUUGCAACAAGUGGUGUGUUACCCGCUCUACGGCCAUUUUCUGACACAUACAAGGAAAUGACACUGUGACUUUUAGAACGUACUCUACAGAAUAAACUUCACUCAAGUCAUGAUAAAUACCUCGGCAAAUUUAGCUGAGAUGAUACUGGAAACAGCUGCAUCAAUGUCUUUAUCCUCUGUUGUAGGAGAACUCUGGUGUGCAAGUCCAGCAAAUUCUUUUGGCUCAGCUACAUCGGGGGAAAUUACUGGAAGUGCAGGAUCUACAGAGAAGUCGGAGCAAAUAAUGGGAAUUAGACGAUAUAUGAGUAAAAAAGUUAAAAGGAAACAUCAUCAUAUUUAUCCAUCAUAAAUGUAACAAAUGAAAGACUGGAUCAAAAGAAUUGCAGAUUGGAUUACCAGUUCAAAAGCAGCUAAACUGAUUGGUUACCUAUGUGUAUAAAAACCUCGGAGACUCCAGGAUGAGAUUUAUGAAUUUGAUGACGAACCUUUUCUCCAAUGUCAUGUGCUGCGCUAACACUACAGAAAGGAUCAACCUGCCAGGGAAAGGUAUCAACUAACUUUGUCUUGGACAAGAAAAAUGGUACAACUUAUAUGUCAACCUCGCAUAGAUGACUUUGAGGCCAACUGAAAUCUACAUAAAGCAUGAACAGAAGAAGCAACCUCAAUAUGUACAUCAAGAUAAAGUGAUGACCCAGCCCUCCUUCCUCUUAAGCGAUGGCAUCCCUGUACACAGUUGACAGUUGAAAGAUAGUUAUAAACAUCUUUAAGCCAACUGCUAGCCCCUCUACUUGUACACACGACACACACAGAAAGCUAGAAAGCUCAUUCCUGAAGCAUACUAACAAGGGGNNNNNNNNNNNNNNNNNNNNGAAGCACAUGUGAUCGUGGAGGAAGAGCAGGCGGUGAAUGGAGAAGAAGUGGUGGUGGUGAUUUUCUGGUGGAGGAAGCGGUGAAUGAAGAUGAUGAGGUGGUUGAAGAAGUGGAGGAUGAAGAUGAUGAUGAGCUGGUGGAGGAAGUGGUAAAUGAAGAUGAUGAGACGGUUGAAGAAGAAGUGGAGGAUGAAGAUGAUGAUGAGCUGGUGGAAGAAGAAGCUAAAAAGAAGAAGAAGAAGAAGAAGAAGGAUGGAGUGGUUUGCAAUUUCUGCGGUAGAAGGUAUGAGACAGCUGCUGCACUUGAGAAACAUCAGAAAAAAUAUCGCAUGAGCUACUAUAAGAUAUGCGGCAAAUGCAAGAACAAACUCCUUUGCAAGGGCGAUUACGAGGUCCACAGAAGAGGCUGCAAGGGGUAGUUUAAAAUGUGCUAUGUUCUUAUCUGAAUCUACUGUUUUUCGACUCCAGACAAGUACAUCUUGAUUAGUUUUCUUUCCAGAUAUCUAGACAAAGUACCCCAACUUUCGAAAAGUAUCAGAUAGUACUCAUGGUUUUCUUUCCAGAUAUAUGCACUUUAGUUCUUGAGGUUAGUUUGUAACGCACUUGCAGGCCUGAUGGUUUUGAAUAUAGCUUGCCAACAGAUAAAUUGGAAGCAGCAUUCUCAGUAUUAACUAUAGAGAGAUUUCUAAAUUAUCGUCUCUGCCUUGCAUUCACUUAGUCAAUUCGUUACUAAAGAAGAUUAUUACUUAUGAUCAUGGAUGUCCUCAGUGGAGUCUGUUCUUAGAAAUGAGGUUUCCAAUUUAUUAUGUCCUGUUAGAUUAUUGAAUGGUGUAGCAAUUGAAUGGGUUCUGUGACGUUGCUCCCCUCAGUAAUGUCCCUAGUUUACUCAUUGGUUUUAAGGUCUCUCGAAUCUGUGAAAAGCUCGAAUGAAAGUCUUCAGUUUAUGGUAGCUGCAUCUGUACAGCCGUCUGUUUUCUGUUAGUCAAGACUCAAGAGAUAGAGGAUCCAUGUUAAGCUGAUAGCUUUAGAUAUCGUAACAGCUAGGAUAAGAUUCUGCAACACUGAAAUUUCUAACAAAUUAACAAACACUUCUGAUUAAUUAAGUAAUGGAUCAGGAGAUAAUGGCUGACCCAACUCUUCUUAAUGAAAAGCACCUGUUUUCUUGGUUCCAUUUGAACAUUAUUACUAUGUGCAUUCUGAAUCCGAUCCACUCGAUGUUUGCUGUGGCUUUGGGUCUAAAUUGUCAUACUGCAUGUCUACUUCUUUUGAAGUGUGAAGAUCUAUGAGUUCUGCCUUGUGGUAAAAAUGAAUCCUUCUAUGUAAUAUCUAGGAGCAGAUUUAGUGCCAGAUUAUGUUUAUGGUAUACUGAAUGGGUUUCUAUAUAUGAAGUUUUAACUGAGAAGCUUGUCAACAAAUGCGAACAAACCUGAUACAAGGGUACAAAAACCUCCCCUUUGUGAAAUUCUGGAAGUAUUGUUUGUGCAUGAGCUCUCUGAUCACAUAGCUCCACCUGAUAUAGAUUUUCUUGUCUCCAAACCAAGACGUGUUUACCCAACAAUUAAUAUUUGCAUGCCUGAAACAAAGGAAAGAUGAAACAAGUAAUACAUAUUAAUUGGUAGUAUCAAAUAGGUAAAACACAAAUACAAAAAAGUAAAUCUCUUCUUCUGCUUCCUUUGCCAUGUCCAUUGCAUCCCUGGAAUGAGAACAAUUGCUUUAAGAACCUGAAAACAAACUAGUCUGGACAGCAUCAAAUCACCACGAUCGGUUACUGGAUUUACCGAAUCAAGAUGUCUGGGGGCAUGGAAACCUGGAUUUGGAGAAACUUCUUUCCUUGCAACAAGUGGUGUGUUACCCGCUCUACGGCCAUUUUCUGACACAUACAAGGAAAUGACACUGUGACUUUUAGAACGUACUCUACAGAAUAAACUUCACUCAAGUCAUGAUAAAUACCUCGGCAAAUUUAGCUGAGAUGAUACUGGAAACAGCUGCAUCAAUGUCUUUAUCCUCUGUUGUAGGAGAACUCUGGUGUGCAAGUCCAGCAAAUUCUUUUGGUCUCAGCUACAUCGGGGGAAUUACUGGAAGUGCAGGAUCUACAGAGAAGUCGGAGCAAAUAAUGGGAAUUAGACGAUANNNNNNNNNNNNNNNNNNNNAUAUCUUUUCGAGAUCUUCGUACUGGUAAAAAAAUUGAUAGAAACAAGUUUUUAUUUUGUAGUUGUGCGAGAUUAAAGAUUUUUAGUUGAAACUUACAAAUGAUUUAAAAUAAGAAAGUUGAAAGGGCAAAUAUGGAAGAAGAAAAAAACUGAAUAAAAAACUGUUAGACUGUUUUAGCCUAUAGAGUGGGACCGUGGAAGUUGGUCGGGAUGAAACCAUAAAUACUGAUGUAGCGAGCUUUUUUCUGCUGUAGCAACUAGCAAGGUGAAAUACAGCGUGUGUGAUCCUCACUCUCUCUCUCUCAGAUUCUCUCACGUACAAAUGUCGUUUUCUCCGGCCGGCGAGUCACCGCUCCCCUCCGAGCUAGCCCCCGCUUCCAUGUUUGAUUCUGGUAGUCAUGUAUCCCAGCCUGUUCGUUUCGUUUUGGUUUAUACUUUCUAGUUUUUUCCGAUUUAGGGUUUUACAGCUUGGUUGUAAGGCCAUUUUCACUAUUCUGAUCGUCGUUCUGUUCUUUUUCCGAUCUCCGGUAGGCUCUGGAUCUGAGACCGGAAGUGGCACUCACGGUGGUUGUAAGGCCGCCGCCACCGGCUCUCCGUCCGGUCCUGUUUUCUUGGUUCCAUUUGAACAUUAUUACUAUGUGCAUUCUGAAUCCGAUCCACUCGAUGUUUGCUGUGGCUUUGGGUCUAAAUUGUCAUACUGCAUGUCUACUUCUUUUGAAGUGUGAAGAUCUAUGAGUUCUGCCUUGUGGUAAAAAUGAAUCCUUCUAUGUAAUAUCUAGGAGCAGAUUUAGUGCCAGAUUAUGUUUAUGGUAUACUGAAUGGGUUUCUAUAUAUGAAGUUUUAACUGAGAAGCUUGUCAACAAAUGCGAACAAACCUGAUACAAGGGUACAAAAACCUCCCCUUUGUGAAAUUCUGGAAGUAUUGUUUGUGCAUGAGCUCUCUGAUCACAUAGCUCCACCUGAUAUAGAUUUUCUUGUCUCCAAACCAUGACGUGUUUACCCAACAAUUAAUAUUUGCAUGCCUGAAACAAAGGAAAGAUGAAACAAGUAAUACAUAUUAAUUGGUAGUAUCAAAUAGGUAAAACACAAAUACAAAAAAGUAAAUAAACGCAUACCCAAAGCUGCCCAGAUUGAACUUCCAUAAAACUACAACUCCUUAAAUAACAGAAAUAAUUGUGCUUCAGGAAAAAGCAAAUAGCUUGACCAAAAGAAAGAUAUUAGCUAAUCAUGGUCCUCUAUAACCGCCUAGUGUUUUUUUUCCUUAGUGUUUUUUUUUUUUUUUUUUUUUUUGUAGAACAUAACUGCCUCGUGCUUUGUUUGACAGCAUACAAGCAACCAUCAAUUUGGUUCAAGACUUACAAACAAGAAAGUUGCCCCUCCUGAUCUGCAGGAAAAGAUGAGCUAGCUAGUACUAAAAAGAAUUUAGUCGAGCAUAGAAAAUCAACACCUUAUAAUUUGAUUCAAUAACCAUAAUCGUUAAUUCCGUAAAUUCAGUAGAUACCUUAAUAUUGUGAAAAUCAGCACGAUAACGUGAAAGGCCAUUACAUCCUUGAUUGUAAGUAUGAAAGCUGGAAAUUGCAGCAUUUGGUAAUUACAAAAUGAAAUUUAAAAUCAGGCAUAGCAGGAAACAGAGAACACCCUUCACUUCCAUUAGAACAGUGGACGCGAACAUCAUACUUUCUAAUCAUGUUUUAGAACUAUUAAUUAUAGUGAAACAAAUCAAACAAUUCAUCUUGAUGAACUCACAUAUUGAUCUUUGGUUCUCAAACGGAUCAAUGUCCAUUUGUGAAGCUAAAUGCAGACCGGUAUACAUUAUUUCAUUUUGAUUAAGCCUCGUAAUAACAAGGUAAUUUAUAAAAGGUGAUCAACAUAAGAGGGGGACAAACACCCACACCUCCCAUACAAAAUAACAGACAUUAACAAAAUCGGAAAUUAGGAAGUCUCAACCUAUCCCACCAAACCAUACCAUAAUAAGAAGAAGAAAAAAAAAGGAGAGCCGAAUUCUACUUACAUGUUUGCCUAGUUCCUGAAUUCUUAACAAGGUGGGUGUCUAUGAGGCAUUAAUGAGAUACCGUGUGCGGAAGUAAUUAUUAUUAUUUUGAAAGGGGUUUGGAACCCAACCUAACUAGGAGGCUCAAUCCCACGCCGAUUCCAUUUAUUGAAUUAAAAUUUUGCAUCCGGGAGUAUAACCUGAACCCUGAGCUACAUACUAGAUAUUUCAUAGAUUCUCAUAGAUAACAUUCUGAAUAAUAGUAGGUGUCUCAUCUAUACUGAAAUAACAUCAAACUUAUUGCGGCUCAUCUAUUUGCCACACUAUUUGCUGGUUGUUGGUUGGAAGUAAUGCUAUUUUGCAUUACACUGAGUUAUGCUAAAUUGACUCGGUAAUAGUUCACAUUUUCUCAAUAGGCUUUGUUCAAGCUAUACACUACUUACUUAUUGAAGCUUCAACUUCACAUAGUGUAAUUGGCAAAUCAAAGUCUUACACUUGCCCUGUCGAAGCCUCUUGGAUUUUUCCAUAGUCUGGCUGGAACAAUAUCCUUUAGAAAAACAUAGCUCUGAAUUGAUAAAAGUGCAAAAUCCAAGUGAUGGUACCGAGAGCCGGCGAAGAAGGAAUACUGGGGUAUGGAAUCAAGCUGGGUCAGGAUUUGGAAACGGUGAUUGGUAAAGCCUUUCUAGCGGCCCCUUCAUCUUCUUAUUCUUCUAGCUCCGGUAGGGUUUCUGUAAAUUUAACUUUUGAGAUUGAUUGGGGAGCAAUUCGAGAAGUAUUUAAAAUCGGGCGAGAUAGUAAAAAGAGUAAAGAGCGGCAUUUUUCUUGAGACAAUUAAUCGUGUGGCCAGCAGUUUCAAAAACAAAUCGUGUAGUCAGAGAAUUUUCUUCAUGAUUUUUUUUAAUAGAAUAAUGAUGUAGUUGGCUGAUAUCAAUUAACAACAAGCCACAAGGUGUUAUGUGAUUCUUCAUCAACAAGGUGUUAUGUGAUUGUUAUUAACUAGAAUGGUGAGUUGAGUGAGUUUCAGAAUUUUUUAAUUUAGCCAAGCCAAGAGUAUUUGAUGAUCAUGCAUGCACCUAAAUUUAGCCAAGCAGAGAGUAUUUCAUACAAACGUCUAAAAACAAAAUAUCAAUAAACGCACUCCUGAUAAAAAGAAAAAAUCAAUAACACUAAUGUGACAACAUCAGAGGGAAUUAAUUAGGAGGCGGUGUAAUCCAGAUCGGAGAUCGCUUGGUCAUCUCCAGUAAAGUCAUUGCAUUUAUUGUGUAAGGCUUCGAAAUCUCUUCACUUUUGAAGUUAUACACACUGAAAUCAUGAGGUCCGUGAGAUCCAAUUUCACUCUUUAUGCGAUUGUCAUCUUGAUUGAAGUAUAUGCAAUUUGGCUCACAAUUUUUAAACUUUGAAGCCAAAACUGAUAUCGUAGAGUUAUCUCCAAUAAAAAGAGCAUAUUCACCCAAAGUGUUUUUCUCAAUCCACCCAUUCUUACUGCAAUUCAGUUGGAAAAUCUUGAAUUUUUUUGUCACACAUUUGUCAACGUCCCACUCAUAGACCCUUUGAACCAUUAAUAAUCCAUCAUCUGAGUCCACCAGAUAGCUCCUAAAGACGUAGUUUCUUGCCAUACCUGUUGCAGCCACGGUCGCCUCUGUGCCUGAAAACCUUGUAAUUUCAAAAGAUAAAAGUUGGCUGUAAUUGUUCACUGCAUAAAACUUAUCUUCAACAUUAACAACUUCUUCAACGGCAGUCCAUGUAUCAUCUUUAUAAGUCCAUGUUUUGUCUUUCAAUCUCAUAAAAGCCAUUCGAAAGAGAUUUUCAUAUAUGACCACCACAACGCACUCAUUUGGAUUAAGUAUCGGAUCUGCUGAAAUUGUAGCCUUAUGAACAUAAUAGUCACGUCUUUCAACUCUCUAAGGAACUAGAGGGAUCAACGGAGGAAGACGAAUGAUUGAAUUUUCUUUCUCUUCCUUCCCUUUAAUCCUAGAGAAUGGAUUGAGUAAUGUGACGGCAAAAUUUUCUUCCACAAGAACUAACCAUCCUUUGGAAGACCCACAAUAUCGCUUAUUGGGCAAACUCACCUGCAUAUCAAGAACCCUAUCCUCCGCGAUGUUGUAAAAAUUCCAUGUAUCUUCUUCUGUGUUGCUAGAAAUUAAGAGCAAUAUUGGCUCAGGAACCUCACCAUAUUCACUGUGAUCCUCGCCUCCAUGAUGCAAUUUUGCGCAAUUUGAUGAUGAUUUACCCGAAUUCAUAAUUUCUCUCUCAAUCCCGGAAAAUGUUGUUGGUGCUUUCACUCGUCCUCUGGUUUUGAAUAUAUAUAGCGAGCUAGGGUAUACAAAUUUGCGAAGGAUACGGAGUCCAAACCCUUCUAGGUUUAGGAGAUGAGAUAAUACCCUUUUGGAUACGGAGUCGUAGUGGAUGUGGUAUACCCUUCUCGAUGAGAUAAAAUUAUGCAAAACCGGGUCGGGCGAACAAGCCCAUGACAGAACCCAGGAACCCGGAUCCGCAAAAAUGCAAGCGCCAAUUAGCGCUAGCGUGUGGGUUUUCCUCACCUACUCUACUCCUACCCUGUUCCUGCACCCCCUUCGUUUCGUCAAAGCUUUAACCCUAACUCUAUCUCCCUCAGUAAUCAAAAUCCACCUGCUUUGCUUUCCAAUUCUUCAUGCCCUAACCUUCCCCAAUUCUCAAUUCUAAGCUUCGAGGUCGUCGCCGGCAAUGGAGGAUCCCUCCGAGCUAGAGAUUGGGAAUUCCGUCGUGUCCUUCCACAAGUUCGUCGACUCGCAGAGGCAGCUAUUCCAUAGCCAGAUCGAUGAGCUCCAGAAAAUCGUCGUCACUCAAUGCAAGCUCACCGGCGCCAAUCCUCUCUCCCAGGAGAUGGUGCGUUUUGCGAUUCCAAUUCUCUUCUUCUUUGUUUUGAACAGAGAGCAAUUUCGAUUCUUAUGCCUGUGUUUGUUUGGCUUGUGCAGGCAGCUGGUGCGCUCUCUAUUAAUAUCGGUGAGUCUUGGAAGUGCGAUUGUUUAGUGCUAAUUGUGCUUAAUGGUUUCGUCACUUUCGUGUUCUUGGAUUUGUUUCUUUAGCUUUACUGCAUAAGCUGCUAGGUUUUCAAUUUGGCUCUGCUGUGAUUUGUAUGUUCAUAGUUUGUAUGUUUUGGUGUGUUUGCAGGAAAAAGACCUAGGGAUUUGUUGAAUCCAAAGGCUAUCAAGUAUAUGCAGUCUGUUUUUUCUGUUAAAGAUGCGAUUACGAAGAAGGAAUCUCGCGAGCUCAGUGCACUGUUCGGGGUUUCCGUCUCGCAGGUUGUUGUUUAUUUAGUUGAAUUUUAGUGGUAUCUAAGUUGUUUCAUCAUACAUUUUGUGCGAACGCCCCUGGGAAUCUGUCAUGGGAUGCCAAUGGGGAAUAGAUUGAUUAUAAGAUGUGCCAUUUCGGUUUUACUAAUUGCAAUGUUAGGGUUGUUAACUAUGAUUUGUAACUUUAUGUAUUCAUAGAUAGUCUCGAGUAUCUAUAUCAACAUGUUUGCUGGCAAUUAAUUUGAGUGUGUCUGACAUGUGUUCCUAUUGAUUCAUAGGUUCGUGAAUUUUUUAACACUCAACGAUCCAGAGUUAGAAAAAUAGUUCAGUUGUCAAGGGAGAAGGCCAUCAGAUCCACUGAGCAUAAAGGAUUGCUGGAGGGGGUGCCAACAAGCUUUGAUCCAUUGGUACCAAUCAAUCCUCUUCCUUUAAACACUAUUGGUCCCUCCAAUGUUAACCCCCUUCCUUUAAACACUAUUGGCCCCUCCGAUGUUAAUCUCCUUCCUUUAAACACUAUUGGCCCCUCCGAUGUUAAUCCACUUCCUUUAAACACUAUUGGUUCCUCCAAUUCUAAUCCCCUUCCUUUAAACACUGUUGGUCCAUCCAAUGUUGAGGAUGCACCAUCUUGCUCAACACAAGAUGAUACUCCUCCUGGACUAGAUGACGUUGAUAAACAUUUUGUUGAAAAUAUUUUCAACUUGAUGCGGAAAGAAGAAACAUUUUCUGGGCAAGUGAAAGUGUUAGAGUUGAUAUUGCGGAUACAAAAUUCUUCAGUAUUAUGCUGGUACGUGUUGCAAACUUUCUAGGUUUAUCACUAUGUCACUGUCGUCUCUUUUCAUGAUCCUGACAUCCACUUGUAUACAUGCAGGUUUUUAACUAAAGGUGGCGUGAUGAUUUUAGUAACAUGGUUGACUCAAGCAGCUGAUGAAGAACAAACGAGUGUUAUACUUGUCAUCUUAAAGGUAUUUGUUGAUCUGGAAAUCACUCUUUCAUUUAUACUGUGUUAUCGUUGCUUAACAAGUAAUAAUUAACUGAUGCACAGGUUCUUUGUCAUUUGCCUCUAUCCAAAGCUCUUCCUGCACAUAUGUCAGCCAUACUGCAAAGUGUCAAUAGAUUGCGCUUCUACAGGACAUCAGGUAGGCUUUUCUUUCAGGAACCUCUUUCAGUGGUUUUCAUUUUUCUCUCAAAAAAGUCUUUCUUCCUUUAAGGUUUAAAUGUGCUGAAAAAGAAGGCUUCUUCACUUGCGCAAUGAUUUCUGUUUCUGUGUCUCUAAAGUUUUAAAAUCUAAACAAUUCAAUAUGUGCUUGAGCUGCGUUUUCUAUAUAGUUUAUAUAAAUAAUAUGCAAGUUUGUAUAUGAUUCAGCUUUUCUCUUUAUACGUCAUGAAAAUUUUGAAUCUCAUUUAUCUAAUUUGAACAUCAGAAAUAUCAAACAGGGCAAGGGUUUUGUUAUCAAGAUGGAGCAAAUCAAUAGCAAGAACCCAAGCUUUGAAGAAACCGAAUGGUGUGAAAACAUCUGAUGAUUCACAAGAAUUGGCAUUGCUGAAGCGAAGGCAAGGAUAUCUUUUCCUCCCCUGGCACUAAACAUUUGUUGAAUCAGUUACUAAUGAUCGCUUAUAAUUUUCUACAGUAUUGAUGAAGCUAUAGGUGAUGAUCCAUGGAACUCGAAUGGUGAUGUUCACGUAAGUUCUUCAAAGAUUAAAAUAAAAUAGUUCAAGUUGGUUCAAAUUACUCUCCAUUUUCUUAUUGGCCCUAAUUGUUAUACAGGAAAACAUCCUUGCAUUGCCAUUUGAAAGUGCUGAUAGAUUAAGGUACAAAAUUUUCUAUGUUCUGACAGACAUUUCACGAGGACAGUGACAUUUUUAUGUUUUGCGAUUCCUAAGACUUUUUUGUUUUACUUUCCAGGAAAUCUGAGUCUUCAGAACCAAUGAAGCUACUGACAGCAUCAUCAGAUGAUUUGAAUAAGAAACACAUCCUAGGUGUAUCUUCAUCCCGUAUCCUUCAUAUUGAAUUCGUGAUAGUUCUUUCCCAAGUGAUGCAUUACAUUUCCCGCAACGUAAUAUAAUCUGGUUAUACCAAUCAAAACUAAUAUUCAUGAGUUAAGAAAAAUGAGGUUUAGGAAUAUCAAGUUUUACUUCCAAUCUUGAUCUGUAUACUUGGGAAAGAUAGUAAAAUUCAAAGAGCUCCCUCGUCUGGUGUGGUUGCAGUAUUUAGUCCCCUAACUUCUCGUGUGUUACCAUUUCCCCGAAUAUGUCUGCCCUGAUAUAAAGACAUAAAGUUAUAUAAAUGACUCAUAAAUGGUUUUCUAAUUUCAGUACAUACAAAAUUCAUUUCCUUAGCUAGUAACAGUAUUUAGAGGACGUAGGAAAGUUCAAUUGGUGGAACAGCCAGGCCAAAAGACAGCUGGGAGAAGUUCACAGGCUGCAAGAGCAACACCUGUCAGUCAGGCUCGCCCAAUGUCUGUUGAUGAUAUCCAAAAAGCAAAAUUGCGAGCACAAUAUAUGCAAAGCAAGUAUGGAAAGUCUGCUUCCUCUAAUGAAAAUAAAGAAGUGAAGGCUGAAGGUGUGAACAAACUUCCAGUCUCUCAGGCCAGCACUUUGCCUGUAGUAUCCAUUGUUCCAGUUCAGUCCAGCAUUGAGGAAUCCAAGAAACCUGCAACACUUCCAUUUAAAGAGAGGGAAACUCCUGAUAUGAGUGUACAGUCUAUUGCGAGUUUCCAGCCUAUCGCUCCAAAGCUGAAAACAGAUAUAAAGGAGCACAUCUGGGAGAAGUGCAGGAGAGUUCAGGUGCCGUGGAAGACUCCACCAGGUACAUAUACUUUUAGUAAAUCUUGUUGGUUACUAUGGAUUCUGUGCUCAUGAUGUCAGUGCAAAAGCAGUAGGAAGAGGAAAAAAAGUGGAGGUUUUUCUAUGUGAUUGGAGUUUAGUGGAGAGAGGAGCUUAAGCAUUUCCAAUAUUUUUCUAAGAGGGAGAAUAUAUAUAUUUUUUUUCGAGUCCCAUUUUUGACUAACUAUGUUUGCUGACCUAAACAAAUAGGAUGGACGAAACCCCAACUGUAUUUUUCCAUGGAAAACUGGAGUCUUAGUCAGUUGAAUAUAUAUCAAUUGAAUCUGUUUUUAAUUAUUUGAUACAUAUGUUCUACCGUUUAGUACGAAGUGAUAUAAAUGAUAUUCUUUUCUAAGUUUGUGUCGGCACAGGUUUGGGAUUUCUACUGGUGUAGAUAGAAAAUCUUGGGGUUACUCCCGUUGAAUCAUAAGUUAAUAAUUGGGCUGCAUUCAGUAGUGGAUUCAAUCUUAAAAUCCUGUUUGGUGUCGGUUUCUUAUCAGAAUGUCUACACAAGACAAAAAAAUGAGCUGAAAACUCAUUCUUAUAGCAGUUGAUUAUGGAUCUUAAAAUUCAAUAAAAUUUGGACUCGGUAUGGUUGGAAUUUGCAUCGCUGUACAGAAUGUGACAGUCUGAGCAUCUGUAUUAUUUAAGCAUCGAGCAAGAUGGUUGAAGGGUGACAUUUUUCUCACGUGACAGUUGGGUGUGUAUGCCCGAGUUGAGUGUGUGUUGUAUGCCAGAUAAAAAUGGGAUAUUCAGUUUUGUUUUCUAACUGUAUCAACUUUUGAAAUCUAAAUUACUUAAUUUCACAUAUCCCCUUCUAUUUGUUCAUUAUUGUGAUGUCAUAUUCCUUAGGGUUUUGUUUUACACACUAUUCUGUAAAUUUCUGUGUAGAAAUGUUCAUGUGGUGUUUCACUUCCCCAGAUUGCUUUCAUCUUAUUAAUUUCGAAUUUGAACACGGUUUGAAUCAGAUAAGAUUGAACAACAUUGGCCGGAAAGACGGUUGAUUCUGAUAAGAUUUGGACAUCUUUUCUCUGAAAUAGAUCCUUUGCCUGUAUGAAAGCAAAUCCUGGAUGAUUAUCAUGGGUUAUGUCAGAUCCAAUCUAUGUGUUUCUUGUUAAAGUGAGGGUGGGAACUAUUCGAAGCAGGCUAAAUUGAAUGUAUUAUCACAAGUCUUGACUUAUGAGCAUGAAGUAAUGAGUGAGGGGGUUUGGUCUGUGGUCGCUCAGCCGGCUUGUUAAAUUCAGAAUUCAACUUAUAUGGCUUAACUGUGCAAGGAUCACCAUGAAACUGUGGUAGCAUGCUUGAAUUUAAGCUGAAUCUUCAAAAAGGCUAUCUAUCAGGUCUCUUAAAUUUUAGAAGGGAAGCAACUGUUGGACAGUUUUCCAUAUAAUCAAUGAAUCUGGCCCAGUCAUCUCCAUUUAAGCAUUCACAGUAAAUGGAUUGAUUGGAUUUUGACGUUCAUCUCAUACAAGAUGGAAAAACACACAGAUAUAAUUAUGAUGUCAUCCAUUGUUAUUAUUUGAUUUCAUUGUAUACCUUUUUCUCGAGGUAUAUAGCCCAAAAUGUAUCUGUCAUGUUUUUUCUCUUCUACUCCUGAUUUCUUUGGGUGGUUGUCUUAACCUUGUAGGUCUUAAGCAACAUUAUCAAUUUUUUCUUUACGCCCUUUCCUUUCCUUUCUGCAGAAAUUAAACUCAAUCCAGAAUGGAGGGUUGGAGGUGGUGAGAAUGGCAAAGAAAUGGAAGUCCAGAAAAACAGAAACCACCGUGAGCAGGAAACUAUCUACAAGACAUUGAAGGAGAUACCACCUAACCCGAAGGAACCUUGGGAUAUUGAAAUGGACUAUGAUGACUCAUUGACUCCAGUAAUACCAACAGAACAGCCUCCUGACAGUGAUUGUACUGAAACACAACCUUCCCAUAGUCAAGAAGUAAAUAAUGCAGCAGAAACGUUGGCCCCUCCUCCUCAAGGAGUAAACAGUGUUAUUUCGCCGCCAACUAAUACGGCAAGCAGCACAGCCGCACCAGAUCUAGAGUUGCUUGCUGUGCUGCUAAAAAAUCCAGAAUUGGUGUUCGCCUUAACUUCUGGGCAGGCCGCUAACUUGUCGAGUGAGGAUACAGUAAAAUUGCUGGAUAUGAUUAAGGCUGGUGGGGCUGGUUUUGCUGGUAGUUUAAACGGGUUAGCUAGUAAAAUGGAGGAGAAGGUUGAAGUUUCUCUUCCAUCCCCAACACCUUCAAGCGACCCUGGAACGGUGCGUUACUCGGGCUCAUUAUGCAACUUUAGCCAGACCUUGUAUAGAUUACAUUCCAGUUUUUCACUAGCAGUAUGUACAGUAGUCUCCUUCUCCUUCUAGUCUCUUGGUCUUUUCUGCUCUAGAAUCCUGACGGCAAAGCACAUUGAAAAUCAAAAUGAUAAUUUAGGCGGAACCCUUGAGAUAUUUGCUAAAAAGUAUUCCCAACUCAUUCUGUAGAACUAGCUACAGGUGUGGCCAUCAAUGAAACAAGUGGCGAACUUUGAGUUAGGGGGAGGUCUUGGUCUUCUGGUGCUUCCCAUUGUUCUUUAUAGGUAGUGGAGCUCGCUUGUGUGAAUAGUGCCAUGGUGGUUGGUACACCUCUGUGGAUUGGAUCAUGGGAAUGAGUCUGACUGAUGCAUGCAAGAUAGGAAAAUUAUUAAUCAUGAAAGUUUUAAUGUUCUUUUUUUUUUGGCCCAUCAACGAUUUUGACUCAAUUAUCCAUACUUGAGCUGAUUGUUCUUUUUCUCCUCUGUUUAUUGAAUUUACAGAGUGGAUGGAGACCAGAAGCUACAAGGAAUGCAUUUUCCCAACAAAACUCGAUGCAGAACCGAGUGAGCCCUGGUUACAGUUCACCAGCAAUGGUGGCCAACAACUCGGUGCUGUCACAGCUUCCAUCAGCUCUUACUAGUCCUCUUCCGCAGCGGCUAUUGGGUGCCCAACAAGCAGUACCUGCAUAUUCACCAGAGCAUGUCCAUCAAAUUCCCCACAGUACUACCGUACCAUCACACUUGCAGCAUAACUAUUCAAACAUGGCUGUUCCUUCUGUUUGGGGUGAAAGCACAAGUAAUCGCAAACCAGGCCCGCUGUAUAACUCGUAUAAUGUAGCAGCAGAAAGGCAGCCUAACUCGCUGCCACCACCCUUCUUGCCCACUCUGACACACCAACAAAGACACUCCCCGCAACCACUGCAACAACAAACCCCUUACUCUGAGUCUCAUUAUUCAGAGUCUCCCCAAUACUCCGAGUCACCCUAUUUCUCUAAACCACCAACUGUGAAACAAGGCCCUCCUCUGUCUGAUUCAUGGAGAUCUGGUAGGCAGGGUUUACCUUCGAACUAUCAUUAUUUAGAGAACCAAAAUCAGUACUACAAUGCACCACCAUCAUAUGGAGGACCUUUGCAGCAACAACCUCAGUUGAGGUCGGGUCCUCCUUGUGAAGGAAAUGAAUUUGUGAACAAUGGAGGAGGUUUUGAAUCGUGGAGUCCUCCAGAGGAUAGUCCGGCUAGAAAUGCCGAGUAUAACAUGUAUGGAAGAAACGCUUACAGGCCUGUGGAAAGGUCGAGGCAAACUCAGACUCCUGGAUACCGAGAUUAUAGUAGGCAGGGACAAACGUGGCCUGACCGCGGCAGAUUCACACAAUGAGAAUGGAUGUUUGUUGAUAAUGGAGCAUAGAUUGGUAGGGCAUCGAGUCUGAGAUUUGAGAUGAGUGGAGUACUGAGACCAGUAGAGCUUGUAAAAACCAUUAUUGACUAUGAGCGCCUGUGAAACAAGGAGGAAAGACUGAUUCUGACCCAACUUGGAUCGAAAUAUUCACAACCUAAACAGCUAAAAUUUUGGCGACUUGUUUUUGUUCCUUCACUUUUAGGCCUGAACCAAUGGGACUAAAAGUUGAAUAAGAAACCCUUUGAUGAGUCCAUGACCCGUAGGUGGUAAACACAAAGGGAAAGUAAAAAUUGGUGUGCCGCCAAGAGCACUAGUCCCUUAAUCCUAACUGAGGUCAGGUCAGGCUACCAGGGGUAUCCAAGUUGACAAGACAUAAGCAUCACAUCAACUCUUUCAGAAAGUUUCGUCCAUUGCCUCCAAUCCUAACUCAGGCUAGACUAUUAUUAGGGGAAUUUAGUUCGAAAAUAUAUAAUAUACACAUUGUCUCUUGAUGUUUAAAGAAAAUUUACAGCAGUUUUAUGAAGAGACUUUAAUUUGAAUAAUGGUUAUUAUACGAAGGUGUUAGUUUAAUGGUUUGUUGUGCGAGCAUUUCAUGAUUAUGAGCUUUUCUAAUAAAGAUCCUUAAAUUAAGGACUAAUUGAGGAUUAGACAUAUACACACAUACUUUUUGAGUUUUAUGUAAAAUUUACCUUCUUAACAAACACCUUCGUAUUAGAUAAAAUGUCUUUUACCUCUAUAUCAUAUGGCAUAUAGCAUGUAAUUAACCUUACCUCGUCCCAAAUACUCGCUAAAGGUAAACACGCUGGCUAAGCACCUCCCCAUUUUUAUUUUGGUCAACGGGUCAAAACUACUUAUUCUGUUUAUAGCAGUCUAAUUUUAAUCAUUGAAACACCACAGUAAAUACCAGGAACGCUCACAUGCGGGAUAGCAAAUACGGGACAAAAUGGGAUAGUUUUAGAACAGCCACAAGAUUUAAAUGAGCUGAUCGGACGGAUGAAAUUCACAACACACUAAACCCCAAUCAUAGACUACACAUUACCCGAUGUCUUCUCUUGUGCCAGUGCCUCCCCACACCCUCGACUGGAACUCUUUCUUCUUUCUCCCUCAUCUGAAAUUCUCUAUUCUGCCUCAUCUCAACCCAGAUAUGCCGUCUACAAUCCCUUAAGGCCUCCCAUAAUACCGUUCUUGUUUCAUCAUCAUAAGACUGGUAUCUUGAAGGUAUUUUCUCAGGUUUCUCUCUUUUGAUUUUGGGUUUUUUCUUAUUUUAUUAUAUUUUCAGUUGAUGAAUGGUCUCUAUAAUCAUGGACAUAGAGUAUUCUGUUGAUAAUUUCAUCUUCGGAUAAAUGUUGCAGUCCCUACCAUAUAUUUGAGUUUCUCUGCUUUCCCAAUUAUUUUUUAAUUUGAAGCACCCAAAUCUAGAAUGGAUUGCAUAUAUUUGUUUAAUCGAUAUCUGAUUGCUUCACAUAAUAUUGUUCUUAAACAGCAGCUCAAUACAUAAAUUGUUCAAUUAUAGUACUAGUAAAGUGGUUAAGCAUUCAACUUUUGUUUGGUUUUUAACUUCUUUUCUAUUAAUAUUAUGUUUGGACUCUAUUUUGGUGAAAGUUAAUUUAUAAUUGUGUUUAAAAUAUUGAACUACAGCCCUUUAUGAUGGGUGAACAAUCAUCAAAAGAGCCUACCAUGAAUGCUGUGCCUACUAAGAAUGUGCCUGUUGAGAAUGUUGUGUCUGCUGAGAAUUUGAUUGCUAAGAAUGUUGUUAAAGAACCAAAACUUCAGCUUGGUCAGGAAUUUGAAUCAAUUGAGGUGGCCUAUUACUAUUACAAUGAUAUAUACACAAAAGCUAUUGGUUUUAGUGUGAGAAUGGGUUCAAAUAAGAAAAGUAAGGUGACAGGGGAAAUUAUUUGGAAACAGUUCUUAACUUCUUAUGUUCCAAGGAAGGAAAAACAGAUGAGACAUAUGAGAACACAAGAAGGCAACAAUCGUCGACCAUGGAAGAAAGGAAUUGCGGAAUAAAACGUAUGGGUUGUAAGGCAAGGUUAAACAUCGUCUUUAACAAGGAAAAGAAAAACUAAUGUGUAAGUGGCUUUGAAGAGGCUCAUACACAUGCACUUACAACUCCUAAAAAGGUAUAUCUAUUAACAUCACACCGCAAGCUUACGAAGGCAAAGAAGUGUCUCAUGGGAAAGCUAAAGAGUGUAAAUAUUCGAUCAAGUCAGCAAUUCAAGAUAAUGGAGACUGUGGCAGGUGAUAUACAAAAUGUAUCAGCUGGGUUAUCAUUUAAUAAAUGUUUUCUCAUUGAAGCACAACACCAGAACAUGUGUAUAUUCUAUUGGAUUAUAAUUAUAACUUUUAGGUGAUUGUGAAUUCGAACUUGUGUAUAAUUAUAGCUUGUGAUUGUCUUUUGGAUUACAUUCUUCUGGAAGUUAUCUUCUCAUUUAGUAAUCACUUGAUCAGCUCAUCUCUCUUAGUCAAUCUGAUAUUGAGUUAGAGAAACUAUUGAGCUCGUAUGAGCAGGAAAAAGCAUCAGAGAAAUGAUGCUUGCUACUUUACUAUGUACCCAUUUAUGCAUGGUAAAAUUUGACAAUAUCAGUGAGUUUUGAUGUUGCUGGAAGUCUGGAACUAAGUCCUCACUCUGCAACACAGCAAGGUAACAACAUUCUCAAUAUCAAACAAAACCCUACCAAUAUUAACAUCUGAUUACGUAAAACCUUCGGACUUAGUUCUUUAAUUAUGAAUCAAUACUGAUACACCAACCCUCAUAUCAUCUGGGUCACGUCUUUACUACUCAAGAACACCAUCCAUCUUACGAAAUCAACAUCAAUUUUCAAUGCAAACCAUCAUCAAUUUUGAUUUUAACUAGAUCAAAGAUGAUCAAAUUUUAACAGAAGCUCUCUAAUUUUGUUCGGGAUGGCAGUAAUAUCGUUUCAUAUCUCUAACUUCGACUUCAUUCAUAGGUCUCUCUCACGUUCCGAUCAAUCAUCACCUUCAUGAUUCCUUUUUUGACUAUAGUCGCCUUAAUUUUUAUUAUGGGAGGCCUUAAGGGAUUGUAGAAGGCAUAUGUGGGUUGAGAUUAGGCAGAAGAGAGAAUUUUAGAUGAGGGAGGAAGGAGAAAGAGUUCCAGUCGAGGGUGUGGGGAGGCAUUGGCACAAGAGAAGACAUCGGGUAGUGUGUAGUCUAUGAUUGGGGUUUAGUGUGUUGUGAAUUUCAUCCGUCAGAUCAGCUCAUUUAAAUCUUGUGGCUGUUAUAAAACUAUCCCGUUUUCUCCCGUAUUUGCUAUCCCGCAGGUGAGCGUUCCUGCAGUAAAUACUAUUCUAGCAGUAAAAGGAAAUUAAUUAACAAAAAUGUAAUCAACGAUCCGGGAAGAAAAACCACGGAAAUUAGAAAAAUAAUUAAUCUUUAGAAUCUCCUUAUUAGAUUUAUUUUUUUUGUUUGAGGAGACUCUUAAGGCGGUGUUACUUUAAUUAAUUUAUUUAUUUCUAAAUUUGCUGGCUCCACUUCCCCUAUAUAAAAAAAAAUACCCAACUCCCUUUCAGUAUUGUCCUCCAUUUUUUUUUCCGCGAUUUCCAGGGUUCGUAGUAUUUGGGGAUUUCCUGGAGCUCUCUCUUCUCUCUCCACCGCACUCUUCCGAUUAGGUUUUCCUCCUAAUCUCACCCCAAGGUAAACCUUCACUUCCUCUCGAGCUCUUCUCCGUUCGAUUCUCCUCCCUAUUUGCUCCGCUAGCUCGAUUUCCAGGGUUUGGUACUCUUCGUCGUUUUUGCUUCUCUUGAUUUCUUCGUUAGGGUUGCAUUUUUGUUUGUUUGACCUGGAAUUGUGCGCUUCUGGUUUUGCCUAGGGUUCUUGGCUGUGUGAUAUGCUUUGUUUCUCUGGGAUCGGUUUCUUUAGGUUUUACUAUUUUUGUUUUUCGCAUUCGAUUUUUGUUGUUGUUGAAUCUUUUUGUGCAUUUUUGUGGAUGAUGAAUUCCGAUGGUGCUGGUUAGCUAGGGUUUUCAUCGUGCGUGUUCAUUUGAUUCCGAUAAGUCCUCGAUGUAACCUAUAAAUAUGCUGGAUUCGAUUUUCGGUCAUCAAUUUUUGGUAGUGAUUUCGUGUUUGGUGGUUGUGGAAUUUGUGAUUGUUAUGUCUUGUGUACUGAUUGCUAUUAUAGGCUAGGUUUUGAUUGUAUUUUGUUUUUGUUUUGUUUUAUGCUGCAGUUGGAAGUCGAACAUAAUCGUUCGCAGCUAUGGAGCGCAAGAUUAUCGAGUUGGAUCAAGGAUGGGACUAUAUGCAGAAGGGGAUCACCAAGCUCAAGAGGAUUCUUGAGGGACAGCCAGAGGCUCAGUUCAACUCAGAAGAAUACAUGAUGCUUUACACGUAUCCUUUACUGCAUAGUUUGCAUUUGUUACUAUAGACACUAAUCACUGUUUAUGUUUGUCUUGUGUCUUUUUGUUUCCCAUCACGGUUGUGUGGGAGUCAGUUUUAUCAUGCUGUGAGGUGAACUUUCCCUAACUACAAGUACAGAACAAUCUAUAAUAUGUGUACUCAAAAGCCCCCGUAUGACUAUUCCCAACAGCUUUAUGACAAGUACAGGGAGGCAUUUGAGGAAUACAUUACCAAAAUGGUGAGAACUUUGGCUCGUUUUUAUUCACUAUGCAAGUGCAUGUUUCUUAUUAUCUGAACUUACACGGAAAUAUCUAUUAAAAUUUGGUUGUUCAUCAUUUAGGUGAUGCCUUCUCUAAGAGAAAAGCAUGAUGAGUUUAUGCUGCGGGAGCUUGUCCAAAGAUGGGCAAAUCACAAGAUCAUGGUUAGGUGGCUGUCGCGCUUCUUUCAUUAUCUUGAUCGUUACUUCAUUGCACGUAGAUCACUUCCUGCAUUGAAUGAAGUUGGACUUUCCUGCUUUCGUGAUCUGGUUAGUUAUGUCUCUCUUACUACUCCUUGCCAAGGGACAAUAAAACUUUGCUCGCUAUUAUGUUAAAAUUUAGUGUCCUGUUAUAUCAUUGCAACUGCCCGGCAUUGCUUCAAUAACGACUAAAGUACUAAAUUUGUGGUAUCAGGUUUACCGGGAGGUAAAUGCUAAUGCCAGAGUUGCUGUGAUUGGUCUUGUAAGUUCAUUACUCUUGUUCGUGGACUCAGAAACAUCUAGAUCCUGUCAUUCAAUGAAUUAUGUAUGACCAAUACUUCUUUACCAGAUUGAUAAAGAGCGUGAAGGAGAGCAGAUUGACAGAGCUCUGUUGAAGAAUGUCAUAGACAUCUUUGUUGAAAUUGGCAUGGGACAAAUGGAUGCUUAUGAACAGGACUUUGAAACACAACUGCUAAACGAUACUGGUGACUACUAUUCUCGUAAAGCAUCAAAUUGGAUUUUGGAGGAUUCUUGUCCAGAUUAUAUGUUGAAGGCAAGUUUAUUUGGAUAUACUUACUUUUUGGCAAGGUGGGGUUCUUAUAUCAGUUUGUUGUCUAACACCCCUUGUGAACUGUACAGGCUGAGGAAUGUUUGAGAAGGGAGAGGGACAGAGUUUCUCAUUACCUGCAUUCAAGCAGUGAGCAGAAGCUGGUGGAGGUCAGUUAAUACAUAGAUAUAUAUUCUGUAGCUUGUUUAUAAAUGAGAGUAUAUAAUUGCUUCAUAAUUUGGGGUUUGUAUUUAUUGCCAUUUUACAUUUUUUUCACAAAAGUACAUUGAAUUAUGGAAAUCAACUACUCCUCCUCCCAAAGCAAGCUCAUGAGUAGUGUUUGUCAGAAAAAUAAGUAUAAUUGAAACAAGCAUUCAUUGAGGUAGUAUUAUUUUAGAUGUCACAGGCAGGAAUUUAAAGCCCCAGAAUAGUAAUUAUUUAGAGAGGUUUUGUUACUGAUGCUUAGGAAUCUACAAUGAAGUUCUCAACUAGUAAAGAAACUAUCUUGCUUUAUGGGAUGUGUAUGGUGCAUAAUAAUGCAUUAGGAACAUUUAUUACAUACAGUACCUGUUUAUAAAUGUUUUGUACAUUAUUUAUCUAUGCAAGGGGAGAUCAGGUUAAAGAGCCGGUGUGAGAGUGUUGUGUUACAUUUUGAUUCAUGUAUUCUCUUAUAUACUAAUAACCCCUACUGUGAAGUUCAUGUUACUUAUUGUUGCAUUGCUUGACCUGUAGAAAGUGCAAAAUGAGUUGUUGGUGGUUUAUGCAACUCAACUGCUUGAGAAGGAGCAUUCUGGAUGUCGUGCUUUGCUUAGAGAUGACAAGGUAUAUUGCUACCUGGGCAUUUUUUUUAUCUAGUUUUUGGUCAUAUUAAAGCAUUUCUCAUGCGAUGUGCUCUUGUUUAUUUCAAGGUGGAGGAUCUUUCUAGGAUAUAUAGGCUUUACCAUAAAAUAACUAAAGGCUUGGACCCUGUUGCUGCUGUAUUUAAACAGGUAAGUUGUUUUUUGCUCAUGAUUAACAUCUAACCUUCAUUAGCUGCUCUGUCAUUACGUUUGUUCUAACACUUUUGAGGGUUUGCAGCAUGUUACUGCUGAAGGUACUGCCUUGGUUCAAGCGGCUGAAGAUGCUACAAGUAACCAGGUUGAGCAUCUUUGUGUACCCUAAAUAGAGUAUAUAAUGUAGUGGUGUUUUAUGGUAUUUUAAACUUCUCCAUGCAUAUCUGUGUUUAGUUUCUGUAUAUGUAUGUUAAUUAUACGACAUUACGAGUAUGAUAUUCCUUUACUGACAUGAGACAUUCACCACCCGUAUGGGAGGUGUUAUCAAAUCCAAGUUGAUAUAAAUUAGUUCAAAAGAAAGACCUUUGAAGUUUAUUGUCAGUUGUGACACACUAGAAUACUGGGUAUCUUAUGAAUGAGCAUGUAAAUUUGAUGUGAUAUGGCAUUUGUAUGCGAGUUUCCAUGAAAUUCAAUACAGUUACGAAGUUGUGAUUAAGAUAUCACUUUAACAAAUUCUAAGGUUAUCGUGGAAGUGUCCUAUCCGUACAAAGUUAGUCAUCAAACUUGUAGUUCCUUGAUCCACAUGCAUUUUGUUUAAAUCUGUAAUGUCAGUAUCUCAUUAGUAGUUCUCUAUCAUGUAUUCCAAGAGACCAAAACAUGAUGCAUGGGGGAUGCUGUCUUGUGUCCCUAGUUGAUGAAUGUAGUUUUUGAUAACAGUGGCUAUUGACUAUCUGUGACAGUAGUAUAUUCUGUCCACUGUUUCCUGCUUUGGGAUCAUAAAGUUUGUUAUCAUCGUUAUUUGUAGUUACCAUGUUUGAUUAUUGGUUGGUCAACCCAAAAAUUUUAGUGUCCUAAAGAAUUGUACUCUUUUUUCAUAAUAUGGCUGCUAAGUGUUGUCAACAAUGUUUUGCAGGGUUCAACUGGAUCUGGUGCUCAGGAGCAGGUACAUUAUUUAUAGUCUCUGUUUCUAUAACUUAUUCAAGUGAUUCUGAUUGGAGGUGUUGACAUAUCUUUGUGAUCUUCAGGUCCUUGUCAGGAAAAUAAUUGAAUUGCAUGACAAGUAUAUGGCAUAUGUCAAUGAUUGCUUUAUAAACCACUCACUGUUUCACAAGGUUAGUGUUGUGACAUACUAGUCAGAUACAUAAUUACAUUUACGUUUACACUGUGUGUGAUAUACUUUUCUAUUUGGCUGUUUGAUAGGCUCUAAAAGAAGCUUUUGAGGUAUUCUGUAAUAAAGCGGUUUCUGGGAGUUCAAGUGCUGAGUUACUGGCUGGAUUCUGUGACAAUAUUCUCAAGAAGGGUGGAAGUGAGAAGUUGAGUGAUGAGGCUAUUGAAGAAACACUUGAGAAGGUAUUGUUCUAUAUCUUUUUUCUUGUGAAGAUUUAAUUGAUUGCUGUGAUAAUGUUUCAUUCAUUUAUUUUGUCAUUUAACAUAAAGUUCAUCAUUUCAUCUCUUUUCAGGUUGUUAAGCUGCUUGCUUAUAUCAGUGAUAAAGAUCUUUUUGCAGAAUUCUACAGGUAACCACUGUUUGAGGUUGUAAUAUAUAUGUUUCACAUUGUCAAAAGUUGUAACUGUUGUAAGAAGUUGGUGAUAUAUAUUCAAUCAUGCAGACCUCCAUACUGAAGCUUUCUUGUCCUUUGAUUGUGAAUUAAAAUACACACAUACACCCAUGUAUUUCUAGAUAUCCACAGAAAGAAACUUUUGUAUGUACCCUCUUAUUAUACACAUUGAAAUGCAGCUUUCUUGUUGUUUGAUCAUGAAUUAACACACAUACACCCAUGUUUUCCUAUAAUUCACAUAAAGAGACUAUGGUACGUGCCCACUUUUUACACAUUGAAAUGCUUUUAUACCAACUGCUAUAACGCUUCAUGAUACAUACUUUAAUACAUCAUAUAUGUUAUGUAUUAUAGUUAUGUUAUUGACUAGUAGGAUCCUGUCACAGGAAAAAGCUUGCCCGUCGGCUACUUUUUGAUCGGAGUGCCAAUGAGGACCAUGAAAAAAGUAUUCUAACAAAGCUUAAGCAGCAGUGUGGUGGACAGUUUACCUCCAAGAUGGAGGGAAUGGUCAGUGAACAGCAUUUAUUUGCGUUUUUCUCUAUGCUGUUAGAGUAUUAGUGUUGAUACUGAUUAUGUUGGCAUUGCAUUUUAAUUUCAGGUUACAGAUUUGACAGUGGCUCGGGACAAUCAGGUCAACUUUGAAGAGUAUCUUAAGAGCAAUGAGAAUGUUAGUCCUGGGAUGGAUUUGACGGUCACAGUUCUUACAACUGGUUACUGGCCAAGCUAUAAAUCUUUUGAUCUUAACCUUCCCGAAGAAAUGGUAAGAUUUGCUUUAUAUUUGAUGCCGCACUUCAUGCUUGAAAGUGUACUUGGCACCUAAAGUGUAAUUUGUUCACAUUUUAGGUGAGGUGUGUUGAAGUUUUCAAGGCAUUUUAUGAAACAAAAACAAAGCACAGGAAACUUACAUGGAUUUACUCUUUGGGGACCUGCCACAUCAAUGGCAAGUUUGAGCCAAAAACAAUUGAAUUGGUUGUAUCAACCUAUCAGGUAAUAUCACAUUGUCUAUUGCUUUAUUGGUUUUUGGUGUGGAAGCUAUUUGACUAUUCCAGCAUGGUUUUUUGUAAGGGCACUUUAAAUCCUGUUGUGUUUAUUCGGUGCAGGCUGCUCUCCUGUUGCUCUUCAAUACUGCAGAAAAAUUGAGCUAUUCAGAAAUUUUGACCCAGCUGAACCUUACCCAUGAUGAUUUGGUUAGACUGCUUCAUUCCCUGUCAUGUGCUAAGUACAAGAUUCUACUUAAGGAGCCUGCCACAAAGACUAUCUCACCAAAUGACAACUUUGAGUUUAACUCGAAGUUCACAGACAGACUUAGAAGAAUUAAGGUAUGAGAUUGCUAUACCGUUUUUAUUUCACUUUUGUGUUAAGAGUAGAUGAGCCAACACGUUCACUUUUUGUAUCAUAGAUUCCUCUUCCACCUGUGGAUGAAAGGAAGAAGGUCAUCGAAGACGUGGACAAAGACAGGCGAUAUGCUAUUGAUGCUGCAAUUGUGAGGAUCAUGAAAAGUAGAAAAGUCCUGGGUCAUCAACAGUUGGUGAUGGAGUGUGUAGAGCAGUUGGGACGGAUGUUUAAGGUAUUUCGUCUAGGUUCACUUUCAUUGAAUGCUAAAAGAAAAAUGCAAUUCUAGUAUAUGUACGUAAUAUUUUUGUGUAACAUGCUUGUGAAAGUAUUCCACUGACAUGGUUAUGUGCAAUUGAAUUAUGCAGCCUGAUAUCAAAGCAAUCAAGAAGCGCAUUGAGGAUCUCAUCACCCGUGACUACCUUGAGAGGGACAAGGAAAACCCGAACACGUUCAAGUACCUUGCAUGAUUCAAAUGCUGGACCUGGGGAUAUGUUACUUGGGGUAUGCUGGAAGUACAGAAACAUGAAUUAGGAACUUGGAGUUCUGCUGUAUAUGAUAUGCAAAUCUUUUAAAAUUCUAGGAUUUUUGAAAGGAGUGGAUUAUUUUUUGUGCAAUGCGCUAUUAAAGCCAGUUUUGUGCAAUUCACCCAUCUUUCCAGAGAGUUUAAUGUGCAAUUAUUUUCAAAGAGCUUAUGUACUGCUAUAGUACUAUUUUUGUGGUUGGUAAGAAUAUAAAAAACCAAUGUUCUGAUGUGUUGUGUGUGCUGGUUUGAAGAUAUUCUUGUCUGCUUGAUUCUAAAAAUGGGGCUCUCCGGUGAUCAUAUGAGAACUUGGAGAGGUGAUCACACCGGAAGUCGGAGAGUCGGGUUUGCUAUGGAUUUUUCUGCUUUACAUUACCCCGUGGAGAGCUCAAGUUUCGUUCAAUUUCCUCAAGUAAAAUAACAGAAGGGGAUUGAAAGGUGCAAAUUUAUUUUCCGUUACUCCGAGUAUCAAAGCUAGCUCCCCGUCUCCUCUGUAAACCCUAAACCCCAAUGUUGUCUCGUCUGUGUUCCAGAAACUGGGUCUCUCUCCAUGGUGGUGGUUCUCAUUGUGGUCUUCAAUAUCAGUGGUUUAGCACGAAGAGAUGUACCAGCAGCUACAACGAUUUCACAGUCUCCUACCUGGUUAACUCAUGCGGGCUUUCCCCGAAAGCCGCCGUUAAAGCAUCGGACAAGGUAAAUCUCCAACCUUCCUCUUUAGCAAGACCAGACUCUGUUUUAGCCGUUUUGAGGGAGCACGAAUUCUCAGAUACCCAGAUCUCAACUCUUGUGCGAAGAGACCCACGUUUUCUGUUGGCCGAUGCCAAGAGAACCCUGUUGCCAAAGCUUGAGUUUUUGUUUUCCAAAGGAAUGUCAAGGCUGGACGUUGCAAAAAUAGUGACCUACAACUCAUUUCUCUUGAGUCGAAGCGUGGAAAACUGCUUUGUUCCCUGUUAUACCUUCCUGAAAAGCGUUGUGGUCUGUGAUGCCAAGGUGGUGUGUAUAUGGAAGCGCAACGCUUACAUUUUCGGGCAAAUUCUAUACAAGAAUGUGAUACCCAAUUUGGAGUUUGUGAGAGAAUUGGGUAUGUCACAGUCCCGUGUUCCAUGUUGCUAACAACUCGUGCUGAGCUUUUGAUGAGGAAGCCUGAGUUGUCCAGUGAACUUGCGAGUCAAGUCCAGCAAUUCGGAUUUGACCCUCAGAAGUCUGACUUUGUGCAAGCCAUGGAGGCAUUAAGUAGGAAAGAGACGACAUGGAAACGAUGUCAAGAGGCUUACAGGAGUUGGGGUUGGUCGGAUGAUGAUAUUCUUUCUGCCUUCAAGGUGUGUCCGCUGUGUAUGACCAAGUCUGAAAAGAAAAUAAUGGAGACAAUGGAUUUCUUGGUGAGCAAGAUGGGAUGGGAAUCAGGAAAAAUUGUCAAGGUGCCGUGUGUUUUUAAUUACAGCUUGGAGAAGAGAAUCUCCCUAGGUGUUCAGUUGUUCGAGUUUUGUUAUGUUAAGUAUAUAAGGAUAGUUGAGUCAUUUACUAUUAUCCCUACCUAUAUAAAGCUAUGAGUUGUGUAUACUGUUCAUCAAUUGAGAAAUACAAGAUGCAGACGUUUACUCUCUCCUGUGUUUUCUUUACUUUUCUGCUUAGCAUUUUCAAUUCAAUAAUUCCAUGAAUCCUCAUGGUAUCAGAGCCCAUGGUCGCGAUUUUGUGGCCUUGUGGCUUCUGUGAUUAGCUUAGCUUCCGCGUUUUGAUUCCAGUUUUUCAGUUUUCAGUUUCCCCAACUUCAAUUACCCUAGCUUUGCGUUUUUCCCAAACUCGUUCAUCAACGAUCCCAAACUCAAAAUCUUCGUCUUUGGCGCUAUAAUCUUCUCUUACGGCGUCAGAUUGUCGAUACCCAGCCUUCUCUAAGACCUCUGGGCUUCGAUGUUCGUUCUCCGCGUCGUCACCUGCGCGGCUCGCCUCGUAUGGCUCUGUUCUUUGUUUGCGGGUUUUCUCCUUCAGAUCCCCGAGUAUGACGUCAGGGGAGGACUGUAUCAGUGUGAUGCAGCGAAUCUGUUCUCUGAGACUUGGUAAUCUUCGAGCCCUUUAUUUUGUCACUAUGUCUUUGCGCUGCAAUUCUUGUUUUUGAGAGUAUCUAGUAGACUAGUUGUUCAAUCUAUUUGCUCUGAAGGUGAAUGGGAGACGAAGAUGUGUAUAUUUUGAUAAAUCUGGUUGGAAGAUGAGUAUUUUUAAGGUUGAAUAUUCCUGGGCUUAUUGUUCUGAUGGUGAUUAGAGAUGGUUAGGUCUUAUGACUGGAUUUUGUGUGCUUCUUUCUCUGCUGUGCUUCUAUGUGCUAAGUGGUUGGUGACAUUAAGUUGAUAGCUGCUGUUGUUUAGUGUUCUCCUACCACAAUAUGUUUGAGAUACUGACCCUGCAACAAAACGUAUGUUUGGAAGUAGUAGUAAUGUAUGUGGAAUUGUAGUACAGAGGUAGUAGCCUCUGUAUGAUCGUAGAGUUGUGGUAAUCACAACUAGCGGUAGUAGCCUCUGUAUGAUCGUAGAGUUGUGGUAAUCACAACUAGAGGUAGUAGCCUCUGUAGAACAAAGUGGUGCAGAAAAAUAUUGUAGUGAGUCAAGGUUUCAAUUGAGAUGUGGAGGGAAACAUUAUUUUGCAGCAGCUUAUAUGUUGGGGUAUGAACGCAUGGGAUUGAUUACAGCAAGUUAAUACUGGUAGAGAUAUGCAGUAUGUAGCAGUGUUCAGUCCUUGCAGUAGUUUUUCAGAUUCUUCAUUGGAUUGUUUGUUGCCUUGCUUCCAUGGAUUUUGUCUUCUCAGCUCUGUGUUGCCUCAAUGCUCUGCUGCAACCUACAAUCUUGUCAACUGACUGUGGAUGAUGUUCUCAUACUGCCAAGUGGCUGUUGGGUUUUGAUUUUUGGGAUGAUAAUCUUGUAAAUUGUUCUACAUCAUGUAUUGUGCUUCUUGUUAUGUACUUGGUCCAACCAUUAUGCUUGUUACCAAGCAUAUGGUUGAGGGGGAUGUUAAGUAUAUAAGGAUAGUUGAGUCAUUUACUAUUAUCCCUACCGAUAUAAAGCUAUGAGUUGUGUACACUGUUCAUCAAUUGAGAAAUACAAGAUGUAGACGUUUACUCUCUCCUGUGUUUUCUUUACUUUUCUGCUUAGCAUUUUCAAUUCAAUAAUUCCAUGAAUCCUAUCAGUCGAAAGGGUUGAUAGAAGAGGAAAAGUUGAGCUUGGCUACUGUGAUUACGAAUCCGGAGGAGUAUUUCUUAAGUAGAUUUGUCACCAGAUAUGUCGACCAAGUACCUCAGUUGUCGAAUAUAUACCAAGGAAAAAUGGAUGUGCAGGAUGUAUGAUCUUGGUCACACAGUUUCUAGGCUGAUAGUGUUGAAUAUCUGAAGUUUCUAUUGGAAGAAAUUAAAUGUUGCAUUGAUCACUAUUUUUCAUUACUAUAACGAGAUCAUUUCUAACCAGUGUCUCUGUUCUGGAAGUAUAAUAUAAUCCCUUCGAGUGGUUGCUGUUGACGAGUAUCUGAGAAGGAGCAACAAGUUAGCUUGUUAUUAAUCGUUUUCUAAUAACAACUUAUUCCGCAGCAUAUAACCAAUCUUCUAUCUUCCUUCUUGAGCUUCAGGCAUUUUCCCUAGUUUAAAUGGUUGAUUGACUUUGAUCGAGUUCUCCAGCUACCCUAAUCAUAUUUUCUGCUUUAGAGUAUUCCAAUACUCCCUAGCAUCAAACAUGAUCUAACUUCAUAAUCUAUAUCCAGAUUUAGAGAACUCCAAUGAUCAUAUUAGCUUUCCUAUAACAUGGUGUUGUAACUGUUGCUGAACCAUGGCCAGAGAUGCAGGUGUGACUGAGUAGCUUCAUCUUAUGUGUAUGUACAGCUUGGAUACAGAUUACAGAAUCAUCCCAAGGUUUUCGGUUGUUAGAGUUUUGAUGUUGAAAGGAUUGAUUAAAGAGGAAAGGUUGAGUUUCACUACUGUUUUUGCGACUCCAGAGAAGUACUUCUUGAAUAGUUCUUUCCAGAUUUCUGGACACAGUACCCCGACUUUCGAUAAGUACCAAGGAAAAGCGCAUAUAUGCACUUCAGCCCAGUUUGUGAGGUUAGUUUGUAACGCACUUGUAGGCUUGAUAGUUUUGAAUAUGGCUUGUCAACAGAUAGCAUUGGAAGCAGCAUUCUCAGUAAUGACUAUAAAGAGAUUUCUAAAUUAUCGUCUCUGCCUUACAUUCAGUUUGUUUGUUACUAGAAAAUAUAUUACUUAUGAUCAUGUCCUCAGUCUGAAGUCUGCACUUAGAAAGGAGGUUUCUAAUUUAUCAUGUCCUGUUAGAUUAUUGAUUGGUAGCAAUUAGGUGAACGGGUUCUGUGCCAUUGCUGCCCUCAGUAAUGUCCCUAGACUACUCAUUGGUUUUAAGGUCUCUCGAAUCUGUGAAAAGCUCUAACGAAAGUCGUCAGCUGCAUCUGUAUUUGCCAACUGUGGGCACGCUGCAAGGCAUGUCUGUUCUCUACUAGUCAAGAGGGGAUCCAUGUUAAGCUGAUAGCUUUAGGUAUCGAAACAGCUAGGAUAAGAUUCUGCAACAUGAAUUUCUAUCAAUUAACGAACACCUUCUUAUUAAGUUGUGGAUUAGGAGAUAAUGGCUAACCCAACUCAAUGAAAAGCGUUGGUUCCAUUUCAACAUUAAUAUGUUCGUUCUGAAAAGUUCAACUGGGAUUCGAUCCACUCGAUGUUUGCUGUGACUUUUGGUCUAGAUUGUCAUACUAAAAUCUGGAGUUCAGUUAUUCACUCGUUUUCCUUACUGUCAUGGCAAUAGAGAAAAGUUCAACUUUCUUGUAGCUGUUGAUAACUAGUAGUGAGGAUCUGUGAUCUUUGCUAUGUUGUAGGCUGAUAGUGCCAAUUCCAGAGGCACCACCAUUUGAUGCUUGGACUUUGGAGUAGAAAAAACAGGUUUCUGUAUGAUUUUCAUGAGUAGGUAUAAUCACUGUCUCAGUUUGUACUUAGCAAAGAGGUUUCUAAAUUUUCAUGUCCUGUCACUUCAAAUUUAUCCUCAAGAAUCAGAUGCUCAUUUCUUGUAGUUUCGAACUGUAAAUAUGUCUGUUUCGCAACAAGACUGGCUAUAAUAUGUAAACAACAGUCUAAUAAUAUGUAAUCACACAUGUUCGGGAAUAUACGCAGAAUCACCAUCAGAUGAAAAGACUAAUUAAAUUUCUAGGAUGAUGGGGUUAGGAAAAAAUUUGGCUUCUCUACUUGGAUUUAUGUUGUUUGGAUUUGCUUGGAUGACUUCUAACCAUUGGAUCAAGUACAAUCUAAGACGAACAUGUCAUCCUUACUUCAUCUAAUAGUUAUAAGACAUCCAAGCAAAUCCAAACAACUUAAAUCUAAACGGAGAAUCCGGAUCCGUUGGGAAAACAUGACAUAUUUUACUUUGGCCUCACUCUGGCUCACUUUUCAUCGGCAUCGUUAGGCAAACUUGCUAAUUGCUAUGGCUUGGGUACCAACAGCCUCACCUCACUUGUCACGGCCGCGUGGGCAGUUACUAUUAGUCUCACCUCAUUUGUAUGGGCAAGGGUGGUGGGCAUUGUUAGCCUCACUUAGAAGUUGCUCUGAUAACUUGGCGUCAGCAGUGUUAGCAUCACUUGUAUUGAGCCUCACUUGCAUGAGCCUGAGCACCGGUAGAGUCUAGCUUAGAUAAAACCUGCGGCAAAUUUCAGUUUCUUGACUUCAGAAAGCAAGGACAAGCACAUGCCAACUGAGGGAAAAAUCAAGCUGCACCAAGUGUGGGUAAGUUCAGCCAUACACCAAGUUAUGCGAAGCAAGAUCAAGUAAAGACCAAGUAUGGGUAACGUUUGGUUGGUGUUCGAAACGCACAAAAUCAAGCGAACACAGUACGAGAGCACUGCCUAUUGAACACCAGUGCAGGAGCUUAGUCUCAACAGGCCGAAGGUCGAAAAACAUAAUGAUGGAAGGGGGGAGGAGGAAGCAACAAAUUGAAGUGUGAUAUAGGGCUUAAUAUCAAUGGAUUAUGACAGCCAGGCCAUUCUACCACUCAUUAUCCCAUUGCUCAUUGAAGUCGUCUGCAAAGGUUUUUUUUCCCACAACUUGGGUAUUUCAGAGCAUCUCUCACAACCUGUGCACCUCUGGACUUGGCCAUAAUUAGGCGCUAACUGUGGGUCGGUAAUCAAAACCUUUCCGGCUUUCCUGAUUAGAGCAUAUAAAGACCAAGAGUUGGUUACUACUCUAGGCGUGUUCUUCCGUUUAGGUUGAAUCACCCGCACCAUCUGUCAUCUGCUUGAAACGAAGACGAGGGCAAACCGACAAAGAGGGAAAGAUGAAGGCUCAGAAAUUUAAGUGGCCGUGGAGUAGAAGAUAAAUAUUUUCGACCAAGACCGAGAAGUGGAGAGAGCAAAAAAAAAAAAAAAAAAAAAAAACAGCCCUAGUCCUGUGUGUAACACCAAACCUAGACCUCUAAAUUCAAAUUCAUCAAAAGACAUUUUCAAACUUUGAUUUCAAAACUCAGGAACUGGCUAAACUAUAGUGAGUCUUAAUAAUCCUCAUAAGACAGGCCAAUUCAGGAAAUGAAGAGGUAACUUUAUUGAUAUGCUCCGCUAAUCAUCGGAGAUGAAUUUUAUUGAUACAUCCAAUGGCCAAUUGAAAUAAUUAAACUUUAUUAUCUAAACCUAUAUGAAUGUUAUUGCUAUGGGUUAAGUUUAAAGUAUAAAACUAUAUACCAACAUCAAAGAAAAUUUUGAACAAGAAUAUCACAUCAAAUUCAGUACUACCUAUAGCUGCACCUGCCCCAGUUGCUCAACCUGAAAGCAGAUCCAUGCUCAAGUCAGUAAAUUACCAAUGAAACUGCUAGAUCCUAAUUCAAACAUCUCAAGCACUUUGAAAGCUUAUACAUAACGGUGUAUUGCUAACAUGCAAAAUGAUGACAUUUUCGUGUGGAAGACUAAAGAUCAUAAAUAUUAAAGAGAAGGCCAGAGUGCCAAUUUGGCAGAAAUACCAAAUCGUAAAUUACAAAAAAUUUCAGCAUGGAUUGCCUACUUUCUACACAAGAUAUAGAAGAAACUUUGCAAAUAAAGCAUAUAGUCAUAUACUAUAUGCUCCUAAGGUUCAAUAACAAUCAAGUAUGGUCAUGAGCAUUAUCUGCAUUUUUCUUUUACUCCUUACACAGCACUGUCAUUGACAAUUAGUAGUUGGACUCCCACAACCUAAAUAUAUACAUGCUUUGUUUUUUCAUUUUUGUGCUUUUCCUUCAACAUUCAUGUUCUCCCAUCUAAGUAACCUAAAAUGGCUUUUCCCUUGGGAUGAACAGAAAUGAACAAAAGCCCACUGUUAGAAAAGCAACUAUUAUAUCUUGGGGAAAAGAGAGUAUUCACUUCUUGUAUCUGCAUCUCACACAAAAGUAAACUAGGUUUUUUUUUCUUUUCAAUUUUUUAUGAUAGGAAUUCUCUUAUUUGAGAGACACUGAUACAUAUUCAAUAGAAGAUCAACUGAUUGCUACGUUUAAACCAAGUUCAGAAGUCAAUGAACGAUCGCUGAAAAUUGUGAAAAUUUUACCUGUGAGAUCUGAAGGAAAGACCUAAAAAAUAUCCACCUCCCCUUCUCUUCACACAGAUGUCUUUUAUAUACAAAAGUUGCCACUGGCAAGAGAAAGUACCGAAUAAAAGUUAGAGAAGAAGGCAGACAGUAAAAACAAUAAAGCAAAUUUUCAUUGCUACGGCUACACAAACCUUUGAUGUAAGAAAAGCAGAACCCCAGCACUGGGAGUUUCAUGGAUAGCACUGACAAUAGUCUCAUUUACACAGUUUUCUGAUUCGAUCUCUAUUAAGGCAGCAAGGAGACAAAGUGAAGGAACAACCUGUUCAUGUUACAUUCUACCAAAAUCAAACUCAAGAGAUGUUUUUUGGAAAGUGAAAGGAAACAGAGAAAAGAAAAAAGAUUAGAGGGCGGGAAAUAAAGAAAAUCUAAUAGAAGGGCAGCAUACCUGCAACUUCCAAUUUUUUUAGCUCUCUUUACAUAGUGCCGAUAUGGCUCAUUCUGUAAAGUAAGAUCAGACAAUUCAUGCACAUACUGGAAGACUUGCAAUGCAGAUAACAGAUUGUUAAGAUAAGUUAACCAGCUGAAGAAGAAAGCCCCAAUUGAACAUGUGGUUCUCAUCAUUAUGUAGAACUAUUAUAUCUUCCAACACAUUCUUCAUAUCCACCUUUUGAAUGCUGCUCAGAAUCUUUUUCAGAAGAGCCUUAAAUAGUGAUGGUUCAAAGUCCUCGAAAUGACUAUUGGUUAUUGAGAUCCGAUGACCCACUUUGGAUCCAUACAGUGAUGGAAAACAGAUCUAGGAUCACAGAGAAUAAAUUGGGUAGAAGCUCCUCAGUAUAUAUGAACAGAAAAAUUUUGGUGACAACCAGAUCUCCCGGUACAAGUUCCAAGCUGUACAGCAGAAAUAUCCAGGUCAUCCCUUCACUGCAUGAGACCCAAGGACUCACCAAUAUGGUCUUCAUGUAUUAAUAUCAUCCCCACCACCAUCUGGACUCUUCUGACGGAUAUUGCUAAUGGCUUCCGUUGCAAGCCGUACCAAACGUAGUAAUCCCUCUACAUCCUGGAAGUUAAAGUCAAGAGCCCUUUUAAUGGAAGAGAUGCAUUCGGAAUACUUAGAUUCUCCCACAGCAGCUGCAAAAGCAAGAUGUGAUCUCUUUGAUGCGUCCAUUGCAUUAUGUACAUCUUGUGUCUGCAAUUCAUCAAUUUUGAGUAUAUAGUUUGUUCAGUCAUCAACCCAUAAAAACAUUGCUAGUGAGAACUGUGAGUGAGUAAGUGAGGAGGGGGGAAGGGGUUGGAGGCGUGUUACAAAAUGGAAGCAGUGCUCAGGUCCCAAAUAUAAGGAAUGACAGAUUAAAAGUUUCAAUAGAAGAUCAAUGAAAACUCACAAAUUUCAGCAUCCGGACAAAAUUGGGACGAUUUCGAGCAGCAAUGACAUGGUUUCCAGCAACUUGGGGUGAGCUGACUCCCUUAGGUAAGGGAACCUUGUCUGCGGUUGAGGGAUUGUUUAAGUUGUCAACAUCAGAGGCAGAGGAAGACGGAGAUUCACCUGAUAGAAAACCAACAGAGAAUGGCAAAUAAGUUAUUAGAAAAAAAAAUUGUUACAAGAGCUUUGCGCCUUCUUUAACACCAAAGCAGCAAAAAUAAAAUUUAAUUUACCAGGAGGAACCAUUUGUAAAGCUGUUUGCAACUCAUGUCGGUCUCUGCCUGCACUGGAAUGCGAGGAGUAGAUCACUUUCAAAUAAGCCACCUCCAAGCAUUUGAAGGCCAAAGCAGCAGAAGCCAUGUCUUUGGAUUUUUCAUAUUCAUGAGCACAAAACCUAUAGAUAUUUUAAGUUAGAAAGGAAAAGCAGGGGGCUACAAAAAGUGACAAAAGCUCCCGAAUCAAAAUAGAAUUAAAAUCCACAAAAAAAAAAGAAGAAAAAAACAGUUAAAGAAACAAAUCUACUACGAGAAUCCCUGCAGAAAGGGAUGGCAGACAACAGAUAGAUUUGCAUAGUAUGGUAUAACACCAUAUACCUUGUGCAAAGAAAGAUGAGUCAGCUUCACCAAGCAUGAAGUCACAAAAAAGCUCCCAAUUUUAUAUAAUUUUUUUCUAGUGAAGUUACCUACUCCCCAAGGCAAAAGCACCAACCCCUUGGCCAGUACACUCUUUCAUCUACCUCCCAAACGAAAAGACCCUCACAAUCACACUAGAGAAACACAAAAUACAGGCUCCAAUUACUCCUAAAGAUUUCUGUUAAGUACCCUCCCAUAUUAAUUUGGGAUCCAACACCACACCAGCAUUCCAUGAGUGGUAGCAGUGUCUCACAUGCAAGGUUGGAGGGAUAUUAAUUUGAGGAUAUGAAGAAGUACAGCAUGACUCAAUUCAGGAAUGUUAAAAAAAAUGACUGAAAGGAUAUGAAAAAUGACAGUCACAUAGAUCGGUGCAUGUCUAGAAGGGUUAAUACAGCUCAAGUUUGACUUACUGGCAUAGUGCUGCAGUGCUUCUAUAAAUUUGCAUGGAUUCAUUAUGCUUGGCACUCUCAGUGUUGGCAGAUUCUAAGAGAGAUGCAGCGUGAAGAAAUUUCAGGACCGCCUGGAAGUAAAGCCCCGUACUAUCAUUUUCCUCAUUGUUCUGCAAAGAUCAACAUUAAAUACAAUUUGUACAGAAAGGAGCAGCAACAUCUAGUCAUGAAAAUAUAAUAGGGUAAGACCUUGUAACGAUCAGCAAGGUGUUUCAUAUCUUUAGCUUCUUUCAGAAUACACAUAUAGGCCGGGGUGGAAGAAUCCCUUCUAGCUGGACUAGGGGCAUCAAGAUCCCUAGGUCUAUGCCCAUUCUGUGCACGAUGUCUUGAACUAAUAUGCUGAGUUCCAUUCUGAGUAUCAGCUUUUCUGUUCCGCAUUUGCACCUUGACUGAAUCAUUACCUUCAGAGCCAUCUACUUGUAAUAUAUCUGCUCCAUUACCUUUGUGAGAACCAGAGACUGGUCGGGGACAACGAGUCAUUUCUGGUUGAGCUCCUCCAGAGGGUGGCAAGGGCAGUGACUUUCCCCUUGUCGAACCUGCAUCUACUCGGUCACUUCUUCCAGAAGGAAUUCUCUUUGAAGACCUUUCACUAUCAGAUUCUGGCUGCUUCUUCGGAGUCGAAAUCGCGUCUCUUGGGUAAAUAGCAUCUAGUCUAACAUCUGGGCCAUCAUGCCCCCCAAAAUUAGACUGGUUCUCCCUUUUGCUACUCUCAUUCAAGGACUUCCCCAGCAAAUCUUUUUUACUAACAUAUUUGUUCUCAGUUUCACCAUAUUUGUUCACCUUCUCCGGCAAUUUGUUUUUAACAUCUCUAGGUUUCAUUCCAAGUGAUGGUGAAUGGUCAUGCUGUUCAUUGACAACAUUAGAAUUCCUGGCCUUCCCCAUGUCCAAAUCAGAUUCGUAGCUCUGCUUGUCCUUUGACCGUGAAGAGUGGCUCUUUCCUGAAUUUCUUGGGCGAGACCCCAGAGCGUUAUAAUGGCUGCCAUUCCCUCUGUCUUCACCAGCAAAUUGACUUGGAACUAGUGGUUUAAUAGGAGAACGACUAUCUGGUCCUGAAUUAUCCAAAGCACCAUUCACAGGAAAAUUAUUCGUAAUAUCCGGAGAUGCUACAAUCUGUCCCCUAGCUUUACCACCAGAUAUGCGACUACGAUCUCUGUCCUGAACAUCAAGUACUGAAGGUUCAGACCUAUGAUAAGCCCCGGAGGGAACUUUAUCCUUUCUCGCUGUCCCAGAUCGAUCAAUCCUGCUGUCAUCUUCACCAUCUGAGCAUCGUUGUGGGCUACCUAACGACAAACGACCAGCAUCUUGUGACUCGUCCUUUGGCCUGAGGUCUCUAGGUACUAAUUCAUGCUUAUCAGGGUGUAAGAUUCUCAUAGGUGAUGAUGAAACCGAUUCUACAGGCGAACCUUUAAUUUCUUGAAAGCUGGAUUUGGUCUUUUGGGAGCCAGAAACUUUGGAAGAGCUUGAAGUGGCAGCCACAGAAACCUGAACAGAUCCCGAAUCCUUCUUCAAAGAAUCCAUACCAUUCUGACUCCGCUGAAUUCUAAUGCUUGUAUUCUUCGCAGAUUGUUGCUUCUUUAUAUGGCUACUCUUUUUGUCUGUUCUACCACUGCCUUUGCUUGCACUGGACUCUUUUGCCUCAGAUUUAGAUACUCUUGCCUUCUUUUCCUUCCUACAGUCAUUCUCACUAAACUCUUCCUUCACUGCAACGGAACGGUCUGGAAGGGAACCCUCAUGAAUUUCAGGAUAUUCCCUCAGUUUUCUCUUUUUCGGUCUAUCUCUGAUAACAUUACCCAUGCAAACUUCAUCUUUCACUUUGGUAAGAGUAGCAGCCCCUAGCCUGUCCUUAAGUCGAUCUUUUCCUGCUUCAGUAGUCAGAAAACCACUACUUGAGCUAGGACCAACCUCGCCAUCAGGUCCGUGGUGAUCUGAUGCCCAUUCUUCAUCAGUCAUACGCCUACCUUCGCUCUUGAUUUUCUUUGGAGCUCUAGAAGUAUCUGGAUCAAAGUCCCUUCUGUUCUUAAUCUUUAAAUUGUUGAUAUGACCUGUAAUGGAUGUUAUCAAAGAGUAUGUAAGAUUAAGCAUUAUCAGCAAAAUUUCAAAAGCACUAACAAAUUCAUGUAGUAAAUAAAUUACCUCCAUCAUAAGAGGAACCUAAAACUGUUUGCUUAUCUUUGUGCUUAUGCUUCCGUUUCUCCACUGCCAAGCCACUGGAAUUGCUUAACUGCUGAAAAUUGGGCUCGUUCAGAGGUGAAGAUUGGUUAACAUCAUUCAAGCUUUUACUCUUCAGUGAUGCCUGUAUGUUCUUCAUAGAGCCUGGCAGCAGGACAGAACCAUCUUUAUCACUUGCCUUUGACACUUCUUUCAAUCCAUUUUUUUUCAUCCCACCACCAGGGAUGGCAUGCACACCAAAAUUUUGGGGGUUUUGAUCAGGGUGCCGAAAAUUAGCCAGUGCCACACCUUCCAUAGAGCCACCAGGAUUAUUGAGAAGAUUAGUUUGACUCCCAGGUGCAGGAACAUGGUAUUGUGCAAUUAAGGCUUUUGUCUUCUCUGUUGUUUCCUCCUCCGUUACACUACACCGGUUCAUCCCAGGCCUGCAUUUGAAUCAAGAGAUCAGCUUCACAACGAGACAAAGAGAAAGAAAAACUGAAACUACUAGGCACUGAUAUGUAUAACUAACAUACAUCAAUGUACCCGUCUAGGGUAUGAUUGAUUACUGUGUAAUAGAAUGAAUGUAUGAUAAAUAGUGAAGGACUAGAAAGGAACUUACAGCCAAUUGAGCAUGCUACAUAGCCACUUCUCUGGUAGGUUGUCGGGAGUGGUACCAUGUGGAAGAAGCCGCCAUUUUAGACACUUGUCACACUGCACCCAAUAGUCUUCCAUUAAUGCAGGAGCCCCUGUUGCAGGAGCUGCAUCAGAAAUGGGUCCAUUUCCUGGGCGUUGAGCUAUAUUUGAAGCUGUAACAGGAUGUGAAUCAAUUGUCUUGCUAUUUGGUUUCUCUCUUGAUGAGACAUUAACUGCAUAUGCGCUUUUUGCAACAGCAUCAGACUCCUUAAGCUUAACUUCAGAAGGCAAUUGCAAUGAAUCAAUUAGGUUCUCUUCUUCUUCAUCCCCAAAGAAAUCUCUAUAGGUAUCCCUGCUUUUAUCAGGGCCCUUUCUCAAGCUUUCUGACUCACCAUUGGAUGUAAGCUUGUUUACAUGCGUACUCUUUCCUUUGGGCAUUGAAGAAGAACCGGCCCUGGAGCUUUCUUUUGGAAAGUCUGUAACUAGAGUCCUUGGAAUUUCUUUUGAUUUCCUUUUUUCGCCAGGUAAAAGCUGCUCCUUCCCAGAAAGAAAUCUCAUAUCAUCUACCUCAUGGGCUAAACCCUUCUGACUGCCCCUUUGCUUUGACUGGUCCAUCAUUUCAGUACUUAGAGAUUUCCUCCCUUUAGAAACAUUUGAGUCUGCUUUUGCUGAUUCAUUACUUUUCUCUUUGCGAUGGCCAUUUUUCUUUGGAGGUCUCGAAACAAUAUUGCUAGAACUUACUUUUCUAUCUUCAUGAACCUUUCCAUCCAAACUGGCUUUUCGCUUUUCAACCCAGUUUUGCUCUUGGUUGGAUGUUGGCUCCAUAGGCUCAUCUUCUGCUUGACAAGGGAAGCCUUUAUCCCUUACAACAUUCUUAUCUGCUUCUUUACUCUUUGUCACAUCAUUGACAGAAGAGUAUGAAUUGGAUAGAAGUGGGAGCUUCAACGUUUUAGAAACAAGCUCUUCGCAAGCAAAUGUAUCGAUAUCUUGAUCUUUUUUCGCCAGAAGCCGAAUUCCAUCCUUAUUGUUCCCACUCUUUGAUUCUGCAGAAAGAUCAUUUCUUUCAACUGAUUUUGUUUUCCUCGCCCCAGACACUUUUCCACUACCCUCCCUGGUAUUUGCUCCAUGUACUAGGAACCCAGAUCUUUCCGAGCCAUCCCUUGGAAGAGGAAGAGAUCUGACUUCUUUUGCAAUCAUUUCCUUUUCAGUUAAAUAAAUUAAAUCUUCAGGAAGAGGUGACAAAAGCAUACCCUCAUACACCGGACAGGAUGUCAUAAUCUGCUUCAGACCGUCAUCCAAAAGAAUAUUUCAGUCAAUGCACAUUAUGUUUGAAUAAGAUAACAACUAAAUAUUUCAGGGAGAUGAUCACCUGGAGAAUACUAGUGGGAGAUUCAAAUAGGGCAUCUUGAGGGUCAUGAGAUAUUCCUUCACUAUCUGAAGAAUCAUCAAGUGAGGAAGAUGGUGUACCGUCAAGGCCAAGCCCACUAUAGAUAUCAUUUUUUCGUGUCGACAAGUUAUCCGAACCCACUUUAAGUCGUACUUUGAGAGUUUUCUGGUCUGGUAUUUUAAUAGGUUUCUUCGUUGCAGAUUCCUGUUCAGGAGGAUACAAAUCAGCUCGAUUAGAUGAUACACUCACGUCUUGUUUGACUGGAAUGUUUGCUGAUGGUGCCUUAGGCGCAACAAGUGAAAUAGAACUGGUAGAAGCAGUUCCAAGUCCCACAGACUGAGAUACAGCAUAACAACUUGCAUUGUUACGAUGGCCACCCUGUGUGGUAAAGCAAACAAAUGCGCUCAAGAACAAUUAUUCUGAAAUAAAUAUGGAAUAUAUGUAACAAAUAGAAACUAAUAUCCUCAUUAAGUUGAUACCUCGAGUUUUAGACUGUUGGGAGAUUUGGGUAAGCCAUUAUUCUGAAUUUUUGCUGGAGUCCUCGGAUGAGACCAGACUGGAGACCGCUGAUAGCUAGGUAAAAAUGAGCCAUACCCACCGAACUUUGCCCCUGUUACAGUAAAAUUAUCAAAGUUCGUUAAUAACAGAGAAGAGACUACAAUUAAGGCAUACCUUAAAAAUGAAAGAAGUUACGGCUCCACUAUUUGACUUACCUAGAUUCUCAGCAGACACCCCACCUUCAAAAUCUUUCUGGAAGUGUCCCAAAACAUCCUGAAUUUUAUCAUCCUAAUGUCAAGCAGAGCAAACACAUAGUUAAGUACAAAGCUCAUUCAAAAGACAGUAAGUAAUAACAAGGGCUAGAACAAGAUGGCAAUACUUCCAUAACAGUUCGGGUGAUAUUUACGUAUCUUUUAAUAUUUGAGAUAAUACAUUGUUCAGCUAUCUACUAUUAAUCCCUACAUCAGGAACCAGCAGUUACUCUCAAUUACAGAUACAGAAAGUAUGAUCGGACACUUUCAGUCAUAUCAUAGGUAAGUCCCAGAAACCUUGAUUUAUAACAUUCGAAUAGUGCAAUCCCACAAAAUUUGUAACUGGAUAAGAGGCACAGCACAGUCAACAGUACUCGAGUAACAUUAUUAUGCAGCAACUAAGUUUUACCAUAACCAGUCACCAGUGCAUAAAACAUUUCCAUAAACCACCUGAAACAACCAUUUCAAUACCUCCCAAUAACAAGUCAAUGAAGAAUACUUUAGCUCAUUGCAAAAUGGAUGAAUCUCAAGCUAAACACCACAAUUACCUUACAUUAACCAAUCCCCAAGUAACAAAACUCCUAAACUACAUCGUCUAUUCUCGAAUCAUAAAUCCAAUCACACGCUCCACUGCCCUCUACAGUUUUCAGAUUAACAAAAUUCAUAACCCAGAUUUCAAUCAAACACCGCAGCUGGGAUCUAACACCAGCAAUUUACAAGUCAACCCCCAUGAAUUCAUUACCAAAAUGAUUAAAUACACAUAUACAGGUCUUACGAUGUAAGCAAGAUGAACAUCAGGGUCGAUAUUCGGAUCGUAUUCAUUGAUUUGAGAAGAACAAGCCUCGCCUUCUUCAAGCUCGGAAUCGUCCAUCUCUCUCGCACCUCCUCCGAAUCCUAACCCUAGCCCCUUCCUCCCAUCCCUACCCCCCACAGAAAUCAUCCACACCCCAAAACCUACCUACCUUCUCUCAAAUCCUCCCUCAAUUGAAAACCCAAAGCUCCCUCCGAUCCAUUCGACCGGAAACUCCCACCGAUCAGUCAAAUUCAGAAAAAAAUAAAAAUAAAGACAGAAAUCGGAAGCAGAAAUAGUUUCUAAAAACCGCGAAGAAUUACGCAGGUGUUUUUAUUUUUGGACAAAAGGAAAAAAGUUGGGAGAGGAAUUUGAUGUGUUGUGUGCGCUUGAAAUUGAUUGAGCAGGAGUCCCUCCUUUUCUUUCUCUCUCUUUCUUUCUUCUUUCUCUCUGGUUUUUGGUGUUUACAGCAGGAGGCUGCUUUGGUUUUUUUUUUUUCCUUUCUGUUCAAGCAAAAUAUUAUAAUAAUUGAUUUCUGAUUGUUUAGGUGUCCAAAUAAGAUUAGGAGGAAGGAGCCGGGAUCUGACCGAGACACCGCCGUUUUGUUUCCCGUUACGGUCACGUAUUUAACUCUAUUUCUAUUUUGCCCUUUUUUUCCUUUUUUUUGUUGGAAUGGCUUUGUCCGGAAGAAUUGGAUGUAUUUAGAUGCUGCAUGGUGGGUGUUGCCACGCGCCUAGGUAAGUUUUAAAACAGUAGACCUUGUUUUAAAUGUCUAUUUAAAUUCAAAAGAAAAUAUUCAAAGAUUGUCUAUUGCAUGCGUGAUUAGUGUGUCUGCAAGAAGGUUGUUUUAUAACGGUUACGAUAUUAUGUUAUACUUUUUUUUUUUGAAAGGUGAUUUGACAUUCAAAUCAUAUCUACAUCUAACUAUCUAACGUUGAAUAUAAUAAAUAUUGUUUGACGUGAUUAACUUUAGACUUUUUUUUUAAUAUUGAAUAUGAUGGAUGAUGAUUCAAUUCAUAGUGUACAUUAAUAUUCGUCAAAUGCUCUAACUGUGCAUUUCAGUAUAGUGUGUCUAACCAUUCUUAACAUCUUCGUGAUUUAGACUCAAGUUAAAAGUUCUUCACUCGACACAAUGUAUCUUUGUUUUCAAUGAGUGUAUUUUAAUUUGCAUGUUAAAGUGUUGGCAAUUUUCUGUUACUUAUGUACAACGUAAAUGAAGUUGUUAAUAAAUUCUUAAAAACAAACACCGAACAAAGAAAAGAGUUAAGUCGUAAAUAAAGAACUAAGUUCAUGUAUAUUACCUUGUGUGAGAGCACCGGCGGAGCCAUAAAAUACACAAGGAGGGGGGGGGGGGGGGGGGGGGGUCAAUAUAGGAGAAUGUUAUAUUAAAUCUUCUAAGUUAGCUAGAUGUCAAACACAAGAUACAUAUAAAGCCAAGGUUUUAAAGGUUUUGAGAGGUGCCAUGACACCUCUUGGUCUAUGUUUAGCUCUGUUAGUGUGUGAGAAAGUUAGUAUCGUUGUUGGUAAAAAAACCCCCGCAUAAUAGGAUUUAGUAUGGAUGCACAUAUUAUUAUUAUAGUGUCAUUUAUAAUAAAUGUUAAACUCUAUAGAUGUGGUAAGACCGUACUUUAUCUAAGGUAGUUAAACUGAAUCAUAAAAUAAGAAUAAGAUAUAUAAAAGAAUAAAAUGAAUAUUAUUAUCAUGUACUAUGACCAUUUGAUCCCAAUCAUAAAAUGAAGUAUAAUUAUUUUAUAAAUAUCAUGUGUAAGCUUAUUACAAGCAGAAUAUUACAAACAGUCAAACAGAUGAAUGCAUCAUCAGUUCAAUACCAUUGGUUUGAUUCAAUUGUUUGGGAUAAUGGUAACUACUAAUAACCUCUCGGAAUAAGUAAAUUUUUUGGAGAGAUAAUUGGGUUAAUAUUUCCCGUCCUGGUAUAUCCGCGGCAGUGUGGUUCAGGACUCCUGGAAAGCGAGUGGGGGCAUACAGUCUUUGUGAAGCCACUUGUCAGUUGGCCAAUCCGACAUGUUCUUUAGUUAUACCUGGUCCACCUGGAUACAUGUGUUUCAUUUUCUCCACGAUAUAUUUACUUAUGAGAAAUUUUAAAUACACACAUUUAAUCUCUUAAUAUACAUUUUUAUUAUUUUAUAUUUUUAUUGAGAUUUUAUAAGUAAAUUAAAUGACCAAAACAGACAUCUAUUAUUUUUUUUUAUAAAAACUCUAUAAAUAUUCUUUUAAACGUUUUCUACCCUAAAAUCGUCGAAAGCAUGUCUUCUCUCCUAACCUCAACUCUUCUCCACAAUUCAUUUGGGUUGUCUUUUGUUUUUUUGUUUUUGUAUAUGUAUAAGCUUUAGUUUGAUCUUGCAUAUCAUAUUGUCGAGUACUGCAUCUUUAUCAUGACAUGUUUUAUCGAAUAACUAGUUAUCUAUGUUUAAUAGCGAUUGUACUUCUACAGCUCUACUAGCUUGUGAAUUUUGAAAACUUGUAUUGGUGAUUUGGAGUUGGGAUAUAACAAUAAUCAUUUGAUUAUAAAUUAAACGAUGAUAACCAAAAAUUUCUAACAAAAUUAGAUGAAAUAAUAUGUCAAAAGAGGUACCAAAUAAUAAAUAUACAUUAAUUAUAUUAAAUAAUGAAAUAUUUCAUAAUUAAGGGCAUUUUAGACAGUUUGAGAUGUGUAUUAAGUAUAAUAUUAAAAUGAAAAACUUGAUAGGUGGUGUAUUAAAUAAAUGGUGUGUAUUAAGAUAUUAGGGGUGUGUACUUAUUUAGAAGGCAACAAAAAAGAAGAAAAAAUUAUGGGGAAAGAAAAGGUGAAAUUAAUUGGUUAGGAUCAUCUGAUUAUCUAAUAAUAGUAAAGAUUAUGAGAGAUUUGUUCCCAAAAUCGUGAUUUGCUUAUGUUUAACUAUUUGACGAAUCAAGAACCGUAUUUAAUUGUAUUUAUAUAUGUACUUUGAGCUGUUAGUUUUUUUGAAAAUUCGAUUUUUUUAUUAUUAUUUUUUAUAUAUUAAUCGUACUGUAUGAGAGACCUUUAGAAAUAAUAAAAUACGAAUGACUCUAGCAAUAUAUAUCUCAUAUAACUUAUAAGCUUAGUUAUAAAAGCUUUAUUCAUUUUAUUCGGAAUAGAGAUUUGAGAAUGAGACAUGUGACUUUUCUAAUUUUAGUAAUGGGUCCAAUUCACGUAAUCAACCAUCUCAAGCUUGGUUACGCUCAACUAUCCUUGAAUUUAGAUUCACCGGUAAACCAAUUAAGAAAAUAUGUAAAUUUUAACUACUUUAUCUGUGAAAAUGACUUUCUAAUGCAAUAUAAUAUAAAUAUAAAUAAUAGAGGUAAAGUAUUUACUACUGAAAACAUUUACCGACUGUAAAUAUUAUGAGGGUAAAUCGCCCACCGUUUGGGCACAAACAAAGACAAAAGAGGGACUCGUGUUUGUUGUAGGGAACAAAAGUCAGAGGUUGACCCACGUGCGUAAUUAAUAUUAUGACGUGUCUGAAACCUUCUGUACUGUUUUUUUAUUUUACCCAAACAAGUCUUAACGAUAUUAGUGUGCAGUCAGUAUCUUUGUUAAUUUCUUCCCUUUUUUACUGGGCAAAGAAGAGGGCCUGAAUCUGAAUCAUUUAUCUUUACUACCCAAGAUGGAUAAAAGUAGUAAAUGAGAUUCAUGGUACAAUGCCAUGAAGGUGGAGCUAGAGCAGGUGUUUAAUUAAUGUAAAAUGAAUACAUGCAUGCAUUUGGUUUUGUUGUGAUGGUUUACAAGAUAUGAAGAUAUAAUUUCAUAAACAGAAAAACACUCAUGAAUCAUAAAGGUAAGUAAUAUUGUGAUCAACAUGAUAAAAAGUUUCAAUAAACUCCGUCAACUAUAAUAAUCCUCUGAGUAGGUGGAACAUACAUUAAUAUUAUUUAGAUCGAAUAUCUCACCCACAUUACAGGGUUGUAUAAACAAAAAAUGUUGUGUUUAACUUACUAAUAUAUGAAUAAACUAAAUUUCUAAAAGAGUAAUGAAAAAAUAAGGACCACUCAAUUGUAAAAGAGUGAGAAAAAGAAAGACAUUGCAUAUGACUUGAUUCUUCCUCCAUAUCUUAAGGAUUAGAUUUACAAAAAUUUAAUUGAUCCUUCAAAAAACCUAAUCUUUUUUCAAGAUUAUGUAAAUAUUGAAAAGUAAAGUCAAGUUUGGUAUUGAGUUUUGGGACAUAAAAUCAUUUAUAAUCACAAUUUUGAAUAUAUUUCACAUUUUGUAAAAUUUUAUGAGGUGCUUAUUUAAAUUUUUUUAGGCUAAAUAACCAUGAUUUUAAAAAGCAUGUUAGAGGUUGUUUUUUUUAAAUUAAGUUUGUUUUUAUUUAAAUUUUUUUUUAAAUUGAGUCUUCACAACAAUAUCAAACUAAGAGUAAGUAACAUAAAAUCUCUUGAUAUAGCUGUGAGCCUUCAAGACACUCCGUUAAAUACUUCAAUUCUUAUUUAAUAUAUAUAUAUAUAUAUACACGUUGUUAGUUUUUCAUAUAGUCUUAACCAGACAUGCAAAGAUUUUAUAGACCCAGAAUCUAGUUCCUUGACGCAUGUAAAAUGCACCAAUUAUGCAGUGCAACACAAUGUCUGGCCGCUUUUCUAACUUCGGGAAUCGAGCUUAAGUUGAGAGCACACUCAACUAGACAAAAAUCAUUAGACCACUUGCGGUGGUUAUACCGUAUAUAUUUGUCAGCUAAGCCUGGGUAGCUAAUUAAAAAAAUAUGGCUAAUUAAUGGUCCUUUUUUGAAAUCAAAACGGAGACCAUCAAUUAUUUACUUAACAAUCUAACAACAUAGUAAAAUAGUAUGACAUUAACGAUCGAUUAAAUUAACACGCAUGUACUAGUUCCGCUCCGUCAAGUAAUUGAAGGAAACUAAACCUGUACACUGAAUAACAUCAUGUGUGUUAAAUGAACGAAAUUAUUGCUACUACACUUUGAACUCAAACUCACACACAUAACACUCACAAAAAGAUUCACUCCCAAAACAGAAAAAAGCAGCGAGAAGAAGAAUGUGAAUCAUGAGAAACACGAGGUACGUCAAGUAGCCAUCAUCACGAGCAGCGUCUGGCGCCGUCUGCUCAUUCCGUACUAGAGAAUUCAAGGCAUCCAAUAUGUGUGGACUUGUUUCAUCCAUCCAAACAAUAUUAACCCCAAAAAAGCUCCAAGAGAUUAAGGACAUCCAGGUUCAUUGUGAGCACCCAGGUCACCAAUUAUUAUUCUAAUUCCUGUUUUUAUUCAUGGGUUUAAUAGUUGGAAUUAGAUAUUUGUAUUAUUAAGUGCCGUCAUGCAUUGUUUCUGGUAAUUAAUCAAUAAUAUUGGGGACCUACUAGCUUUGUCCCUCCAAGUUAUGACCAGAAUAUGCUCAGGUUUGUGCUGUAUUAUCUUGGCAUAUCUGUUCAUACUUUUACGGUUUACAAUACAGAUCAGCGAAAUGUAAAACCUAGGUACCCUUUUACUAAAUCCGAUCCAUGGUGAAAAAUGACAUCUUCUUAAAUAGUUUCGUUUUAACAAUGUUCUUUUUUUUUAUUAACGUAAAAGGCUUUUUAGACCCAAUGUCAAGAUUCAAGCCUAGAUUGAGAGUUACACCCAACUAAACGAGUACCACUAUACCACUCACAAUGGUUUCUUGUUAAAUAGUUAUUAUCACAGUUACACACCCAACAUUUGAUCCAGUUACUAGGGUAAGUAAAAAAGUGAAACGAAACAGUCAGCCAGAUGAUAUGAAUUGAAUUGUAACGAAAAUGUUAAAAGCCAUUACGAUAGUGAACGUGUUGUAUGUACGGAAGUCAUAUGAGAAUACGGUUAGGAUUCAACGAGAUUAGGAUUCCUAGUCCAAUCGAAUAAAAAAUGAGGAAUUUGAUUCUAAGAAUGACUCCUGCUGCAUCUUUGGACGAAUAAUGGUACAAGUGAAUGGGAUCGGAAGGACAAGUCUUUCUAUCUAUUUGUUCUAUUAAUUCUCAAAUUAUUAUGAUUAUUACUAUCUAUUUUUCUCUUAGUGGUACAUCCUACUAUGAAAAAGCUUCAUCAACAGACAACAGUUAAGCGAGUAUAAGAAGUGAUCUGUAAUUUGACCUCCUUAAUUGAGGAGAAAUCAUUUGGAAGAACCUUCAAACUGAUCUCGCAGCAGCUCAUACUUCCUAAGCUCGGCUGUGGAGAGUGAGGGCGAUAGCUCCUUUAAGACCUAAGAUUAUCGGGGACAAAGGCAGUCAGUAGAUGCACCAGAAACUGGAUUUAGAACAAUUCUUAUUUGUCUUGUAAAAGCACAACAGUACUUGUGAUUAACUCAGACACUUAAACACAGUUCAGAAAAAGACCGUCGUACCUUGACAAAAUCAUCAUAUUCAACAAUAACAGAGUCAGGUUGGUCAUCUAUGGAAGAGGAAUCUGAAUCUGAACUCAAAACCUGCAUGAAUGGCAAGAAGCACGUCAGAACAUCCCUUUAUCUAGUGAGUAUUAUAUGAUAAAAGCGUAAAGCUUAUGAACAUUGUAUCUUUAUAUAAUCCAGAAUAUUGUUGAGAAUGCAGGAGCAUCUAGUAUUCUGACUUUCUGAGUGUUGCAUCUUGAUUUGUACAAUCAUGGGUCUCUCCAGUACUGUAUAAUUGAUUGUCUACGACUCCAAUAUUAACAGAACUGUAUCAGUCUCUUUGCUUUACUAACCAGUUAAGCUCCACUCACCAAUGCAUUUCCUAUUUCAUAACUAUAAUUGAACACACCUCAAAAUCAAUCCACGUCCUUUAUCAAAUAUGAACUACCCCUCUACACCCUGAAUAUAUUGGACAGCUUACACCAAUACUUUUGGUUCAAUCAAAACCAACCAUAAGCUCUGGUGUUGACUAGACUCACCUUACGCUUAGCUGCACUAAACCAAGCAUCCGCACACAAGGCAUACAUGUCUGCACCAGUGAAGGUUGGUGGACAUUUCUUCGCUAUUGAAUAAAGUGAAACAUCUUCAUGUAACUUAAACUUUCGGGUAAGAGCUUUGAGAACCCUAUAUAAAAAAGGAAAGAAAAAGAAUCAUCAUACUGACAACAAAAUUAUUCAAUGAUGAACUUACGUAAAAACCAACCGUUCUCUGUAAGAUGGAUCAGACACAACUCCAACAUAAAGCAACUUAUCAAACCGGCCAGGCCGUAGAAGUGCUGGGUCAAUUAGAUCUGGUCUGUUACUUGCUCCAAUUAUAAACAAGUCCUACAUUAAACCAAACAAGGCUUUUCUGUCUUAGUUGAGGAUAGCAAAAUACCCUGUGAGAUAUUGGAAAAAAGAAAAAGAAAAAUAACAAGCAAGAGACAGAGCAAACACCUGAGUUGAAUCAUUUAGGCCAUCAAUCUCUGCAAGCAUCUAGUGGAACAGAAAGUCACAGUCAGUAUCAAGGAAUAAAUGCAAAUUUUCCCAGUCAUAAAGAAGGAUGCUUCACCUGAGAAACCACUCUGUCCAUGACACCCCCAGAAUCCCCAGAUGCACCUCGGGCUGGAGCAAGGGAAUCAAGUUCAUCAAAAAAUAUAACACAUGGGCGUGCUGAUCUAGCCUGCAAAGCAUGUGCAAUACUGCUCUAGUGUGAGCCAAAAUAGAUGUUCUGAAAUUCAAGUAGAUAAACAACAAUAAACUUCUUCCAAAAGGCUAAUGAUCAAGCUGGAAUGUUUUACCUUCUGGAAAAUGUCUCUGAUAUUCUUUUCUGACUCUCCUAUGUACAUAUUAAUGAGUUCAGGUCCUUUUACACUGAGAAAAUUUAGGGAGCACUCAGUUGCAACAGCUUUUGCCAGCAGAGUCUGAGGGUUGAAGUCAGAAAAACAAAUGAGUUUAACAAAUCUCUUGGGGUAAAUGAGAGGGAAAAUAGAGAAAACCUUAGAGGAGUAACUGUAACUUACUUUCCCUGUUCCCGGUGGACCAUACAGUAGAACACCAGAACGCUUUCGUAAGCCAGAUGAAAACAAGUCCUUGUGCAGAAGAGGUAACUAGAACAAACAACAAAGAAGAAUUGAGUUGAUAAAGCGUUCCAAAUUCCAAAUUGCUGGAAUCUUCCUGGUGGACAACAGGUAAAAAGUGUAGAUACAACAGACCUACCUGUACAGUAUCCAGGAUUGAUUUCUUCACAUCCUCAAGACCACCAACAUCUUCCCAUUUGACGUUAGGAACCUAUAGAGAAUAUGAUUUAAAUUGCAUUAGAUGUCCUAUAAGUAUACUACUUCCACGUUUGUUGCAAUAUAAAACUCAUUUUUUAGCCCCACAGAAGAGGACACACUUAGACAUCACCCAAUACAGAGAGCUUGAUAGGAAAGGACAAUAUAUCAUUCCUCGAAAUUAGUCUUGUCUCUCAAUUACCUUUGGAGUACCAAGGGCUGAUGCAUUCCUUUUCUUUGAUCUGUCCAAUGCUUUUGUCAAGCUUUCUUUUCCCAGAAUCGGAGAUGUGACUUCACAGGACUUACUGUCUGAUUCGACAUAAUCUUUGAGAGAAGCAUCUGAUUCUUCAGACUUCACUGUGUCAAUCUGAGCAUUGCCUUUUGGAAUCAAGUUUGCACCAGCAUCAGCAACCAAUGCACAGAUAUCUCUGGGCAUGAAACCAGAUGUCUGUGCAACUAUAUCCUUUAUAAGAUCCUCCGAAUCAGUCUGCAAAAAAACAAUUCUGAUCCUUUUAAGUCACGAGAUGAUCAAAAGAAACUACAAUUAAUACCAUGUAGAAUACAAAGGCGUACAGAACUUGUUUAUGGACUUCAAGAUUCACAUUCAGUUAAAAUCUGAAAAGUGACAGAUGGAGAGUUUACCAUUUGACAACACUGCAUUAGGCAUUACAUAUAAUUAUAUAAAAAAUUGCUACCCGAAGACAUAUUUAAGCGAUGUCAAUACUUGGUGCGACCAUGAUAAUUUUUUAACCACACCAUAGGAAUGCGGCAAACCAUCAAAUUGGGGGGGGGGGGGGGGAACGGUGGUGGAUAUAACACUUGUUUUGGUCAUACCCAACCAUCGAAAGCCAGAGGAAAAAAAGUAUUUAAGCAUCAGAAUCACGGUAUCAUCAAGGGAGAUCUUGACUGAAAAUUAUUAUACCCAAUCAAUAUAGAUGCUGAGCCCCAGUGCUUGACAGGAGCUCAGAUGAGAACAGGUGUCAGAUAAAAAACAAUUCUUGGCCCACCAGGUAGCAGCUUAGGCUUUUGAAAUCAAUAGCAAACCAACAAAACGUAUGCAUCAUAAUCAUAUUUAUAAUAGACUGCACACAUAAAAGGUUAGGAUUUUCCAACAAAACUUAUGCAUGAUAUACUUCUAAUAGAAAACACAUAUAAAAGGUAAAGAGAAACCAAACAUAUUUUUUACAUACAUUAGAAAGGAAUUCGGAAGCCUUCUGCAAAGACUCUGAGACCAUUUUAACCCUUUGUUCUUCAGUCAAUGGACCCAUACUUAUUUCAUGGCUAAAGCAACGUCUAAUAGUUGGCGGUAGACCUUCUGAACUGUCAGCAGCUGCAAUUAACAGCACUUGAUGCCUACCUACUUUCCCAGAAUCCUGCAUGCAGUGUAGUAUUAUUAGGUUGGUCAGAUUAGAAAACAAAAAACAACAUAGCAAUCAACAAAAGAGGAGAAGUCACACAUGAAAAAUGAGUGAGGACUAGAAUUUACAUCAACUAAUGAUCAUUUCUCAGAACCGAAAUUAAUUAAUCAUACAUAAGAAUAACCCAAGACACAAAAUAUGGCACUAAAGCCAUGUACUUACAGUAUGACCAUUUUGUUUUUGUUCCAUAUCUCCAGAAUCAAAAAUUGGCUCAGUGAAUUCCCUUAUAAGUGAUGCAACUUCAGAAGUGAUGCCAACUUGAUCAUUUGGUGAACCUUCUUGCAAAUUCCGGAAAACAUCAAAAUGGCGGAGAAGAAGUAUAGUUGGCGAGUAUCUGAAAGAACAUUGCAUAAGAACGAACUGGAACAACCAUUGAAAGUAGGAAACUUAGGUGCAACAAAAUUGAAGGAUAUGGCAGAGAAAGUUCUCCCAUCAAAUGAUAUAAUGGAGAAGGAUAAAAUAAGGAUAGAGUAGUAUGACUGUUUUCUCAUAUAUCAUCGAAGAAAAGUUGUAUAGCUAAUUAGUGAAACAAUAGGUAACAAUAACUGCUGCUGUCAAGCAUAUAUCAUAAAAAUGCAGUAGUAACAGAGGAAAUUUGGGACCUCUAGCAUGUAUCAUACUCAAAAAAUGCAUUGCUUUACCUUUGAGCAGCAUUCAAGGUUUGGGCUAGUGCAACAGAAAUCUUUUUUUCAGAUGACGUCGUCAGAUUAUGACAGCUAUAUUCAACUACAUGCAGGCCCAAUCGACGAGCAACAUAUCUAAUAACCGUUCUCUUCCCACAUCCUGCACCAAGCAUCAAAUAACUACUCAAUGACACUAAACUCAUGUGCGCAUGAAACAUACAACUUAGGCAACUCAUCCAGGGUAAUCAUUCUUUUCCAUAAGUGGUAAUAGGUUAAAGAACUAUAUUACAUAUUGAAUGCUUAAUCCCAAGGGAUCUUGUUAGAGAGUAGAGACCUUGCGAAAUUAAAUAUAAAUGCAACCAUCAAGUGUUCAUGACAAAAAGGAAAGCUUCAAUAUACCUGCCAAUCCAUACAAUAGGACAGAAACUCUGAAUUUUGAGGAUAGUGCUGAGGGGCACAGAAGCGGAGUAAGUAUGGAGGCCAACAUUUUCACUGUGUCCCCUUGCAAAGGUACAAAACCUUUUUGUCCAGCAAUCAAUAAAUCAGGGGGCACAGCAGAAGAGACGCUUCCUCCAAGCACAAGGGCAGUUUGAGAACGGUUAACUCGGAGAAUUGGUUUGUCCAAAGGUUCCAUAGCCACAACCUAAGACAACAAAUGACACGGUGAUUGUCAUUAUCACAUUUGUUGACUAGAAAUUGCAACUGAUGAAAAGCACUGAGAAUUCACCUUGAAAUAGAUAGUGUUAUCAACCCCAUUUUCCAAACUUUGGUCGCAAGGAACGCAAACCAUUGACUUGCAAUUCCACUUUAUACAAACACUGAAAACAUCACCUCUUGCUAGAUACCUAUCAACCUCAAAGUAGCUAUGCAGUGCCGAAUCUAUCAUUUCUUGACGAUCUUCAUGUUCAACAGCCGAAUUCCCUCUAAGAGAGUCAAGACUACCACAUUCCGGUACCUUCACAAACGAAGCCCUCAAGUGCGAAGCAUAUCUCGGCAACUCCAAAUGCGGCUGUAUCCCAAUCACAGAACCCCCAAUCCCUUUCCCACUCGCCUCAUCAUCCACCCCAUCCCCAAAAUAAGACGCCAACGCCGCUUCCCCUCUGUGAACAAGCGAUUUCAAGCACAAUGUAUGCAAGUCAAUGUUAAACGCCAACAUAGGCGACAUAUACGCAACUUCCUGAUCUAACAACAUGUGGCCAUUUCCAGGCAAAGUGCAACAAGGCAGAACAAGCAUUGCGUGGGAAGACUGGCCAGCAGAUAGUUCAGUGUUCUCGGAGCGGUCCGGUGGAUCCACAACAAUGACCUGAGCAAUUCUUUGUAUGUUUGUCUCCAUAUUCUUCACAAGCACCUUGUUUAUACAAAUCAAAAUCAAAGGAAAAAAAAAAACACUAAAGCAUCAAUUACUUGCUGUGCAGAAUUUUCCACAUGAAAUUAACGCUAAAAUUGAAGUAAUUAAAGAAAUUACAGCUCCUCCUACAAUUGAAAUCCGAAGAAUUAAAGAGUAAAUUUAGCAGAGAGAAAAGAGUAGAUGGAUUUGGAUACCAGGGAGCCGGAGGUGAUGUAGAGGCGUUUGAGGAGAGAAGUGGAGAGGCCGACGAGAGCAGAGUCGUCGAGAGAAGCCGAUUUGGGGCUCCGGUCGACGUAGAAUCGGAGAAUUCCCGGCGGAAGCAGCUGGAAGCUGGUGGUGACGUCAUCGGAGGCGGAGAGUGGGUGAUCGUCGCCGGAGGUGAGGCCUCCCGGCGGGGAAGAGAGUAGGGAUUUGAUGAGAGUUUUAGUGGAAGUGAGUACUAGUGGCUUCCUCCUCCCCACCAUUGGAAACUAGUGAGCUCUCUCUCUCUCUCUCUCUCUUUGGGGAACAAGUUCAAAUUUAGUUGCAUAGUAGUAUUUAUAUGAAGGUAGAGAGAGAGAGGUGGGUUGGAUUAGAGUGAGGAGCGCAUUUCGAUAGAAAGUAAAAAGGGACAAAAAAGUUAAAAAUGGAGAUGCGGGGUAUCGAUCCCCGUACCUCUCGCAUGCUAAGCGAGCGCUCUACCAUCUGAGCUACAUCCCCAACUUGACAGCUCCGGGAUUAUGCGGAUUAUUAACCUUCAUAAAGAAAAGAAAUGUGAAUUAUGAGUGAUAAAAUAUUGUGUGGCAAAAGUUUUAGUGUUUCAAAGUAAUGAAAUUCUAGAGUCCAAUAAAGAAUGUUGUUUUACGAUUGUAAGAAUUCAGUUGUACCAACUUUUCUUUCAUAUAGAAAGAGGUAGCGGAAGCUUUGUGAUUACAAAACAACUCUUAACAUGGUAUAAGGAAAGGUUGUUGUGUUGGAAGACGGACAACCUUAGCUUCUAUGCGUGCCUGAUUUGGAGGAAAGAAUCUUGCAAGAUAUGGAUAUAGACUUGUGCAAUCUCUAUGAAUGUAGACCCAUCAAUAAACCAGGUAGCACAAACAGCUCUUCAACUAAGCUCAAGUCCUCAUCUCCAUAGCUACCUACUCAUCCAUACAAGGCAGCUUGUGCAAUCAAGUCCAAUGACCUUUUUCAAUGACUAUACAAAACUGUUUGCCUGUCUCUCUCUCUCUCCCUAAUAUGUCUUCAAUCUGAUAGAAACAACCAGCUGGGAGAAACAAAAUGAACAAAGUUUCAAUUCCACAUAGAAGAUUGAUCAAUGAUGGAGCUUUUCACAAUAUAUUUAUUGACAGAUCCACAAAACCAACAGUGUUGAACUGUUGAUUAAGUUGCACAACUGCAGAUUUAUGCAUCAGAGCCUUAAAUAGUUAAAGCAUGUGAUCGGGUGCAUGUAGGUGCCCUUAUAAUUACUUCUGCAAUUUUCAAGCCGGCCUGUUGGCUUAACAGGCCUAUCAAAGCAGCAAGGAAAGUGUGCAUAUGAUGUGCGCUCUGAUCCUCCAGUUCUCUCCGAAGCAGGCUGCUGCUGCAUGUUUAGUUUGCUCUUCAACCAACCUCAACCCAGUAGCCAGCAAUAUAGAGUUGCUACUGCAUUAAAUCUACUAAUGACUGUUUCUAAUGAAACUAGAGAAGAAACAUGUAAAUAUCUCUUACAUUAAUGUUAUCUACUAGGUUCAGUAUCAGCUAAGCUAAUUUUUCAUUCCUCCAAUGCAAACUGAUUUCGUUUACCUUCAUCUUCUUCGACCAUUAUAGAGUAACCCUAAAGCUCUGGAAUCAAGAUCAAAGGAUGAUCCAUAGCACCACACCAGGGUUGUUGGUUCUUAAACCAGUUUAAGUAGAUAACUGGAUAGAGACGAACCGAGUCUCUAAUGAAACCAAUAAGAGAAUGAUAACUGCAGCAACUAUAGUUUAGCUUUUCACAUUUUUGACAAACCAUAAAACCAGUAAGAGCCACAACAGAGCACAUUCCAUUGCUGCCGAUCAAAUACCUAAUUGUUAAUGCCAAUUUGAUGUAACAGGACAUGAUAAAUAAGACAGUGAUUCCCUUAAAGGAACAGCUAUUUUGUAGACACUAGUUGACAAACCUCUUUCAAAUCACCACUAGGCUUCUUCACAAACUUUCUUGCAGCACCUCCAGAUUCAAAGCUACCCCCCCAGAAAUGUUGCAGCGUCACCAAGAUCAUACAUCCUGCACAUAUACUUUGCCUUGGUAUACAUCCAACAAUUGAGGUACUUGGUCGAGAUAUCUGGUGACAAACCUACUAAAGAAGCACUCCUCUGAAGGCACAAACACAUAAGACAAACUCAACUUCUUCUCUUCUAUCAGUCCUUUCAACAACAAAACUCUAACAACCGAACACCGAGGGAUGAUUCUCUUCUCCAAGCUGUACACAAAAACAUACGGAACCUCCGCAAUUUUUCCUGAUUCCCAUCCCAUCUUGUUCACUAAGAAAUCCAUUGUCACCAUUAUUUUCUUCUCAGACACCAUCAUACACAGUGGAUGCCUCUUGAAGGCAGAAAGAAUAUCAUUAUCCGACCAACCCCACCUCCUAUAAGCCUCUUCCUUAUGUCUCCAUGUUGUUUUCUUCCAGGAUAAUACGACCAUGGCUUGCACAAAGUUCACAUUUCCCGGGUCAAAUCCCAUUUCUGCGACUUGGCGGACUAAUUGACUGAAGAAUUCAGGCUUUCUCGUCACAGUCUUACUAAAACAUGCUACCAACCGCGCAAGAGCCGAGUGGGGCAUGCCCAACUCUGUAACAAGUCUAAUAUUGGGUUUAACAUUCUUGGAUAGAUUUUCCAAGAAAAUGGAUGAGUUCUGUUUUAGAGUACGAACGACCUUGACAUCAGAGAUCACCACGCUUUUGAGGAAGUUAUAACAGGGUAUAAGACUGUUUUCCAAGCUUCGCGUCAAUAGAUUUGGGUUGUAAGUCAUUAUUUUUGCAAGGUCGAGCCUUGACAUCCCUAUGGAGCAGAAAAACUCAAGCUUUGGCAAAAGGGUCUUCUUCGCAUUGGCUAAGAUAAGUUGCGGGCGUCUCCGCACAAGAGUUGAGAUCUGGGUAUCUGAGAAUUCAUACUCUCUCAAAAGGGCUAGAACGGAGUUUGGUUGCUCUAAAGAUCGAAGCUGUACCUUGUGGGCUGCUAGAGUAGCGGCUUUUGGGGACAACCCACAUGAGCGAAUGAGGUAAGAGAGUGUAGGAUUGUCUUGGGCUGCUGGGAUUAUCGAGCUGCUGAUGAACCUUCGACCAAAAUGAGAAGCAGCUACUGCAAAUGCUUGAUUUCUGUACAGAAGACUUGAAAACAUUGGGUGUGCGGAUCCGAGGCUCUUGCCGAAAAUGUAGAAGAGUGCCAUGCUCCACUCAUUACUUCAUUAGAGAGAAUUGGAGUAUUGGAGAUGGCCAAUUUUGGGUUCCCAAUUCAAAACGCACUAGGGUUUUGGUUCUCCCAAAUGAACCUCAUCUACUGUCGUCUUUUGCUUUUCCCACUUACUCUUGAAAUGUUGAGAGAGUGAAUAUAAUCUAUAAAUAUAUAGAGGGACUAAUUUAGCCCUCAAAGUUUUACAGAUGUAAAUAACGAGGUGGCAUACUUUCAGUCGAGAUCACAAAUUUAUAUAAUGCCGUUUUGAUUUUUUCAAAACAUAAGACACCUAAAUUACGAGUAGGUCAUUUAUCGUGUACAAUUGUUAAAAAAUUUCCGCACAAAUAAUGUAUUGUUGAUCUCAGCUGCGACAUCAAGUGAGGGGUGAGAUGAAGCUACUCUGCUCACUUUUGACAUCUGCUCACUGAUCUACUCUGCAUCACUGAUCUGCAUAUAGGAUUUAGUAAAGUUAAUAUGAACAUUCUAGUUUUCUAAUUCUGGAUAUAGCUCAUGAUGUUAUGAUCAUUUUUGUGCUUAGUCUAAAACUUGUCAUUUCGAUAAUGUUUGAUACUAGGGAGUAUUAUAAAGCCGAAAAAGGAAAAAAGAGACCAGGGGUAGCUCAGGAAUUCGAGGAAAGUUGAUCAACUAUAUAAAUGAAACAUUAUUUACAGAAGAUUUCCACUUCCAGCUACAUUCCUCCUGAUUGUGCAUUCAAAUUGAAGUAGAUGAAUAAAUCGAUCUAGAGAGUGUGAUUAGUGAGCCACAGAGAGGCAGAAACUAUAAACUAAUGAGUUUCAAUUGAGUUUUUCACAAUAUUGACAGACCUCAAAAACUAAGCAGUGAUAACAUAGAUGACAUUCAAUUUCUGCGCAUCAAAUAUCUCAUUGUUCAUAACGAAUUCAGGUAACAAGACUCAGACCGAUUACAAACAGUUGGUGUUCUCGUAAUCAAAACAAGUAAAAUCAAGGCUGAGGGAACACAUGAGAAACCUGUUUCUGUUCUCGUAAUCAAACAAGUAAAAUCAAGGGUGAGGGAACAUAUGAGAAACCUGUUUCUUAUCCAGACUUGGGAGGCUAAUUCAGUUUUCUCUGGUAAUGCCUCUGAGAUGUGACACUAUCAGCCUAGCAACUAUGUUACCUUGUCCACUUCCAGUUUGCCAUGGUACACAUUCAACAAUUCGGGUACACUGUCGAGAAAUCUGGUAACAAAGUUACUCAAGAAGUACUUGUCUGGCACCCUUAUAACAGUAGCCAAACUCAAGUUGUCCUCCUUGAUCAAUCCUUUCAGAAGCAAAACUUUAACAACCGAACACCUUGGUAUGAUUCUCUUCUCCAAGCUGUAGCAUAAAACAUGGGGAUAUUUUGCAAUCUUGUGGGAAUGCCAACCCAUCUUGUUCACUAAGAAAUCCAUUGUUUCCAUUAUUUUCUUCUCAGACUUGGUCAUGCAUGGUGGAAACAACUUAAAAGGCAGAAAGAAUAUCAUUAUCAGACCAAUCCCAACUCCUAUAAGCCUGUUGACAUCGUUUCCAUGUCGUCCCUUUUAAAGAUAAUGCCUGCAUAGCUUGCACAAAGCUUGACUUGUGAGGGUCAAAUCCCAAUUGUUGGACUUCACCCACAAGUUGACUGUACAAAUCAGGCUUCCUCAUCACACUAUGAGCAUAAUAUGUUAGCAACAAAGCAAUACAUGAUUCCGACAUGCCCAAUUCUCUCAGAAUCUGAGUAUUGGGUAUCACAUUCUUGGAGAGAUUUGCUCUGAAAAUCCAUGAGCUCUGCUUCCAAAUAUUGACGACCUUGACAUCAGAGACCACCACGCUUUUGAGGAAGUUAUAACAGGGUACAAUAAAGUUUUCCAAGCUUCGGUCAAAGAGCAUCGAGUUGUAGGUCGGUGUUUUUGCGAGGUCGAGCCUUGAGAUUCCUAUGGAGCAGAAAAACUCAAAGCUUUGGCAAAAGGGUUUUCUGGGUAUCGGUCAUCAGAAUACGUGGGUGUUUCCGCACCAGAGUUGAGAUUUGGGUAUCUGAGAAUUCAUACUGUCUCAAAAGGGCUAAAACAGAGUCUGGUUUCUCUAAAGAUUGAAGCUUUACCUUGUGAGAUGCUUUAAUGGCGGCUUCUGGGGAGAGAGACCACAAGAGUUGACCAGGUAAGAGACCGUGAAAUCGUCGGUCAGUGUUGUUGUACAAAACCACUGACUUUGAAGUCCUUCGAACGGGAUGCGAUAUCUGCAAAACAGACGUGAAAAUGGGUAUGACAGGGUCUUGCUGCAAAUGUAGUCGUGUGCCAUUGGAAUUUGCAACACCGAUUAGAGGGAUGGGAGGAGUCCCAAUUUCACUGCACUCUAGGCAUUUUAUUUUUUAUUUUUAAACAGAGAUGGAAAGGUUUUAAUUUUUUUUUUCACUGUUGAGAAAACAUUGAGCUUUUUAAUUUGUAUGAUACCUGAACUAUGGAACUAAUGUCUAUUGCAUUAUGGUUAUAGUUCAGGUACCAUAUAUGAGGAUUUUUCCUACAAACAUUGAGCUUUUCACAUAAUUGACCACAAAACCAAUGAGCUUUUCACAGUUUUGGUAUAGAAUGAGAGAAAUUCAUACAUCAGCUAUAUCACAUCCAACAAUUGAGGUACUUGGCCUGAGAUAUCUGUUCACAAAACCUAUCCGAAAAGUACUUCUCCUAGACAAUAUGGGAGAAUUGCACAGAACUGGCUUUCAAAAUCCUAGAGUUUAGCAUAUUAUAAACAGCAGAACCCCAAAUUUCUAAUCCGUUCUCCUGUACUUCUAGCUCCAGCACUCGGAUCAUGAACAUGUUCCAGUUUUCCUUGUCCAGGUCAAGGUCGUCACCAGCAUAUCCUUGUAUGAUUCAACUUCACCAAUAACUAUGUCAGUAGACAAUUUUCAUGAGCAAGUUACACAUAAGUAUUACAUGCCUUUGAAGUAGACGAAUGCCCAAAUGCUCAACACACUCUAUGACCAAACAAGGGUCAUUCCUUUGGGGUGCGUUUUGUAGCUCAUGCAUCUUAUGUACAAUGAAAGCAAGAUGUUGGUGCUAACUGUUUACGUAGUACACUCCUGAAUCGCAUGAUCAACCUAUGUCUUCCAGUUCUGGUCAGCCUUGCCUUCGACGUGGAAGCUUUCCUUCUCAACUGAACUGAACUACUCAACUCAUGUAAAUCUGAUCCUGAUGGGUGCUGUGUUGAAUUGAAUGUAAACCCUAAACCAAAUUCAAUAAUUCAAUAUUCACUUCAUGUGUGUAUAUAUGUUGCACUGUAAUCAUUAUUUUCAAUGAUUAUGAUAAAAAUGGGUUGGAAAUUGAUGCUUUAGUUUCUUCUUCCCUGUCUUCUAUAGACCAUUUGCAUGCCUUAUUCUUUUAUAUUUGAUAUUGGUAAAUAAAACAUGUCUUGUCUAACAGUGUUUUAGAUACCACUCGCGUGUUGCUGCGGGGUAGGAUUUCUUGAUGAUGACCAAUAUUCAAUCCUCAUUUCACGCCUCCUAUGCCAUCACCUUUUCUAAAUCUACCGCUGAUUCUCCCGUCUUUCCCUAAUUUUUCACAAACACAUCCAUCUUUCCCAAAUCCACCACCAACAUCAUGGCCUCAUGCCUGCAAAAUCCACCGCUCAUCUCCAAUUCUACCACCUCCUAUUCCGCCACCUGCACAAAAUUCACCAUCAACCCCAUAGCCUCUACCAUCAUUUUUUAAUUCCACCACCAUACCAUAGCUUUUCCCUUGCCAAAACCCACCAUGGACAGCUCUGAUCCUAUGCCCACAACCAAGUAAAAAAUAGAAAAUAAAGAAGUAACAAAUUUUCAAGGACACAAACGUCUUUUUGAUCAGAAAAAUUGAACAUUUGCAAAUAAAUUUGUAUUAAGAGGUAACACAGUCUUUUUAGUCAGUAUAAUGGUAGAUUUGUAAAUAAAUUACAUUAAAGGGUAAAAAAGAUAAGGGGCAAAAACACAAUUCACCAGAACUUGAGGGCAAAAACACAAUUCAUCAAAGAUAUAAACAGUGUUUUUCCCCUUGUUGUUUUAUUUUAUAGAAUGUUGAUGAGUGAUGACCCAAAACUCUCAAGUCAUCUACGGCCAACACAAAAGUGAAAUGAAAACAGUAGAGCCAUCUCAGACCUUAAGUCUUCUCUAUGAACUUAGACUUGAACUUUAAAAGAGCACAUAACAGCAGAUGAAGCAAUCUAACUAAAUGAUCAUGGGUAAGGUGGUGCUGGGUCAAUAUUUUUGAAUAGCUCAACCUUUAUAUGGUUUGAAGAGCAGCCUGUACCUGAUGAACACCAACAGAACUCAGAGACCCCUCACGUUUUACAUAUUAGAAAAACCAAAUUCCUUCAUGUGGCAAUGUGACAUGAAGCAAUAGACAAUGUGACAUUGCCUGAUAGGUUCAUACAACCAGUUCAAUAAGCACUCGAGAUGAUGCAAGUAUAAAGUAAUGAUUCUUGAUCAAGAUAUUUUAAGGAACAGAAAAUCAAUGCGAGAUAAAACAGGACACUUACCAUUAACUGAGAACCUCUUCAAAAAUUCCACUCCUUCCAUUUCUUCUAGAAGAGCCUCAGAGUUCAAGACUAUAAAUCCAAUUUACAGUGUCAUCAAGAACAUACAUUCUGCACAUACGCUUUGCCUUGGUACACAUCCAACAGUUGAGGUACUCGGCUGAGAUAUCUGUUCACAAACCUAUCCAAGAAGUACUCCUCCAACCUCGAAAGAACAUUAGCCAAAUUCAACUUCUCCUCCCCUAUCAAUCCUUUCAAAACCAAAACUCUAACUGAAAACCUCGGGAUGAUUCUCUUCUCCAAGCUGUAAAAAAAUCUCCAAGCUGUAAGAAAAAACAUGGGGAUAUUUUGCAAUCGUGUGGGAAUCCCACCCCAUCUUUUUCACUAGGAAAUCCAUUGUGUCCAUUGGUUUCUUCUCUGACAACAUCAUACACAGCGGAUACGCCCUGAAGGCAGAAACACAAUGAUCCUCAGACCAACCCCACCUCCUAUAAGCCUCUCGACAUCGUUUCCAUGUCUCUUUUGCAGCCAAUACAUUCAUGGCUUGCACAAAACUUGUCUUCUGAGGGUCAAAUCCCAUUUCCUUGACCUCACCCACAAGUUGGCUGAACAAUUCAGGCUUUCUCGUCACGAUACCAGCAUAAUCUGUCAGCGACAAAGCAAUACACGACCCGGGCAUGCCCAAUUCUCUCACAAACUCACUAUUCGGCACUACUUUCUUGGAUAAGUUACUUGCGAAAAUAUAUGAGCUGCGCUUCCAAGCACUGACGACCUUGACAUCAGAGACCACAACGCUUUUAAGCAUGUUAUAACAGGGUACAAUAAAGUUUUCCAAGCUUCGCAUCAAAAUAACUGGGUUGGAGGUCAGUACUCCUGCAAGGUCGAGCCUUGAGAUUCCUAUGGAGCUGAAAAACUCAAGCUUUGGCAAAAGGGUUUUCUGGGCAUUGGCGACCAGAAUAUAUGGGUGUCUACACACAAGAGCUGAGAUCUGGGUAUCUGAGAAUCCAUAGAGUUUCAAAAGCGCUAAAACGGAAUUUGGUUUCUCUAAAGAUUGAAGCUUUACCUUGGGGGAUACUAGAGUAGCGGAUUCUGGGGGCAAUCCACACGAGCGAACCAGGUAAGAGACUGUACAAUCGUCUUGGACGGGUCUGGUACAAAACAGCUGCUUCUGAAGACCAAACUGUGAAUCCAAUCCCUCCACUGGGUGCUCAUAGUUUCUAAACACACGAGCUGAUCUGAAGACCCUUUUGAAAAUGGAGAAGGCGGCCAUACUGAUACCCUACUGUUUCAGAGUGAGGAGAUUGUUAAUCCCCCGUUUGGGAACUCUUCUAUUAAAUAAGAUUUUGGAACCCUUUCAAGUAGUGCAGCAUACCCAUUGCCAGUAACAUUGUGACAAAACACAACAAGGUUAAUACUUUGCAGUUUGCCGUUCGUCUUGGAACUUAGACUCAAAACAUUCAACUCCUUUUAACUCGUUUCUUGUUGAUACAACGUAUAGGUGCCUCUGAUAAGAAAAAGAAACAAAAAGACGUGUAUACCGAGAACCUGUAUCUUCUAUAUAUAAACUUACUAGUGCAAUAUCCGAACGAACAGAAACCUAUUUAGUAUCCUCAUCAGAAUUCUCUACUCGAAUCCAACUCAAGCAGGAUGGACUAAUUUCUGGGAGAGAAGAGCCUGCAGGGAUCCAGCCUCAGCUACAGGCGGACUGCAAGUAAAGUUUUGGCAGACAAGAGCAACCACUUUGUCUGCGGCAAAAUGACUCUUUGCCAUCAGAGCGAUGUUGCUGUUUUUGUCUUCCCAGAAUUGCAUCUCUUCUGAAUUUGUUGGAUCUAUGUGAAUAACCUGUCAUUGGUUGCACAACAAAGUGGUGUUUACUAAAGAAGAUCAUAAGAUAUUCCAGAAAAACUGCAGCGUUACAACUUGCAUAAGUUCACUACUCACUGUUUUGUUGGUAUCAUAUGACGCAUGAGCUGCAGCCAGCAUGGUCUCAAACUCAUCACUUCUCUGGCCAACCAAGACAACUUGCUUCCGAGAAGGGGCAGUGAGCAUGUCAGAGGCACAACACAUUAAGGGUACUGCCAUGGCCAUGUCCUUUAAUCUCUUCUCAAAGACCGCCUGUCAACAGAACAGAAAAUGAAAGGCUCAAUAGAGAUAUAUUCCUGGAUAGUGAAUUUGUAAGAUCAGAAUUUUGGUUUACGAACCAGAACAUGUUCAGCUUCCUGUCUGUAAUGCUCAGACUUGUUGCCAGAUAGUAAGGAUGCCAGUCUCACAAGGUUGAUCACAGAAACCGAGUUUCCGGAGGGCUCUGCCCCGUCAUGAUCUUCCUUCACACGAAGGAGAACAUUGGGGUCAUCACCUGGGGUAUUGAAAUAGCCGCCUCCCUCUUUAUCAAGAAAUAUUUCAUCCUGGAAAAUAUGUCAAACAAACUCGCAUCAAGUCUAGGGAAGAAGGUGAAAACUACAAGACUUAGAGAUGGCGGAUAAUAUUUCUUGCCUGCAUUUCUUGCAGUUCAAUUGCCCAAACUAGCCAGCUGGUUUGACCACCAAAUUCAUAAAGAUCCAAUAAUCCUGAAAUAAGAAAAGCGUAAUCAUCUAAAAAUCCAGGUGCUUUAGAUGGGCCGUUCCUGAAGCUGCGUUGCAGUCUAUGAGAAUGCUCAUUGUAAAGGUGUCGCCUGAUAAAAGAUGCUGCCUUUUCUGCAACUUCAACGUACUCCCGUGGCUGACAUAUUUGUGAUGUAACACAUCAGAACAAUCAGUGAAGUAAAAAGAUGUCCACCGAUGUGACUAUCAUGGUUAACCUUACAGGCCCCCUGCCCUACGAACUGAUAAUUAUUACAUUACAUCUAAAAUGGAAAACAUUAAUUAUUAAGAAAAUGUUUUACUAAAAGAGAUUACGCCGUGAAUGUAACACUCAAAACUUCAAAACUAGUACACAAGUCCAAUUUCCCAUAAAUGAAAACGAAUUCAACACUAGGCAUUUUCCAAAACCACCAAACCUUCUUUUCCACGUAUAUUAACAACUCGUAUGACUACUAAUAAAGUGAAAGUCAGUGAAGGCUUACAUCGCAACCAACAACAGGGAAGUUAAAUUUGAUCUCCUUGGGUUCAUUCUUCAGAAUUUUAGAAGCUCUUGCAAAGGCUGAGAUGGCCAGUCCAUUCCAUGCUACAAUUACCUGGCAAAAUCUGAUUUAUCAAUUUCUGGGUGACAGAUAAAAAGAAAAGGAUAACAGAAUGAGGUGAAUCCUACGAAAAUUUGAAUUGAGAGAGUAACACCUUGUCAUCCAAAUGUGGUCUCGGUCGACUACAUCUUAUUUCAAACAGCUUUUGCCUGCUCCGACCCAGAAUAUCGAGGUAUUUCUCAACCGCCAUAGAAAAUUUUGAUGCCUCAGAUUCACUUUUUCUCUCAAUGAGCACAUUCUUACCCUUAAAUUCAUUAUGAGGAUCACUCAUUCUAGAGAGGUCACAGUUACCUGAAGGCUUUAUGUAAUAGUGGUUCUUAAAAAGUGUUGCAUCUUCCCCAAUUAUAUCUUCAACCUAAAUAGAAUCAGACACUUAAUAACAGAAAGAGAAAAAUAACACAGUAGACUAAAUAUCACUAGUGACAGAUAAAAUUCACACCAUUGAAGUAACUCUAAUGCAGACACACAGCCAAAAUUAGGGAAAUGCUAAAGUCGAUGGAGAAACCUCUUUGCUAGACCAAACAUAGAAUGCUCCUUCCUUUUUCCUAGUAGCACCUUCAGAUUCAGCACUAUCAGCAUCUUCAGCUGAAUAUAUUUCGCCUUCUAGUCCAAUCAUAUCUCUCCUCAGAUAAUCAAGAACAUCCCGAGCAAUAGAUGCAUAGAAUACAUCUUUGGUGAUAGAAAAUGCAUCUAGGAAGACAUUAACAAGUUGGCCUUGAUCAUACAACAUCUUCUCAAAGUGUGGUACUGCAACAUAACACAAUAAUCUGUUACAAAUAUGAACCAGAGAAAAGAGAUACUGGGCAUGGUGACCAUGAAACAAAUGCAUUCGAUUAAAUAAACAGGUCACUCUGCAAUCAUGCCUGUCAAGUAGAGAUUUGAUGGAAGUAAAAUUCUAUAAAAAGAACUAACCAUGCCAGCACUCAUCCACACUAUAUCGGUGGAAGCCACCUCCUACGUGAUCGUGAAUUCCCCCUCUUGCCAUACAUUGUAAGGUGAAGAGAACCUGUCUCACAACUUCAUCGGCAUUGGCAGGACUUCCAGUCUCCUCCAACUUCUUUGAAUAAUAAAGCAUCAGCUGAAUCUCAACCGGUCUAGGAAACUUUGGGGCUGAUCCAAACCCACCAAACUUCGAAUCAUAACUUUGAGAAAGCUUUAAGAAGAUCAAAUAAAUGCAAAUGCAUUAGAGCUGACUUCUUGUGCAGCAAGAGAAACAAUAAUACACGACUCAUGUUUUUCACCACAAAGUUGAAUAUACGACUCAUGUUUUCCACCAAAUAGUUUCAUUACGAGCUCCCUCUUCUUUGAAGCUUAAUGAAACAUCAGUGACUAUUUGCCCAAAACAAAAAAAAAAGGUGACCAACAUGUUUCCCAAAAUGCCCUUAUUAAAAAGUGAAGAACAGAAAGAAAGUUAUUAGGUAUGCAGCAGGUCUUUGACUUGCAACACCAAAAGCUCAUAAGUAACAGUAUGGUUCAUGGCUCGUCGCAAACAGAUAAGAAAAUUCUCAAAUAAGGCUACAUACUUGCUCAGCACAUAGACGCAAAGCAUUCUUUGGAACCCCAUCUGACAAUUUUUUAGAACUUGCACUCGUUGACAAGGCUUCUGACAACUGUUCAAUAGCAAAGGCUCCACUCUUAACAAGCGCAUCCCUCUUGGUCUCCCAGGCUUCUUUCACCUUUCUGAAGCAAAAGGUGCAGAUACAGGUAAUGCUUAGAAUCUAAUCAACAUUGAACUGUGCUGAAACUUUCAAGUGUUUGUGCCAAUCAAGAUAACCAUGGAAGGGAAGGGGUGGUAGGGAGGGGGCAGAAUUGUAAGUUAAUUGUUCAAAGACUGAACGCCUUCUCACCCAAGUAUUGUCUUAAAUCCUAGUCUUCCAUACUUGUCCUCUGGGGGAAAGUAAGUUCCACCCAUCAAAGGUUUUAAAUCUGGGGAAAGGAAUGCAGUCAGUGGCCAGCCUCCACCACCAUACAGAGCCUGUACAUAUGUCAUGUAUACCUGGAAGAAUAAAAAUGGUCUCAGCACAUCAUGCUGCUCAUAUAACAGAUGCGAAGUUGUUACUAUUUUUCUGAAAAGGGUUCUUCUCGAACAACUAGAAAUCAUUUGUGCCAGAACAAAAAGUUGCUGUGAUGAAACAAUUUUUAUUUUUUUUCAUAUGGCAGGCAUAUUAGAGCUUCUAUGGUUUUACAUAAAAUGAAGUUGAACCAGACCGUUAAUCACCAGUAAGUAUAUGUAAACUUUUAAGCACAUUACUAACUAAGCCUCAUGCUCAUGACUAUAAUCACCUUUCAUAUUGUCUCCUAAUCUUUUGGAAAUACAAAAUGCUCCUGAGAAUCUUUAAUAUCAUUAAAGAUAACAUAACAAUUAGAAAUUCAAAGACUUUUAAAAAAGAAUUCCCAAUCAUAUGUUAGGAGCUCCGGAAGGCCUACUAGUAACUUCUGGUAUUAAUGAUGGUAAUUUUCUAAGUUUAUAAUCAUGAAUCAUUCACCUUAUCCACAUCUGGUCUUUCCUCCCGGUCCACCUGCGGUAAUAGUAUGUUAGAAAAAAGGACUACAGAAUCUCACAUAAUAACUGUGAUACUGGGUAACUUGAAAAUGAGGUAAAUGAAAUAAGCAACAGAAUCAUAAUUUGACUCACCUUAAUACUAACAAACCACUCAUUCAGCAACUUGGCAAUGCCUUCAUCCUCAAAAGACUCGACCUCCAUAACAUGACACCUAAAUGACAGUUCCACACACCAAACAAAUCAGUUCCAGUUCAUUUUCCAACUUCGAAAUCCAAUACAAGUAUAAUCAACUCAAAAUUCAAAUAAGAACCCUCACCAAUGGCAUGUGCUGUACCCGACUUCACAUGUAAAAAGCAGCACACUUUGAAUGAGUAAUCAUCUAUCAAAUGCAUCACAUAAAAAAUGUCUACUUGUUCAACGCAAGAAUUAUAUAACAAUUUUUACUUGAUAAGAAAAUGGGCACAUCUCUCUUUCGAGCUUCAGCGAAAGCCUCUUCACCCCAUGGAUACCAAUCAACCUUGUAACACAAUCAAAAUCCCAUCUUUAACAUUAAAGUAAACAACUUUCAACUCAAUCAUGCCAAAAACAUAAAAACUGAGAAAAAUCAGAGAUACCGGGUUGUGGGCGUGUUGAAGGAGAUAAGGACUGUGCUCGGCAGCGAGGCGAUUGGUGUGUUUGUGGGAAGUUGGGUUCGAAGUAUGUUGGUCAGCCAUGGCAAGAACCUUGGAAGCGAAGAAGGGUCGAUGAGAAAUGAAAGAGUGAGGAAGUGGGUGUGGUUUUCUGGGUGAGGAGAGUAGUUUUGUUGGGUUUGAAGAGAGGAAGCGGUGAGUAAGCCUUUUGAGCAUAGAAUGAUGGAGAAGCAGAGAAGGGUGAGGAGGAGGAGAAGAGGAGGAGGUUGGUGAAAGUAUAGAAGAAAUUGGAAGGGGGGUAGUUGGUGGUGCUGCCAUGUGUAGGGAAGGGGUGAAGAGGAGAGGUGAAGAGUGCCAUGUGGAAGCUGAGCUUGUUUGACAGUUGGAGUGGACCUGACUGGUGUAUAGUGUUAACUAACAGGUGGCCCAGCCUUGAGCAUACAUCCAUGUUUCACAGGAUAGGGGGUAUCUAUGAGUAACGAGACAAGGUACAAACUUUUAUGGAAAUUACUCCUCCACGAUACGGUGUACAUGUGUGCAUGUUUACCAACAAGUAACAAAGAUCCUGAAAAAGGGAAAAAGUUUAAACUGUAUCUGACUUUUUAACGAAGUAAAACUUUGGUAUCUCAUUUUUUAAAAAUUUUAAAACGGUAUCCCACCUUUCGACCCCGAUAUAAGAUCGGUAUCUGGGGCUAACGGGGGAUGUUGGCUCCAUUACAGAGCUUGGCAGGUGGCAUCUUUUGCAGGGUAUUUUAGUCUGUUCAGUCUCUCCUGCCAAUUUAUACCAUAGUUGGCGCCAUGAACUUUUAAUGGGGUAGAUCGGUUUGAAUCUGUUCUUAACAGGCGACAAUGCAGCUACUCCGCGCAUAUUAGCUCUAUUUUGUCUGCUCCUUCACAAUGCAGAAGUUGAAACUAACAAAGCAAACAAUUCCUGGAGCAAAAUGAAAUCAACAACCAUCAAGUAUUUCAUAUUGCAGCAAAGCAUGUCGAGUUCCUCACCUAGUAAUACUUUAGAAGCAAGUAGAAGCACAAAACAAUAGUAAUAGUUCCUCACUCUUCUUACACUUCUUUAAUUUCUUCACCAUCUCCAAAUCCCACGAAUUACUCUUCAUCAAACCAAACCAGCAACUCACAAAUCUACGAAUCAAGAGAUAAAACUUGUCUAACCUCAACGCGUCGAUGCCGGACCAUUCGCGGCGCAUGGUGAGCAGAAACACCGAGAAGUACUAGACGGCGAGAGGGAGGUGGAGGUUGUGGAGGAGAGAGGAGAGGCGAUCGAUGAGCUGGGCCUGGGCGGGGGCCUUGUCGGCGUGCCACAUGCAGUAGAAGAGGCCUUUCCAGAGCUUCCUCAUGUCGUCGUCGGAGAGGUUGAGCUGGGUGGGGAGCCAGGUCUUGAGGAGAACCCUAAGGGCACGGCCGCGGCUGCCUUGGUUGCACGACGCGAGUUGCUUUAUGAGAGCUGGGCCGGAUUCCGAUGCCAUUUCGGCGUCCAUUUUGGCUGCGUGUAUUUCCUAUUGUUUUGUGCUUCUACUUGCUUCUGAAGUAUUACUAGGUGAGGAACUUGACAUGCUUUGCUGCAAUAUGAAAUACUUGAUGGUUGUUGAUUUCAUUUUGCUUCAGGAAUUGUUUGCUUUGUUAGUUUCAACUUCUACAUUGUGAAGGAGCAGACAAAAUAGAGCUAAUAUGAACGGAGUAGCUGCAUUGUUGCCUGUUAAGAACAGAUUCAAACCGAUCUACCCCAUUAAAGGGUCAUGGUGCCAACUAUGGUAUAAAUUGGCGGGAGAGACUGAACAGAUGAAAAUACCCUGCAAAAGAUGCCACCUGGCAAGCUCUGUAACGGAGCCAACAUCCCCCGUUAGCCCCAGAUACCGAUCUUAUAUCAGGGUCAAAAUGUGGGAUACCGUUUUGAAGUUUUUGAAAGGUGAGAUACCAAAGCUUUGCUUCGUUAAAAGGUCAGAUACGGUUUUGACUUUUUUCCCUCCUGAAAAAGAUAGGUAAGAAUGACAAUACAUUUAUUUGAGUGAAAUUCUAUAUAAGUUUGAGUCUUAAUAUUGACAAGUUUCUUAUUAGUAGGUUUACUGAGUAAUCGGGAUCUACGGGACUUAUAUAAUGUUGGUAAAAAUUGUUAACAUCUAAAUCUAAAGAGUUCGGGUUAUCAAUAGUUCAAGUCAUCAUAAGGUCUGACUGUUGAAUGUCUACAGACAAUAAGGUGAAAAACCUUGAGCCAACAAGAUAUAUAUAUAUAUAUAUAUACACACACACAAUGUUGAUCAGGUGCGGACGUCCGCACUAAAGUUUUGUUGCGGAUUUCUAUUUUUGCACCACUUCCUGAUCGAAUUUCCUCAAACUUCUUUCUAGACAUAUCUAGAUCAUCUUGUGUAGAUCAUCUCUGCAAAAUUUCAACCAAUUUGGUGAUCGUUAAGGCCCUCAAACUCGAAAACAAAUGGACUGACUGAAUUCUGUCCGGUUGUGUUCAUACCAGAAAAACUCGAGUUUGAGGGCCUUAACGAUCACCAAAUUGGCUGAAAUUUUGCAGAGAUGAUCUACACAAGAUGAUCUAGAUAUGUCUAGAAGGAAGUUUGAGGAAAUUCGAUCGGAAAGUGGUGCAAAAAUGGAAAUCUGCACCAAAAACUUUAGUGCGGACGUCCGCACCUGAUCAACAUUGUGUGUGUGUGUGUAUAUAUAUAUAUAUAUAUAUAUUACCUCUCUCAUGUGAACCAAGAUGUUAGUUGGGUUACUGACACACGGUUCAUAAUGUUUUUGAGUUCGUCGGCAGCCUCCCCUUAAUCCAAUUUCCUUUCAUAUAAAAAGAGGGUUCACCUUUCAGAUUGAUAUAGUACAAAAAUAAAGAAAAAUUUAAUUGUAAAAAUUAUGAAAAUGUCAUUUUUGAAAAGUUAUAAAAAGGUUAUUAAAUGUCGACUAUGUUCUCUGUAAUAUAUAAAUUGAUACACUACCACAGUGCCAUCCUCCCUAGUCCCGAACUAGUCUAGACCUAUUCCCUCUCUUGUUUCUAAGCUCUUACAACAUGGAACACUUUUAGAAGCUUUGUUCGUGAAUUCAGCUAACCACUAGCUGAUUCAACCUUGAACGCUUCUUGGGUUGGUUGCACUACACAUCCCUCAUGGUAUGCAACAUGAUAUGAGUUGAUGAAAUAAGUUUUGAGUUCAAGCUCUAAGGUUUACAGUCACGAAGAAGACUUAGAGCAGCAUGAACAAUGCAAGAUAGAACUAGACUCAACAAAGAAAACGCAAUAAGGCAGUUUUCAACAACCAUUGAGCAAAGCCAAUGCUAUAGAUAUAUAUAUAGGCAGACAAGGCAUCAAAGAUGAUGCAAGCUAACCUCUACAUGUUUCAGAAAGGUUUGGACAAAAGUGUUUGGUUCCCCAUACUGAAAGUGAUGUAACCAAAUGGAGAGUUGACACAAGCAACCUCAAUAAGACAAAGAUACCUUUCUAAAACAUGAACGAUUCCAAACAGGGAGCAAGAGGUUUGAAACCCUCUUACUCAGUCCAUCAGUGGACCUUGACACAGCCGAUAGCGACUGGUCUUUGAAUCACACAGAGACCAGCUUUGUAUUGGAUAAUGUAUCAUAAAAUCCAAGCUGGAGCCUUGAGCAUCAAACCAUUUGGUCACGGGUUGGCAUAACAAAAGAUCUCAACCCUUAGACUGGUUUGAGCGCCAAAGCACUUCUCACAAACUCAGUUGUCCAUUUGAAUUUGAAAGACUUAUUAAACUAAUAUAACAGACUUUGAAACUCAGGACAGCAGAAGACUCAAUACUAGGAUAGCAAGCGAGGCUGCUAACCUCUGUGAAAAACAAUGAUAUGCAGAUGCAUGUUUUACCUGAAACCAUAAGGGAUAUUAGUGCCACUUGUUCUUGAUCAGACAACAGCAUCUUAAGGUGUUUUACAGGAUAAAAAGGAUUGCCAACUAUCCUUAUACCUUCAGAAAUGAUUGUUUUCAACUCAGUCAACAUGUUACCGAUCAAAGUAAGAUUCUGACAACUAAAACCUGGUUUUAAUUAGCACUUACAAUUUUGCUCUUAGCAACUGAAAAGCACGAUGCUUGUUCUGAAGUUGAGACCUCUCUUCGAUCACUACAGAAGAUGCGGAUGCCAGUUGGCUUAUGGACAAGAUCAACAGCUGUCUCCACCUUGUUGACAUUCUGCCCUGCAUGACAAUGUUGCAUAUAUAUAAAGUUGUGGCAUACAAGGAAGUCGAUACUAAAAAAACAAAAAAUAAUAAUAAAAAAUAAAAAAAACCUAUAUCGAUCCAAACUUCAUCAGAUGGUGUUUUCCUCGUCCUGUAAUUCCUUAUCUAUAUAAAUUUGGAAAUCCCUAUAAUCCCUUGUUCUAAAUUUGAAUUCCACCGGUAAAAGAAUGCAUAUGUGAUAUGUGUUCUAUAUAAAGCUAGCCCAUGGUAGAGUAACUCGUUAUUUAGGUUUCGCAGCAUAUAUAGCAUCUGAUCUACCCUCGGAAGGAGAAUCUGCACCUUAAUAAUAAUGACAUAUUUACCUUCAACAAUGGCUACUCCGGACCGCCCCAACGAACCCCCGACCACCCUCGGACAGAGAAUCUGCACCUCAAUUUGCCUCUUUAUUCUAUUAACAGUCGUUUUUGGAUUGAUUGGUUGGCUAAUCUAUACGGGGAACAUAAAGCCUUCAUCCAUACAUUUCGAGGUCGAAUCCGCCACCGUCUCACAACUCAUCACAGAAGGCAGCUCCUUGAGCGCCACGUGGGACAUUACUCUCCUCGUCGGUAACCCUAACCGCAAAUACAAAAUGUGCUUCGACCACGUCCAGGCAGGGGUUCGCUACCACUACGUCGGUGACAUCGUAAUCGAGCUAGGGAGUACGCCUACAUUGCCAAUUCACUUUGCUUUGAAACGGAUGAACCAAACACACGUACCUCUUGGUUUAAAGAUAGGAGUGGAGAGGCUGUGGAUCGGCGAUGCCGUGGCACAACAAAUCUCCAACGACAGGUCUCGCGGGUCGGUGACGUUUGCUGUUACAGUGGACGCUGUUGUGAGGUUUAAGGCUGUGCUAGCGCCUGUAGAUGAGUAUCGGCUUAGGUUUACCUGCGAUCAGGUAGCUUUUGCGUUUUCCGGGAAUAAUGGUACCGGCAUAAUGACGAGUCAGCUUUCGUGCUCAGUGUUGAACACAGAAUCUAACACAGAAUCUGAAUCUUGGGGUUUUAUUUUCUGAUGAUACAAAUAUAGAGGGCCGGAUAAUAACUUUGUUUAUGAAUGUUGGCCAUUAGUUUCGUAAGUUUUUUUUUUUUUUUUUUGUAAUUAUUGGUUAGCUAAUAGGUUUGGUAACAGAUUGGCUCGUGUUGUUAUAAUAGGUUUGUUUAUUAAUGAUAUGAGUAAACCUUCUUCCAAAAAAAAAAACCAAGAAAUCCCAUUAGUAGCUACAAUAUUGCUCUUUUCUUAACCAAUCACUCCAGUAUUGUCAAGCUAUUGGAUUGUUGUUUGGAGACUGAUGUCCCCAUACGGGUUUAAGAGUUAAUCACAAAUGUGACUCUUUCAACCCAUCUUCACCCGUCCUCAAGCAGACAGUCGUGAAAAAUCUGCCUUAAAAUUGCCAAGGAAGUUGCGGCUGCACUUGCAUACUUGCAUUCCAAGACUUCUAUGAGUUCUAUAUCCCUAUCAUACAUAAGGCCUAAGAAUAAAUUCAGGGUUUUGAUCCAACUAGUCAGAAUGGGAUUCAAUAUUACAUAUCCAAAUGGGAUAUGAGCUCAGCUAUUCUUCAAAAUAAAUAAAAAAUAGAGAAAGAAAAAGAAAAAAUUGAAACCGUUUUCUCCAUAGCACAUUUUCCGGAACAACAGUGUGUGAAUCUUACAACAAUAUAGGCUUCAGAUAGUUUGCUAUAGGGCUGGGCACGGGACGGGAAUGCGUUUUUAAAAAUCUGUCCCGUAUGUCCCGAUUCCGACAAUAAUUUUUUCAAGAACAAAUUAAUUGAUAUCAAACACCAUCACAGGUGGAAAAACGGGUUGAGAAACUCCAAACAUUCAAAUGCUCCACCAAAAUUGAUCAGUGUUUGAAAUUUUCGACAUUUUUAUGCUGUUUGGAACAACAUUAAUGAAAUUAAUGGAAAAAAAAAUCCAAAAACACAUAAACAAAAAAAAGAACAUUGAUGAAAUUAAAAGUACUAAAAUCAACAAGAACAUAGGUGCAUAGGUGCUAAAUUACAUCCCACUUUAAAAAUACUAAACAUCCCACAUUAAAAAUUAACCCUCAAACAACAACUAAAAAUAUCCAAAAUCACAAAAAAAAAAAAGAACAUGAAUGAAAUUAAAAGUAUUAUUUUAGACCAAAUUAAGUGUGGUUGAGUUCAUUGUAACAUCAUGCAACCUCAAAAAUCAAGUAUAAAAUAAAUAAAAUCAUGUAUUCUAAUAUUAUGGGACAGGACGGGAUUUUUCGGGAUAGUACCGUCCCGUCCCGUCCUGUUAUGGUAAUGUUAAAACAGGACGAGAUUGCUAUUUUCAAAACCUAUCCCGUCCCGUCUCGCUAACUUUCGGGACGGGACCGGUACGGGAUCGGGAUUCCGGUACUAAUUGCCCAGCCCUAGUUUGCUAUUACCCAGCUGGAGCUCCUGCAGAUUCAGCAAGUUCUUCCAGGAGUUCCUUUUGCUCCAAGGAUGUAACUGCUUGCAAAAAAGCAGGAAAAUCAAUUGCAGCGUAAUUUCUAACUUAAAAUUUCAUGCACCUCUAUCCUUCUACAUGUAGUAUGCAACUAUCGAUGAAGAAAAUGGACAAGUCUUAAGCAGCCAGUCAAAUUCAUUUAUUUACCAACACUGUACUGUCAAUUAAUAAGCCAUUCUAUUGAUACAAAUGUUCUCACACUACGUCCUUUUUGGCUUCAGACGACAGAAGACGUUUAGUCUGUCGUCCCGAAUAUUGUAACGACAGACAUUUAAAAGAGUGUCGUCUGAAAAUAGCAACUCAAUAGUAGUUAAAAUUAACGUGUUUUUGAGACGACAUACGUUUGUCGUUCAAAAAACAAGGAAAAAUGUACCCUAAUGUUACACUUAUAAGACGACAGAAAACUGUCGUAUGGUGAAGAAACUUAAAUGUGUCUGAAGCUGUUUUUUUUUUUGGUCAUAAUUGGAGGAGUUUUUUUGACACUUAAAACCAACUCUCAUUCUCUCAACUCCCCCGAUACUUUUCUUUACUUUUCUCAACUCUCUUUUCUCUCUCUCAGUGUUCCUCACCCACAUAACCAAAAUCUCUCUUCCUCCUCCCUAAAAACCAAAUUCUCUCCUCUUCACAUUCUCAAAUUGAUCGAAUCCUCUCCUCUAUCUAAUACCCUAAAACUAAUUUCUCUCAUCUAGAUCUGGAGACCCAGAUCUACCCCAAUUUCAACCUCCCAAACCCUAAAUCUCCAAACCCUCGCAAACCAUAUUCACCGUUAAGGCCACCACCCGGAAGAGGCGCGCGGCCAAGCCCGACCAAGCCAAGUCGGCCAACGUCAAUCUCAAUCUCGACCUUUCCAGGUUUUUUUCUCCGCCGUAACGACAGCGCUGUGGUGAGAGGAGAGUCCAGGAUGGACGGGGUAGAGGAGGACCUUGGUGACGAUCUCGUUGGUGGUGGGAUCGGCGAGGAAGUCGACAGUGGCGAUGCGGUAGAGAAUGAGGGGCUUAGAGAGAACACGAGGGGAGAGAAGAAGCGGAGUUGGUGGAGUGUUCGAGGUGGCCUUGGGGGAAGUAGCAAACCCUAGUAUGGAGGGUGGGGAUGGUGACGGAGUUGCCGGCGCAGGCUCGCCAGAUUUUGGGGUCGAUGGAGACGAGCUGCAGGGGAGGCGGCGGCACGUGGGAGUGAGAGAGACACUGAGAAUUGGAAGACAUGGUGAUUGGGAUUUAGAGAUUGGAGGAAGAAGAGGAAUGAAAUCUCUCUCUUUCUCUCUCUUUCUUCUCCAGGUUUUGCUAGGUUUCCAAUGGCCACCAUUCCAGGACAGUUGAUCUGGGAGAUCACCAAGAAGGAGGAACAAGCCUGCGAGCUUGGUUCACAAGUCUGUGAUGAGGAAGGAAUUCCCUCGCAUGGCCAAGGCUGUUACUAAUCAGGUACCAACAUGCUCGAUUUACAAUUCGUUGUUUUGUUGAUGCAUAUGUGUUUUGUGGAAUGUUAUGAAUGAGGAUAGGUCGACUUGAGUUUUGUGGAAUUCAUCUUCCACCACGACUGUUGGUUUCUCCAUCUAUAUCAUUGGCUAUGUAACCCAGACAAGACUCCAAAGGUCAAGAUUCUUAAACUCUUUGUUAUGAGUUUGUUUCUAGUAACAUAAUCUAUAUUUUAUGUAAACACAUUAAUUAAUUUUCAUUAUCCAAAGUUCCAAACCAUUACGUAUACAUUUCUCUGAUUCCCUAACAUAUUCAUUUGAACUUUGUUAGAAUGAUAUAUAUGAAUGGCUAGCGGCUACGUACAUUCUUCCUCCGGUUCGCAUUGGCUAUCUACUUCGGUAAUAUCAUCCCAAAUGUAUCUGGUGUGAGGAAGUCAGUGUUCUACUUUUUAAAGCCAGGAUACUGGAUAGGGAAAAGUGGAAACAAAGUGGAAGGUAAAAAUACUGAAAUUCAGUAUCUGCUCAACUUUCCUUUCUAAGUUGUACUUAUGAGUUGUACUUAUGAGUUGUGACUUGAUACUUUUGUGUUCCUCUAGCUCUCUUUGGGUAGAGGGUGGUGUUUGUAGUUAGAUAGGUUCAAUUCCACCACCUGAGCAUACUGGUCCUGAUGAUGAAGAUGUCCUGGAAGAGGAGAACAUUGUCAAGGAGCAAGCUAAGGAAGGCACAGUUGGUCUAAACCUUGCAGUUUAAAUACGCGUUCUUGUAAAAACAUAUCCUAGCAAAAAACACAGUCGUUGUUGUUCCAAGAGCAAGAGGACUCCACCAUACCAUGCUCUUAAGGUACAUAACCUAUUUUGACUCGUUAAGAGAAUGUGGAUCUUAUUAUGAACCUGUUGUUCGUGUGGAGCAAAAUCUGGUGAAAUAGUCUAUUUAGAUUAUUCAUUCGAUGCAUCUUUGUCUAGCAUUUUGUACCUAGACUAUGAGAUCCUCUAGCAGAAUAUUAUGUCUUCAUCAAAUAGAUGCUCAGGCAUAUAUACCUCUUUGCUAAUUUUUAGGUGGAUAGGUCGACUGGAGUUUAGUUAUUUGUUCUUCUUUGGACUUGCUUUGUUGGCCAUAAUGCUUGUCGGUCUUAAUGACUUUAUGCAAGUAUAUGCAGUGCCAUAUAGUGAGAUGCCUCUUCUUUUUGACCUCUGUUAGUUGCUCUCUGCAUAUAAUAUGACCUGGACUAGAAAAUUGAGGUAUUUCUUAAUCGUGGUAUACUGGUAUUUCUCUGCAUAUAAUAUAACCUAGAUGCCUAGUGUAAUUUUAUGAUUGCUGCUAUUAUCAUCGACCUCAACUCCAUUGGUUUAUUUGGGUGAGUUUAUUUUACUGCUAUUGCCUUUAUGAUCAUCAUUUAAUUUAACUGUAUUUAACUUUGGUUCUUAUAUUCACUGUCAUAGAAGUACAUAGGUCUCAUCAAGUUAAGAUCCAGCAUUGGAUAUUGUAGGUACUGUAUCAUAAAUAUUCUUUGCAUGAAUGCAUCAUAAUGUUCAGAUCUUACUUAACUUCUUAUUGCUAACAUUUAAUUGUUUAUUGACAUAUACUCAUAUUAAGUUAAGAUCCAGCAUUGGAUAUUGUAGGUACUGUAUCAUAAAUAUUCUUUGCAUGAAUGCAUCAUAAAUGUUCAGAUCUUACUUACUUCUUAUUGCUGAAAUUUAAUUAUUUAUUGACAUAUACUCAUAUUGAUUCACUAAAGUUCUUUGUCUUCAAUGUUGCAGGUGACACUUGAAUGAAUGGUGCAUAUUGAAGUUUGAUGAGUAUGAUGAAAGUAUCAGAGUGCCUUAGUGCAGUUAGGACUUAGGAGGACUUUCUGCACACCACCAUAUUGUAGUUGCUAUUAUUUGGUUUGAUAUAUUUUUUAUUUUAUAGUUUAUGGGUCCCUUUAGAACAAAUAACUCUUUGUAAUUUGAUUGGUUUUGGCAAUGAGAAUGAAUUUGAGAUUUCUGAAUCAUGUUGUGCAAAUGCUUUAUUAAAUUGUCAUCCAAAUUAAAAUCAGACAACAGAUAUCCCCAUGGACAUCGACGUCUCUACAUAUUUCAAAUGACAUUUAUAUGUCGUCUUAAAGUAAAAGAUGACCAUAGUGUAUGUCGUCUGAGGUAAGUAUCAGACGACUAUUAAGUGACGUUUGAAUGCAUUUGAGUCGAGAGAAGAGGUUUGACGUAUGUCGUCUGAGAUAUAUUUAGACGACAAAAUAGUAACAUGUGAAUAAGUUUGAGACGAGAGACGGCUGCUCACAUCUUUAGUAUUACUUUAGUUUCGACGAUACUUUUAUGUCGUUAAGAAGCUUUCUAACGACAGAAACUUUAAUUUUGUUACGAAUGUAGGUGCAUACAGACGACAGUUGCUUAUAUACAAUCUGUCGUCGAAGUGGUAUCAAACGUCUAACGAGGUCUGUCGACUGAAUGCUUAUCAAAUGACUGCUUGAUAGACGACAGCCGAAAAAACAUUCAGACGACCAACCUGGCAGGUCGUCUGAAGCCAAAAUUGACGUAGUGUCAUUCUAUACCCUCUUCACAAAAAACCAUAUAUGUGAUGCAAAUGUUCACACCAAGGUAUUAGUCAUAUGCAUCUUAAAUAGUUUCUAAGCUAAACGAGUAACAGAUACCUGUGAUUUCCGUUGAUUCUGAAUCAGUUCCUGCUGCUCUCUCUCAGUUUUAUCUUAUAUGAUCUGUAAAUGAUCAUUUAUCAUCAGAACUGCACCACAGAAAAGGCGGGUGGAAAGUGGAAACAAGACAUAUAUGUCUGAAAGAAAUGAUUGUUUCCAACUCAGUCAACAUGCAUGUUACCAAUCAGAGUAAGAAUCUGAGGACACAUAAAACAUAUGGUUUUAAUCAGCACUUACAAUUUUUGUAUUGGCUAAGCAUGCAUUGAUGCAUAUAAUUCGCUUUUAGUUUAGGGGUACCAUAAUCAAAAUUUGUAACUUAUCAAUGUCUUACUACUGAUGGAGAGCAGGUAUGAGCAUCAUGGUGCUCCUUGUAGUAGGUUUUAGGAUUUCCAGGGCAUUAUUGAACAGAAAUUAAACUAGUCCAACCGAUCAAAAGAGAGUUCUUUAAACAGAAGGGGUAGAGGAAUGAUUUUAAAUAAUUUUACUUACGGGGCGAGGAGAUGACAGACCUACGUACGUACUUUGAACAAAUCCAACUUGAAUCCUACCAACCAAGCUAGAAAACUUGUUCAUAUACGUUCUGGAUUAUGUUUUUGAUAUCCAAACUUCAUCAGAGCUAGGUUGCAUUUCCUCAGCGUAGUAUAAUUCCUUAUCUCUUCUAAAUUAGAAUUCCACUGUAAAAAAAUUUCACACUCACUCCGGAACAAUGCAUAUGUGUACGUUCUAUAUAAAACUGGCCCAUGCAUGGUAAAGUAACUACGUUAUUUAGUUUUCGCAGCAUAGUAUCUGAUUCAUCUAGCAUAUAUACCUUCAAUAAUGGCUAUUCCGGUCAGAUCGGCCGCCAUCCCAUCCGCGCCUCCCUUUCCCCAUCCAUCCCUACCGGACCGCCCGUGCACCACCUUCUGCUACUUAAUACGAUGCCUAGUAAUAACCCUAGUUGUAGUUGGAGCCGGCGGUUGGCUAAUUUAUUUAUGGAACUGCCACCGUCUCCCAACUCAACACAGAAGGCAGCACCAUCAGCGCCACGUGGGACAUUACUCUCGUCGCCGUUAACCCUAACCGCAAAUUCAAAACCUCCUUCGACCUCGUCCAUGCAGGGGUCGGCUACUACUACGGUAACACCGUUAUCGAGCUAGUGAGUACGCCUAGGUUUCGAAGACACUUUGCUUUGAAAGAGAUGAACCAAACACGUUUCGAUUUCAAGAUAGGAGUGGAGAGGCUGAUGAUCGGCGAUGCCGUGGCACAAAAAAUCUCUUACGAUAGGUCUCGAGGGUCGGUGAGGUUUGCUGUUACAAUGGACAUUUUACGGGUGAAGUUUAAGGCUACGCUAGCGCCUACACUAGAAGAUCAGCAUCGGGUUGGGGUCACCUGUGAUCAGGUAGCUUUUGAGUUUUCCGGGAAUAAUGGUACCGGCGUACAGACGAGUCAGUCUUCGUGCUCUGUUUAUUUUGAUUGACAAUUAGUAUAGGUAUGGUAUGUGCUCGAUCAUUGGUUUGAACCAAUUUUCUUAGUUUUGUUUGAUUUUUUAAAGGUAGGAUGCGUCUAUUGCCACCCCACAAACCAUUUUACUCACCUCACAUUCUUUUCACAUCUCACUCAUAUAAUUUUAAUUACAAGUCUAUUUUGUUCACCCAUUAACAAUACCUAAAAUACCCUUUUAUCAAUUCUACUUUGUUCAUCCUAGCUACAUUAUCUUCUCACCCUACAUAUAUUUUGAUAUAUUUUAUCAAAUUCCGAUUCGCUGAAGGUAAGUAAAAUCACCAACUGAACAAAAAAAAUCACAUUAAAAUAUAAAUCCCAGUUAAAGAACAAGAAAAAACUCUCAAAUUUAAUAACUCAAUAAUAUCAGUCGAUAUCAUAAUGCACAAUGUCUGUAAAUGUAUCUCUAGUAGCAACGUUUUCCAUACUUUUGAGUUCUUUAACUGAUCUAUGUGUUGUUCAUAAAUAAGGUACAGUAGUUGUCCAUGGGAAUUUAGAUACAAAGUCAACAUAAGAAAUAAUGAGUAAAUUGAUAGACAAAUCACCAACAAAGAAAAAAAGAAAAAAAAGAAACACAAAUAGUUUACCUCAUCUUCAGGUUAAAUGUUGGUGUCUUCAGACUCACAACCGAUGAUAAAUUUAGGUUAAAGUUUAUGAAGUUUGUGUUCAUCUAAAACAAAAAGAUAAAAAAAAAAAAUUGUAAUUUGUAACAAUUUAUUGUCCCUUGCUGUAAUUUUACAUCAGGGUAUUUUAGUAUUUCAAUAAAUCAACAACAUGUGAGGUGAGCAAAGUGGUUUGUGAGGUGGUAAUAGACGCACCCUUUUUUAAAUUGAUGACGGGUGACAUGACAUGUCACAUAAGAUUAAAGUCAUAAAUCUUAAACCUUAUUAAGGCCCUCUAACCCAUUAAUAUAUGUUCCAUCGUUUGUUUGAACCAAGUUUCUUUUCAUGUUUGGUCCAAGACUCCAAGCACAAAUAGUCCUUGUUUAUGAUUUUUUUUAUUUUUGGCAACUUAGCAUACACAUGGUAUGUGUUGGUUUGAACCAAUUAUCUUAGUUUCGUUAGUUUUUUUUUUUAAUGAGUGGUUAGCUAAUAGGUUUGUUACACAGUUGAGCACUGUUGGCUCAUGUCGCCGUAAUAAUUAGUAUUUUAUUAAUGGUAUGAGUAGACCCUCCAAAAAAGAAAAUUGCGAUUAGUAGCUACAUUACUCUUUUCCAAAUCAAUCACUACAGUUUAAGAAUGGGACUCUUUCAAGCCAUCUUCACUCGUCCUCCAAGUAAAAUGGGACAGUCGUGAAAAAUCUGCCUUAAAAUUGCGAAGUUGCAGCAGCACUUGCAUAUACUUGCCCUCCGAGAGUUCUAUGAGUUCUAUCCUUAUCAUACAGGAGUUUGAUCCAACUAGUCUCAGUCAAUAUUCAUCUGUCUUAUAAAUUAUAAUCAUCUUGAUUUGGAUUAUGAACUAUAAUUUAGGUGCCUCAUGAGUUUGAUCUUUACAGAUAAUGGGAUUCCAAAUGGUGCCUCAGCAUUUUCUACCGGAUUAUGGUGGUAGGCGAAGCAAAUUUUAUGAUACUCCCUUGCUCCACAAUGUGGUGUAUAUAUGCUUGUUUUCUUCAUCUUUAAUGAGGAUUCUGACGAUGAUCGUCAAGAAUCGGAAGGCAUGCUUGAGUGGAACUCCACAUAAGUUCGAGCCCCAACAUGUACAUGUCCCUUUAUUAGUAGCUUGCUAAGUACUAUGAACCUGCAAUGACCCAUAUGACGUUGGUAAAACGUGUCAGAUCUAAAGAGUUUGGGUCAUCACGAGACCCGACUGUUGAUUGUAUGCGGACUUACAAUGUGAAAAAUCUCAACAAGAUAUAUUACUGCUCUUAUGUCAGUUAUGUGGAAUCGGCUUGAAUCUAGAUGUUAGAUGAUUUAUGCCUCCUCCAAAUCUAAAUAACCAAAAAAAAAAUUUUUAAAUAUGGUACAAAUUUAUAAAAAUAAAUAAAUAAAUAAAUAAAAAAUGAAUUCAAAACAUGCCAUUUCUGAAAAGUCAAAGUUGCUGAAUUUCAAACGAGUUUCCAGUACUCUAGCUAUUCACUUUUCAUUAGAUGAUUAUCAAAUUUGCCAACCAGCAAAUUUGAUGACCAACAAUGACCAUCCAAUCAAGAGAGAGAGAGAGAGAGAGAGAGAGAGAGAGAGAGAGAGAGAGAGAGAGAGAGAGAGAGAGAGANNNNNNNNNNNNNNNNNNNNGAGAGAGAGAGAUGAGUGGUUGUGAUUUGAUGGUCAUGGUGGUCAUCAAAUUUACUGGUUGGCAAAUUUGAUUCCAUUGAAAAUGUAGUCUUAUCAAUUCCCAAAAUUGAAAUUUUGUUACAGUGGUUUUGAACCCCAAGACAAUCAAAAAGCGGAAACUCAACUGUUUGCAGCGUCGAUCUAUCAAAAAAAAAAUGUUUGCAUUGUUUUUUUUUUCGAUUAAGAAAAUGUUUGCACUGUUGAACCUGAAAUUUUGUUAUGAGAUCGAGUGUACUAACUCCCUGCUUAGAUAACUAUUGCAUUAAAUCUUCAGAAGAGAAGUUGAUUCAACAACUGAGGUGAUCUAUUGCCUCAUAGAUAACUACAUAAACUAACAUCAACAAUGAGUUCGUUCAUGAUGUUUUUGUCAUUCUGUGUCAUGACCCAUGCCCAGUGUGGAAGGCAAAAAUACUCAAGUAAUAAACGUUCUUAUCAUGUCUUAUUGGGCUAGAAGUAGAACAUGCAUUUUGUAUGUAAUUUCAGUAUGUCACUCAUUUUAACGAAAUUUUCAUCUCAUAAAUAACAUAGAAACUUAGAAAGAAAGAAAAGAGAAACUAUGACUUGAUCGAGGAGAAUUGAUCGAAUAUAUACCAAUCUGUGACCGAAAAAUCUUGGUUCAUAUUGCUCGCCUUUGAAUUUCAUUAACAAAAACAAUGAAAAUGAUGAGUGACAACCCUAUAUAACUAAUACAACUGAACUAUAAACGGACAAACAUCUUAACAAAAUAUUCCAAGAACAACAGAGAGGCUAGCUAGCUAGGGGUUCUAACGAUGAAUUGAUGAAAGAAUCCCAAAGUAACAAAUUAAAAGAUGAACUUGUUCUUCCCGAGCUUCUGGAAUUUGUCGCAUCCCAGCAUAUGCGGGACCAACGAACAAGGAAUUACGGCGAUAUGUCGGAGAUCCGGAACGCGCGGUUUGAGAGGCUCAUCCUGCAUCUGCAUCUGGGUCAGACCUCCACGUCUCGCAGCGAAGUGUUGCACGCGUUCUUGAUCUCGUUUAACAAACCUUGUGAUGAGGAGGGCGUCUUGAGCGUCGUCGGUUGGGUUGGAGGAGAAGGUUGUGCUUCCAUUAGCAGUUGAUAUGAACAAGGUUGCGAAUAGAAAGCACAGAAGAAGGCAUGGUACUACUGCUUUAUUAGCCAUGGCAGAGAAGAAGAAAGUAUGUUUUUUUUUUUUCGGGGUGAUCGAAUUGUAUAUAUAGGGCUUUGGAAACUUGAGAUGCAAGAAUACUAGCUAGCUAGGUCUCCCAACUCUUAUAGGAUUAGGUUUGUAUAAGCGGCCCUACCUAGUUUUCUUUUAUAUUUGCCAACUUGAAUUCCUUUUCCCAAAUUAAAACUUGUUCGUAAACAACUUGGACUCGUAAUAAAACUGAAAGUUCACGAACUGCGUGUGUCUAGCCCUGUGACAAAAGCUUGUUUCCGGGAGGCCCCCACGAAAAUAGAUGGGUAGAAUCUGCUAUGGGGACGCCGUCCGACUACUUUUACAUCUCAAGUAAGUUAAACAUGAUCACUAUUGUUGGUUGCAAUGCAAGCACGAUGAUCAUUACCGGCACCCCUAGUAAUUUGAGCAACAACAUUGCAGAUUUGCCUCGACUAUUGAGUUGUUGUUCGGAGACUGAAGUCCAAAUGGGACUCUUUCAAGCCAUCUUCACUCGUCCUCAAGCAGACAGUCAUGAAAAAUCUGCGGUUAAAUUGCAAAGGAAGUUGCAGCAGCACUUGCAUACUUGCACUCCCAGACUUCUAUGCUCUAUCAUACAUAAUGCCUACGAAUAAAUUGAGGAGUUUGAUCCAACUAUCUCGGUCAAUAUACAUCUGUCUUAUAAUCAUCUUGGUUUGGAUUAUGAACUAUAAUUUAGGUGCCGUGCCUCAUGAGUUUGAUCUUUACAGAUAAUGGGAUUCAAAAACUACAUAUCCAAAUGGGAUCUGAGCCUCAGCUAUUCUUCCCAAAAAAAAAAAAUGAGAAAGAAAAAGAAAAGAAACGGUUUUCUCAUAACAGAUUAUCUGGAAGAACAGUGUGAAUCUUACAACAAUUAAUGUAGGCUUCAGAUGGUUUUCUAUUACCCAGCUGGAGCUCCUACAGAUUCAGCAAGUUCUUCCAGAAGCUCCUUUUGCUCCAAAGAAGUACAGGCCUGCAAAAAAGCAGGAAAAUCAAUUGCAGCGUAAAGUCUAACUUAAAAUGUCAUGAACCUCUAUCCUUCCUACAGUAUGUAUCAAUGUAGAAAAUGGAAACAUCUUACUAGAGAAAUACCUGAAUUGCGUUAUCUAUAUCACCACCAAGAAAACCGGUGAGCUCAUAGUUUAUCUUCAACCGGUGGUCAGUGACUCUAUUGUCCUGAAUCAAUAAACAAAAGAGUAAAUAACUUCCCCAAACGUAACAACAUAAUCAUGAAGAGAUUUUGUACACACUAGUCUCAUACAGGUUAGGCUAAGUUCACAAAAUUACUUGACCAGACUGACACUUGUUUAAAAACUUUAUACAAUUAUUGGGACUCUAAAUCUAAUAGUUGAAACCUUUUGAAUCAGAUAGUUUCUUAAGCAGCCAGUCAAAUCAAUUUUUUACCAACACUAUAUUGUCAAUAAGCCUAUCUUCGAGACUUCAGUGGCAGUAAACUUAAAAUUGAUGACAUGAGAAAAUAAAUCUAACUAGUUAUUAGUACCUUGAAAUUAUAUGUUCGAAUCUUUUCUGCACGAGAACCGGUCCCAACCUGCAUUUCAAGAAUACAACAUCAUUAAUGUAGUUAAUCUAGUGCCUAAAUCAUUACCUAAAUAAUGUAAUUGUAGUAUUGUUCUAUGUGUGUGUGUGUGUGUGGAGAGAGAGAGAGAGAGAGAGAGAGAGAGAGAUGGGAGGCUCUUGCCUAGAGGUCACAUUCUAUACCCUCAUCACAAAAAACAUAUAUGUGAUGCAAAUGUUCACACCAAGGUACUAGUCAUAUGCAUCUUAAAUAGUUUCUAAGCUAAACGAGUAACAGAUACCUGUGAUUUCCGUUGAUUCCUAAUCAGUUCCUGCUGCUCCCUCAGUUUUAUUUUAUACCUGAAACAUGGUCAUUGAUCAUCAAAACUGCACAAAAGAAAAGCCGGGUGGAAGCAAGACAUAUAUGUUUGAAAGAAAUGAUUGUUUUCAACUCAGUCAACAUGUUACCAAUCAAAGUAACAUUCUGAGGGCACCUAAAACAUGGAUUUAAUCAGCACUUACAAUUUUGCUCUCAGCAACUGAAAAGCACGAUGCUUGUUCUGAAGUUGAGACCUCUCUUCACUACAAAAGAUGCGGAUGCCAGUUGGCUUAUGGACAAGAUCAACAGCUGUCUCCACCUUGUUGACAUUCUGCCCUGCAUGACAAUGUUGCAUAAAGUUGUGGCAUAUAAGGAGUCCUUUCCUCUUACCAAAUUGAGGUAUGCAAAACAAUGUCAAUUCUACAAUAAACAAAUACCUCCAGCUCCCCCAGACCUUGCUGUUGUCAGUUCAAUAUCUUUUGGGUCAAUAACCACCUCAACUUCAUCCGCCUACAAUAUGGCACAGAAGAACUAUAAAUAAGGUAACAUGAAUGAUACAAUCAAGAGUAACGUAGAAUAUUAGUCACAAAAAACAAGAUUCAGAAUAUUCCGGUUGCCACAGCAAGCUUGACUUCAACAAUUUUGAGGUAAGGGGAUGAAUUUAAAACUAUAAAUAUUAUAAAGCCAUCUGGAUACAGAUUGAGGAAAGUAGAUGGUGCUACUCAAAUUCAUUAAAACAGUACAUCCAAACGGAAAUUUUGUAGCAGAUAAAGGGACAAUAUUCAACCAUAUUAGAGGGUAAACUAAUUUAUUACUAAUGGCAAUGAAAGUGGGGAAGAAUGGCAAAGAAAGUAAAAGAUAAUGCAUAUCACUGUUUUCCUCAUCAGGAAGAAUCCAAAUGAAGUACCACCUUUUCGAGAUAGUCAAUGUAAAGAACUUGGAACAUUGGUGGACCAAUGUUAGUAAUGGGUAUACAAACUUGAGCACACUUUAUUGAAUCUUUCAAAAUCCAGAUCCAAUGUAAAAUUGAGUAUUUUGUGCAAAAGAUAAGAUACCUCAGGCAUGAUGGCAACAGUUGCAGUGGAAGUAUGCACACGACCCUGUGUUUCCGUAUGAGGAACACGUUGAACCCGGUGAACACCAGACUCAUAUUUUAAUUUGCUGUAUACACGCUUUCCUUUUAUCUCCAUCACAUAGGUCUUGUAUCCUCCUCUUUCAGCCUAAAAGAAAGAAAGAAAGCUCUAUCAGUCAUGUCAAGAGCAAUAGGAUAUACCUCCUUAAAAAUGGCAGCAAAAAUACCUCUGUGCUUGAAACUGGGUUGAACUUCCAAUUGUUCCUCUCACAGUACUUCUCAUACAUACGAACCUGGGUCAGGAAAUAAAAAUAAAUAAAUAAAUAAAUGCAGAAGCAUCAAGGUAUGCUCAAAAACAACUUGAAGGAAUGACUUCAUGGACUAAAAGAAUACUUGUUUAGGCCUAUAAUGCGUGUCAUUGAAAACAAAACAUAUAAAGCGAGCUUGGUGUCGUAACAAGUUUAUCCACAUAGAUAGAUGCUGAAACAAGCUUGUCCAAAACCUAAGUUACCUAGCCCAUUGUUAUAGCUUUUCUCAUUUGGGAGAGACAAACAUUCAAGGCCAGGAAAUUUUGCAAAAUACUUGUACGAUUUUUUCCUGGUAUUCUUUUCUUUCUUUAUCACCAGUUUGGUGUUGUAUGCAAGAAAGGUAGAUUCCCUAUAGAUUUUAAAGGACAAAAAAAACAUAUACCUACAAGAUCACCUGCCCAGAUUCCAGCUUCAUCACCACCAGUACCAGCCCUUACUGUAGCAAGGAACAAUGCUAUUUUUAGUUAAAAUGAAAUUGAUGGGCAGGUACCAUCAUCGCCAGCAUAAUAAUGAAAAAAGCUGAUCUAUAUGUAGUAGGAAGAACAUGGUGAACCUAAACAGUCAUUGCAUUGUCUACCAUAUACUUGCCGUAGUUCAGACCACCCGAGUAAAGUAGAGCAGUUUACUCAGUAGAAAAUGAUACGUGGCUCACAAUUAAUCAAAUAAAACAAUUUACUCAAAAGGGAAGAUAUGAAAUUACCUUCAAGCAUUAUAUUUCUGGCAUCAAGAGGGUCUGUAGGAAGGAGUUUCGUCUGUUAAUAUAACAUGUAACAUUAUUAAAAAAAUUAAAAAAUCAUUCCAAAUAUCAGGACAAGGAACAACUGUUACUCGGAAAGAGGAGCACCAAUCUAACUGCUAAUAGCCUAAUACAAGGCUCACCAUAUCAACAAUAUUAUAUCAAAUUACACCAUAACGUACCUUAAGCUUCUCCUCAAGUUCUUUGAUUUGAUUGGACAAAGAUUCAAUUUCGUACGAAAUCAUAGCCGCCAUUUCUUCAUCAUUUCCAUCCUCAUCCGCCAAAGCUGAUACAUUGCGUCAUAAACAAGGACUUCAGCACUAAAAUACCUUGAACAUAUUCGAAACCAGAACUCUACUCAAAUAGUCAAAUUGCAGCAAACCUUUACUCUCCUCUAACUGCUUCUCACAGUCCUUAUACUCCUUAUAAAUUGACACAACCUGCCCAACAGCACAAAACCGCCUUCAGCGAAAUCCGAAAUGAACUCAAUCAGACAAAAUAUGUUAAUCUAAACUCUGCAAUACCUCAUCGAGCUCCGCCACGGAUUGCGCCAGCCUCUGGUACUCACUGGGAUUCGACACGAUGUCUGGAUCAGCUAGCUUGACCUAAUUCAAUUUUUAAUUCCCUUCUCUAUCAGAAAAACUCAAAUCUAACAACAAAGCAAGUAAAAAUUCGCAGUAAAAUAUUUACUAAUUUAAACCUAUCCAUUCUAAUCACGGUAACUAAAAAUCAUACCGAUAAUUCCUUCCAUGUCUUCUCCGCAGAUUCCAGCUUCGUAAUCAAAUACGGUGCCUGCAAAUUCAACCAGGAUUAACACAUGAAAUUACUCCUAUAACCUCAGUUCGUUAAUUACCAAGCAGAAACUGAAUGAAGAAGUUACUAAGUGGUGAAUGGACUGACCGCCAUGCAAGUGAUUCGUGGAGCUCUGGGAUGAGGUUUGGGGAUGGAAAGGGAAGUCCAUGAGUGGUGGGUGAAACGGCGUCGUGGAGGGAAUGCGAGUAAUCGCGGCGGUGCGGAGGUGGUGGUGAGGCCGCUCAUUGCCGCCGUGGGGGAGAAAAGCGCGGUAAGGCGGAGUGGUUGGAAAUGGAGGAGAUUUUGAUUCUUUUUAAGGCGACGGGGUGUGGAUAAGUUCCGUUGUGAGGUGUGCUUAGGAUAGAGCAGCUAUUAAUGGAUUCCAGUAAUACACAAAGCCCACGUUUUUUUCUUCUAGCCCAAUCUCUCAGCACAACAACGAGAAAACGGUGAAACCGUUAAACAACGACAAACGUGACACGUGGAUUAUAUAAAUAUUAAUUAUAUUAAAUAUCAUAUUUACAAUAUAUUCUACUCUUAAUCUUGUGUCAUGACUCACGCUAACAUAAACCAAAUCGAAGGAGCCGGGUGGGAAUGAGCAAAAUCAGCAAGAUAGUCUGCUACAAAGUUAACCUUACGAAACAUAUGAUGAACACAAUAUAAUCAAAUUGAGCAGCAAAAUGUGAGGAUGUCCUUGACUAGUAAAUAGUGUGAAGAACAAUAGAGACUGUGAAUUUUUAUGCGAAAUAAUUGACACUGUAAAAGUCAAGAGUUGAAAUCUCCCUGACAUCAUCAUGGGACGAGUGUGACAAGAAAAAAAUAUAGUAGUUUUAUACUUAAACAAGAAAAAGCCACUAAGCUUAAAAAGAAAUUGUAUUGAUCCGCAAAUGAUACCUAUGAACUUAUUGUUUGUUUAUUUUUAGCGAAACCUCACAGCUCAAAGUCGACAACACACCAAUAUGCCAAGCAAUGCUUGUCUGGUAGUAGCCUAGUCACACCAAUUACGGUGUGACUGAAACAGCACAACACACAGCGGGAUAUUGUCUGCUUUGGCCUCACUCUCAUGGUUUUGUUCUUGGGUUUCCAACUCAAGAUGUGUCUCACUAGUGUGCGUAAUUAUUGUUUUGGCAUUACAUUUUCUUUAUUGAAACAUCUAUGAUGAAUUAUUAAAAACUCAUAAAAAGGGGGGAGGUUGGGCCUGCACGAUUCCUCGAGUGAGAUGUACGCAGUUUAUGGAGGGGGAGAAGACAUGAAAGAGAAAAUACUUUCAUUUUUUUUUCGGAAAUGGAUCUUACCCUUCUAACAAGCCUGACUUCCCGCUUAAGAAGUACUUGAUUACCGUGCAAGCUUUGAGAAUCAGUUUACCAGAAUUUACUGAAUUGAAUUCGGUACUCCUCUUUAGGUUGCGAAACAAAAAAAUCCUUCUUUAAAC